rnacentral:lncRNA from 1 species
GUUCUUAAAAUUGAAAUCUCUCUCAAGUUUAGGCAUGACUGUUAUGAAGUAAGAUUUGCUCUAAACCUGAACUUGUGGGAAGAGUACUUGAUCUAAAGUCUAAGUUGUUAACGGAUAUGAUAUGGGAAGGUUGAGCUGCUGUUUAUCUGUUCCUAGAGAUGCUAGAAUUCUGGAGAAUUUUAUCUUUGAAAAAUCUUUAAAAUAUCACAUGAUGAGUUCCUGUAUGAUGAGAGUUUAAAAUCCUACCACAGCCAUAUAUACAUGCUUAUUAGACUUUGAGCCACACAUUUACUUUUUACUGCUUAUGAGCAUUGAGUGUGGUCAAGCUGUGUAGACCCUUAGGAGCUUGUCAUGUGGUUAAAAUCAAGAUUCACUUGCAUGUUCACUCGUAUAUGCUGCUUCUACUCCGGAAGUACGCAUCCACAUACAUCCACUCAUCUCCAUCUCCAGAUUCACCCAAAAUUAUUCUACUCCUAAUCCGGGAGAGAAUAGCCAAAAACAUUUUCCUAUCCCUGUUAUUCCCUGUGAAAUAAAUGCUCCAGUUAUUUUGGUUACUACCACUUGCUACAUUAUUUCAGGAGAUGAGUGCUCUAAAAAUAGAAAAAAAUAAAUAAUAUACGAGGAAAUAAAAAGGGGCAAGUGCCCGGAACCUCGAAAGAAAAGAAAAAGUGAGACGAGAGGUAAAAAAGUGAGAAAAAGUGUCCGAUAGUAGAAUUAGGGGUACAAGAUACCCACCUGAGAGGAAAGAAAAAAAAAAUAUAGAGCAUCUCAUUCUCCUCAAAAAGCUUCAAAGUGCAAGAAAGGUAUGUAUCCCCUUAAAAGAGCAAAAGUAGAAUUAGACUUUCACCAUUGUUAUCACCAUCAUCACCAUACACCAUUCACUCGCCACACAUGCACAUCUUGAUUUGACUUAUUGACUUGUUUCUCUAGAUCCAUGGUUUGACUAUGCAAUAAAUGUCUUGUAAGUAUGUAUUACCUGUCUCCCACCUAUGAGCUCCAGAUAUUAAAACCUUAUUAGAGUAGGGUGAGAGAGAAGGAAAUAUCACUAUGCCUCAUACCAAAAAUACCACAUAUUUUGAGAGAAGGCAUAUACCAUUACUGCCUUAGAAAGGAUCCAGAAAUACCACAAAAGAGAGAUCUGAGAGACUCAUACAAGGAAUCUCUGAGUUUUAUUUUAAAAUCUGCAAGAACUCCAGAGCUAUAGCUGAUCAAGAAUAAGAGACAAGGCGCUUUACUUGACCGUUCUAUCUUUUAACUGCUCAAGACACAAGUGACGGUAACAAGCCCCAUGGUGAAAGGUAAAAUGAGUAAGUUUUAAGUCUUAACAGUUUACUCUAACUCAGAGAUGAGAUCUUGCUUGAAUGCGUGUGUACUUUUAAGGCAUGAAACCACUGUAGAAACUCUUGAGUUCAUCCUUGCUCAGGGACGUGCAAGAGGUAAGCUUGGGGGAGUUGUUGACGGUCCUUAAGUACCGAAUAUAAUCAUCAAAUAAAUAAAGAAAAGGAUCCAAAUGCAACCAACACCCAGACUUAGGGUUUUAUCUGACAGAAUUCCACGAGUUUUGGUGUUUGUCUAUUUCUGCAGGGGGUUAUCAGGAAAUACGGAAGAAAGGCCCACAUGUCGGGAUUAUAUAGAGAUAUCAACGCACCGUGCAAUUUUCUACCAUCUAGAAGACUCCAGAAGCCACGGGAAGAAAGCAGAGGCCGAAAGGGGCCAGGCCCAGGGCGCCCGCCCUGAGGACCUGGGCGCCCGCCCCCUCCUGGAUGCCAAUCAGGACUCUUUUGACACACGACGUUCCACCGACCUAAAGGAUCAAGGAUAACGUAGUACCACAUCGCCUGCUGGACCAAAAAUGCACAGAUGAGGAGGACUAUAUAAGCAGACCCCAUGGCCCCUGGAGGAGACGAAGUUUAUCAUAGAGUUGAGGGGUGCCCUCGAAGGAAAACCUCUUCUCUAAAUAAAAUUUCUUUUUAGGCUUAGCAACCAAUGUGAGUAGAAAUAGAUCUUCUAGUUUCUACUAGAUUGAGAGAGAUAGAGUGGAGGUGUAGAUCGAAGGAAGGCCGGCCUGUCGGUGUCUACUCCGAGGUUGUACCUGCGGGAUCAAGUCUUCUAACUCGAGGCUUGCUCCUAAGAUUCUUCAGUAAUUCGACUUCUAAUUCUAGUAAGUUCUUGUUUUAUUGUUCUUUGGUUUAUGAGUUUACUUUAAUCCUCUUCCGGUUGAGUAUUAGAGUAAUCAUUGCUAGCGUAAACAUGGUGUUUAGGCUAGGGUACUCAUAGAUAUCCCCUGACUAGCUGGACCGUGGUAGUAGCGAGGAACGUGACAUUUCCGAGUUACCUUUGUAUCCCACAUCUCGUUAGCAGGAAGGGUAGGUUUAUAGGUGCGGGUCGAACAUCCUUUGUGGUGUCUAGAUUCCGUAAGCUUCCCCAAUAGAACAGUAGAUCAUCCUUACCAAGGUUAGAACGAGACUACGGUUGCAGUCUUCUCUAUACAUCACUCACAUCGAGAAACAUUCUUUGUAGCCUAAAGGAUAGUAGCAAUAGAUUUGGUUAGUCAGAUGCACCCUUUCUCCCAGUGGUAAAAAUAUAAAUACGAUACUCUGGAAAACCUGCCGGGUGAAAUGCUCACCGAUAUCCGUGCGCUUGCGGAUCAUUUCCUUAUUGUGUUACCAAAUAUCAACAGAGAUGAAGAACGGCGGGCGGUACCAGUCGUCUACCAAUCUUGUAGCAAAGGGUGGCCGCGGCAACAACAACACCGGAUUUCAUGGCAGAGGCCAUGGCAACGGCCACAAUAUGUUCGGUCGUGGCAGAGGAGGCUGCAAUGGUGCAUGUCCUGGUGGUGGCUUCUAGGCUAGCAUGUUUUGCCAGCUUUGCGGCAAGGAAGGUCAUGCCAUCAUCAAGUGCUUCACGCGCUUCAACACCUCCUUCAGUGGACCACCACAGAAAUCGGCGUCAUCUGCCAUCACCUCAUAUGGACUUGACUCCAACUGGUACCUGGAUUCAGGUGCCACCGACCACAUCACCUCAGAACUUGAGAAGCUGACGACCAUGGAUAGGUACAACGGUGGCGAUCAGGUACACGCUGCCAAUGCGAAUGGUAUGAACAUUACUCAUAUUGGUCAUACUACUCUACUUACCCCAUCUAGUCAAGUCCACCUCAAAAAUAUUCUUUAUGUGCCUAAUUCUCAUAAAAAUUUAGUUUAUGUCCAUCAGCUCACUCAUGAUAACAAUGCUUAUAAUGAAUUUUAUCCCACUCAUUUUUCCCUCAAGGAACAGUCGAUGAAGAAAACUCUUCUUCAAGGCAGAUGUGAAGAAGGCUUAUAUCCCUUGCUGUCGUCAUCUAGAUCGUCAUCAAAUAAAGAAGCAAACGGCGCUGUCAAGUCGUCAAAGUCCUUGUGGCAUCAUAGACUAGGACAUGCCUCGUCGCCCAUAGUUAGGCAGGUGCUUAGUCGCAACAAUAUUUUCUUUGUCAAUGAGUCCAAUAAUCAUGUGUGUAAUGCCUGUCAGCAAGGCAAGUGUCACCAGUUACCAUAUCCUAGAUCAACUAGUAUGUCUGCUAGUCCACUUGAUCUCAUUUUUUCUGAUGUUCGGGGUCCAGCACCAGCUUCGGUUGGUCGCAAUCAAUAUUAUUUGAGUUUUAUAGAUGAUCACAACAAUUUUGUGUGGGUUUAUCUCUUGCGUCAUAAGUCACAAGUUUUUCAGUCCUUUCAAGAUUUCCAGCAGCUAGUUGAAAGGAAAUUUGAUCGAAAAAUCAAGGCCAUACAAACCGAUUGGGGCGGGAAGUAUCAAGCCUUGAGUCCAUUCUUUAAGCGGGUGGGCAUAACCCACUUGGUGUCCUACCCACACGCCCACCAGCAAAAUGGCUCUGCUGAACGCAAACACCGACACAUAGUAGAAGUCGGCCUGUCUCUUCUAGCUCACUCCUCCAUGCCUUUAAAAUUCUGGAAUGAGGCCUUUCUUACAGCAGUGUUUCUAAUCAAUAGAUUUACCUUCAAAGGUCAUAGAUGAUGAUACGCCCUAUUUCCGUCUUUUUGGACAGCAACCAAACUACAACAAACUUCGAUCCUUUGGUUGUGUGUGUUUGUCGAAUCUGUGGCCGUUCAAUGCACGAAAACUUGAGUACCGAUCCAAACAAUGUGUCUUUCUUGGCUACAGUACUCAACACAAAGGGUACAAAUGCCUAGAUCCAUCUUAGGGCCGUGAUUAUGUGUCAAGAGAUGUUGUGUUUGAUGAAAAAGUUUUUCCCUUUGCUUCCAUGCAUCCUAACGCUGGUGCGAGACUUAGAGCUGAACUCAGUCUUUUACCUGACAUUUUCCUAAAUCCAUCUAAUGACUUUGUGGAUGUAAGAGUUAAUGGUUCAAUGUUGAGUUCUAUUCCAUCUAACUCAUCUACCAGUGCAGGAAAUGCUUCAUUACCUGUAGGCUUAAUUCCUACUCAAAAUGAUGAAGUAACAAGCUCAUACGGCGUAAAAGACAGGGGUAUUUUAUGUGUCCCCCCACCGGAGGCAGCACACGAGUCGAAGCCGAUCACCCUGCGACUGUAGGCGUAUCUAUCGGUGAAGCAGCUUCGAGAUUGGCAUCUUGGCGGUAGUAGUCUUGUGUCCGCACGAGGGCUGUUGUCACUGUCACGCAGGGUGGGGUCCUCUACAGGAUCGUCUGUGGACGCAAAUCCUACGCUCCAGUCUGGUGAACCAUGUGUGGCCACAGAGACCGAUCCCGUGGUGCCAUCCGAUGCAAAUCACCAGGAGGAUUUGCCGACCGGAUCCUUUGUGGCUUUGGGUGGAUCUGCUACGGCAUCGACGCCAAGAGCUAAUCCUGUGGCUUCCCCACCUCAACCUCGCCAUCAGCAUGGUACACAGCUACACAGUGGCAUCGUCAAGCCCAAGGUGCACAUAGAUGGCACUGUGCGAUGGGGCAUGGUUUCUCAAGUAGUGUCGGAAGAACCUGCUACCAUCCGUGAAGCUCUGUACGACAAAAACUGGGCGUCGCCGAUGCAAGCUGAGUAUGAUGUUUUGCAACGCAAUCACACCUGGCGCCUGGUACCUCGACCACAAGGUAAAAACAUUAGAGAUUGUAAGUGGAUUUACAAAGUUAAACGCAGAGUGGAUGGCACUAUUGAUCGCCAUAAAGCACGACUUGUGGCAAAAGGGUUUAAGCAGCAAUACGGGUGUGGACUAUGAGGACACGUUCAGUCCUGUAGUUAAGGCCGCGACCAUUCAUUUGGUAUUGUCUGUUGUUAUGUCAAGAUUCUGGUCACUUCGUCAGUUGGAUGUCCAAAAUGCGUUCUUGCAUGGUCUACUGGAAGAAGUCUACAUGAAACAACCUCCAAGGGUAUGUCAAUCUACAGUAUCCUGAUUAUGUUUGCAGGUUAGAUAAAGCCCUUUAUGGCUUGAAGCAAGCCCCCAGAGCCUGGUGAAAGGGUCGAGAUGGCGGACUAGAGGGGGGUGAAUAGUACUUUCUAAAACUUAUCGCACCGGCUAACCGAAGUAAGUGCGGGAUUAACUAUCGGUCUAGCCAAGACUACACCCCUCUAUCUAAGUUCUCUAGCACCUUGUAAAGGAUCCUAAACAAGCAAAAAAGGUGCUACCUUAGCAAGAGCUCACCUAACCAAUUCUAGAAGCAAGGUCACACAAACCUAUGCCACUAGUACUUUGCAAACCGGGGAGCUCCUACACAACUAGUAAGCAAAAGCCCAAAGCUCCUAAGCUCACUAGCAAUGCUCAAUAACAAGGCAACCAAUGCCAAAUUAGAGAGCGCAAAAUACUUAGCUACACAAACUAAGCAAUGUGACUAACAAAGUUACACAAACCAAAUUAGUCACGCACGGGGAACUACUUCUAGCUACACAAGCAAGAAGGUAACUAGCAAGCUAAACAAGCUAACUAAUUAUAAGAGCAACUACACAAGCAUAAGUAUAUGAAUGUAAGAACAAGCUUGUGUUAGGGACUUGCAAACCAGCGGGAAGAACAAAGUUGACACGAUGAUUUUCUCCCGAGGUUCACUUGGUUGCCACCAAGGUACGUCCCCGUUGUGUCGACCAACACUUGGUGGUUUGGCGACUAAGAGGUGUUACACGAACCUCGUCCCCACUGGGACACCGCAAGAACCUACCCACAAGUAAGGUAGCUCAAUGACACGCACGAUCCAAUAGAGUUGCUCUUCGCGAUCCCCGCAGGGUGAGCACCAUACCCCUCACAAUCUCUUCUCCGGAGCACCGCACAAUCUCCUUGCGAGCUUCGAUGGAGUCACAAGCCACCAAGCCGUCUAGGAGGUGGCAACCUCCAAGAGUAACAAGCACCACUAGCUUGCAACACGAAGACCUAGUGCCACUCGAUGCAAUCUCUCAAUGCAACGCACUAGAAUCACUCGCUCGUUAUCGAUUUACACUCUUGCAAGCAUAAGUGAGUUAGAGGCUUUCCUAGCACUCCCCAAGCAUGGACACUAAGUCCCAAGGGUGCUCAACCCCAGCCAAGGCCGGCCAACACUUCUAUUUAUAGCCCCAAGGGCUAAACUAGUCGUUGCCCCUUCACUGGGCAAAACAUGUGGGUACCGGACUCACUUCAAGGAGCCACCGGACGCUCAACCCUAGCGUUCGGUGCUCAAGCGACAGCCACGUGUCACUAGCCAUUUGAAAUCGACCGUUGCCGCCAAUGGCUACCACACGCUCGUGCCUGACAUAGCACCACCGGACGCUCUGCAGGUCCACACCAGAUGCGUCGGUGCACACCGGACCCGUGCGCAGAGAGCUCCGCAAACUCGCAGGGUCACCGGACGCGAGCCACCGGACGCACCCUGAGCGUCCGGUGCUCUUCAGUCAGAGACCACUCACGCACAAUUGCUGACGUCAUUCCACACCGGACACGUAGACAUUAACCGCCCCGCAUCCGGUGCGCUCUGCACACCUGAGCCACAGACUGCCACCACACCAGACGCUCUGGACCAACGUCCGGUGCUGCCAACACCAGCGUCCAGUGAGUGUUUCUCAGCGAGAAACACUCCCACGACUUCUCCAAACUUCCCACUGAACCACCAAGAGUACACCACCAUGUGCAUGUGUGUUAGCAUUUCACAAACAUUUUCCCAAAGGAGUUAGCCUCUGAAACUUGCCACGCCACUUGAUCCUAACACGUACGCAAAGUUAGAUCACUCAAGUGGCACUAGAUGACCGAUAUGCAAACAAGUUUGCCCCUCUUGAUAGUAUGGCCAUCUAUCUUAAAUCCGGUCAUAAACUUCUCUACACACCUAUGACCGAUGAAAUGGAAAUGCCCCUAGGUUAUACCUUUGCCUUGCGCUUUCGAUUCCAUCUCCUCCAAUGUUGAUGCAACACAUGCACCAACCAAUCAUCAAAUGAUAUGAUCCACUUCAUAUCAUCAUGUGACCGUAUUGGUUCAUCGAUCUUGACCUCACUUGCUCUUCACCAUUGCCUCGGUCCAUCGGCGCCAAGUCUUGCUCAAGCUUCACCGUCACACGCGGUCUCUCGCUUCAAAACCUCCGACUUGCCCUUCACUCUUACAACCGGUCCAUCAAGCCAAGCCUCAUCUUGAUCUUCUCCACCUUGGUCACAUGACUCCAUGUCAUGUAUCAUGUGCAAUGAGCUCCUCCAUCAUCACAUGAUCACUUGUGGACUAAUCUCCUGUGUAUCUCACAUAAACACUAUUAGUCCACCUAAGUUGUCACUCAAUUACCAAAACCAAACAAGGGCCUUUCAAUCCCCCUUUUUGGUAAUUGAUGACAACUCUACAAAGAUAUGGAAAAUAAGCUUUUCAAGCUAGCACUUCACACAAGUGUAAAUUACUAACUUGGUUCAGAUUUUAUGCUACUUAUCCAACAUUUAAGCUCUAUGUCAAGAUUUGGAUAAGCACUACAAAACCCUACUAAGUGCUAAGGUGUAUAGAAUAAACCUUUGUAUCUCGAUACCAAAUUCGAUAUCAUUUGAAGCAUUCAAUGUGCACCAUCCUUAGCACCAUGUGUAGCUAGACAACAAAACACUAGAAACCCCGUGAGAUCAACAUUAUAAGCAAGGGUCUAGUUUUUACUUGAAAAGCAUAAGUCUAGCUACCAACCUAUGCAUGCUAGUUAUUAUAUCAUCAAUCAAGUUCUAUAACUAGCAUACACCACACAAGCAUGCAUAUUGAAUUUAAAAACUUAUGCAAUACAAGCAAGCACAUGAAUAUACACAAAUCAAAUGCAAUCAAUCAAUGUUCAUGAGCUUGCUCCCCCUACUUGUGUGCUUCUCAUGUUCAAGAAUUUUGAUCCUUAUUGAUCCAUCUUAAUGUUGCUCCCUCUUUAUCCAUGUCCAUCUUUGAUCUCUUCCCUUUGAAACAUAUCUUUUGUUGUCCAACUUAUCCCAUGAUCAUAUAUUUGUUCCAACUUCUCCCCCUUUGUCAUCAAUUUCCAUAAAAGGUAUGUGAUACCAAUUAAAUAACUUCAUACCAAUUGAAAAGUGUGAAUCUCAUUGUGACAAAGGAUUGCAUUGGGAUAGAUGGUUGAGGCUUGAAUCUUGCAUUUUUUAUGGACAUCACCAUAUAUGUUGGAAUGACAUUACUUGAAUUGCUCUUGAGAUACCACAUAGGAUCUUUGACCUUGAUACCAUUGGUGGGGCACUCCCCCUAUGUCAUAGCAUGGGUCAUUUACUUGUCAAUCUUGUUGGUGAGGGAACUUUUCUUUGCUUGAUGACCACUUAAAGUUCAGGAUCACUUGUGGAACCACCUUCUUGUAUGAUAGAUACCAUAUGUAUAAAUGUGAUAUCACUUGAAAUAUCUUGUCCGAUACCAUAUGGGAUUCUUCUACCAAUUAAGGUCUUCUAGUAUGGAACCACUUGUUUGCUAUUCUUGAACAUUUGCUAUCUUGAGUACCAAUUGUAGGAUACCAAUUGAAGAAACAUUUGAGUCUAGAUAUCCAUUUGUAUUGUUGUCUUGUUCUUGUACUCUAAUCAUCAUGAGCUUCUAAUUGUAGACUUGAACUAUGUUGAUUUGCCUAAGUUUUCAAGUCCGGUUUGAACCAAUGACAAGCUUUUUCACACCUCAUAUUAAGGGUUAUCUUGCCAAUGUUGUACUUGUUAGCAAUCCAAAAUAGAUCAUGUACUUGGGUUCACUAGCUCAUGAAUAAACUCAUAUACAUACCACUAGAUCAACUAAUCAUUCAAGCAAUAGUGGUAGGUUAUGAAUUUAAAACUUUUCAUUUGUCAUGCAUGAUCCUAUUAAGCAUGUACUAUAUGCACUAACCGCAUAUUAGUAAGGGAUGAAAUGAUCAUGCACAUUACAAUGAUACCUUUGCUAUGUUGGAGAAGAGGAUAGUCACAUAGAUUCCAAUUCAUUUCCCCAAUAGCAAUGUGAAGUCCAGUUAAUAAGCUUGGUGAAGACCAAGUAUAAAUGCCAAUUGAUAGAUCAAAUCUUCACCCAUAUGAAUGGAGAACCACUUAUUGAUCAAGUGCACUAUCUUGUUGUGGUUGGCUUGCUUCAUCUUUUCUUGAUCAUUGCUUGCAUGAGAGAACUACUAAGAAUACCAAUUGAAAUAACAUGACUAGCUCUCUUUUGGGUGUUGCUUGCUCCCUUGAUCAAUCCUUUUGAUUGCUUCAACUAAGCAUCUCAAAUGUUCUUUGGAUCACCACUUCCAUGUUAGCCUUCCAAGCACCAUACUGAAAGGUCCUAAUAUGGGUAGAGGGGGGGGGUGAAUAGCCUAUUUAAAAAUUCUACAAAACUCACUAGAGCAAGUGGUUAGUAAAUAAGAAAGCGUAGCUUUUUGCUCUAGCUCUAAUGAGGUGUUUGCAGGCCACCUAUCCAACAAUUCUAGUUGAUAUGAUCACUAGGCACACAAGAGCUAAGUCACUACUUACACUAGAGAGGUAUCUAAAGUUUCUAUAUAAGUAAGUAAGCUACUCUAGUUUGCGGGAAUGUAAGAGAGAUGGUUUGAUCUUUAUACUGCCGCGUAGAGGGGACGAACCAAUCAAUAAUAUGAAGUCCAAUCGCCGGGAGAAAUCCAAUCACAAACACAAUGGAGACAAACAAUUUUUCUCCCGAGGUUCACGUGCUUGCCGGCACACUACCCGUUGUGUCGACCAAUACUUGGUGGUUCGGCGGCUAAGAGGUGUAGCACAAACCUCGUCCUCACUAGGACACCGCAAGAACUAACCCACAAGUGAGGUAACUCAAUGACAUGAGCAAUCCACUAGAGUUACCUUUUGGCUCUCCAUCGGGGAAGGUACAAGACCCCUCACAAUCAUCGGGAGAUGGCCACGAACAAUCACCAACUCGUACCAAACCUCCUCCGCUGCUCCAAGCCGUCUAGGUGGCGGCAACCACCAAGAGUAACAAGAAAACCGUAGCCAAAUUGAUCCCCAAGUGCCACUAGAUGCAUUCACUCAAGCAAAUGCACUUGGAAUCACUCUCAAUCUCACAAAGAUGAAUAAUCUAUGAAGGAGAUGAGUGGGAGGUGUUUGCUUAGGCUCAGAAGAAAGUCAAGUAUGCUAGAAUGCCAAGAGGGUGAGCCCCAAGCCGGCCAACAACUAUUUAUAAGCCCUUCAAACAAAUAGAGCUGUUGGCUCUUUCACUGGGCAAAACUAGGGGUCACCGGACGCUCUUAAAGGGGCACCGGACGCUCAACACCUGCGUCCGGUGCUCAAAAGUCAGCCACAUGUUAGGGUCUAACGGUAACCUGCAGAGCACCGGACGCUGAGCAAGAUGCCACCGGACUAAAACUCAGGGAGGUCUGCAAAACGCACAGGGCACCGGACGCUGAGCAGCGGACCGUCCGGUGCGCACUGGACUUAAACCCAGGGAGGUUUGCAAACUGACCAUACACCGGACACGUACCACAGGACGCACAAGCCUAAACCCUAAACCCUAAACCCUGAACCCUAAACCCUAAACCCUAAACCCUGAACCUAUCCUGUCUCUACCCUUCAAACUCCACCUCCUUCUCAAAGUGUGCCAACACCACAAUGUGUAAACCAACAUGGGCACGUGUGUUAGCAUUUUCACAAUCAUUUUCUUUGAAGAAGUUAAGUUAGCUCACUAGGUUCUAAAUGCAUGCACAAGAACAAUGACACCUAGUGGCACUUGAUAACCGCUUAGCCAAAGAAUUCCCCUCGGCUAUCUAUCCUAAAUGUGAUCACACCCUCUACGGUGUCUUGAUCACCAAAACCAAAACCCUAAGCAAUACCUUUGCCUUGAUCUUCAUAGGGUUUUAUUUUUCUCUUUCUUCUUUUCCAAGUUGAGCAGUUGAUCAUCUUGUGGUCAUCACCAUCAUCACCAUGAUCAUCACUUGCUCCAUCACUUGGCAUGUACCAACCUCAUUAAGUCUACACACACUUAGUAUAGAGGUUAGUAUUAGGGUUUCAUCAAUUAUCUAAAACCAAACUAGGGCUUUCACAUACUUGGUUUACCCACUUCUCAGGCGGCACGCCCCUCACAUAGGGAGAAGUGACCUCUCUCCAAAGAACUAUUUUUGAUACUCACUUGAAUUGCUUUGAUUGAUUGAUUCAAGUGACGGACUUAAUAUGAUGAGUAACCAUGAAUCCCUUUUUUAAGUCCUUUUCUUUCUACUUGUUUAAGUCCUUUUCUUUCUACCAAAUGAUUUCCAAUAGUUACUAGAACUUAAACUUCAUCUUCAUCUUGAGUUUGAUCUUGAUCUUUAAUUUGAGUACUAAAUGUGUACACCAAGUACAUUCUACAAUCAAAUGACCUUGUACUCAUUACUUGUCAUGCUUCUAGAUCAAUUCAAAACCAAACUUAGGUGCCUCAAACACUUAUAAUCAUGUUUCCAACUUGAGGACCUCUCAAUUGAAGUGACUCUAGAUCAAUCCAAUAAUUGUCACUUUUGUGGCAGAUGCUGUACCCUUUAAAGAAAUAUCCAUAUCUCACAAUGUACAGAUCCAAAUGCCACGAAAUUUGGUGGAGAUGUGGUUCACUAAGUCGUCUAGCAUCUGUAAAAAUGUGAGCUUCACUUGACUUCUAGAUUGCUACCAGAUUUCAAUUCUUCCACCGUUGCUACAUGCUGAAAUCUGCUGCACUAUAGCUGAUAAGAUCCACUCCAAAACCGAAGUAUCCCUUAUACAAUUCUCAUGAAAUUUCUACAGCAUCUUCUAUUAUAAGUGUACAGCAUGCGUACCAAAUUUCAAGCCACUCCAAAUAGAUUUGAUAACUCAAACUCAGAAUUGAUCACUGCUAGCUCAAUUUUUCAAAAAUGGACAGAUUUCAAGCAAUUGAGCUAUACUUGUUCAAAUUGAACCAAACUUGAAAUCAACUUGAUUGAAUACUUUCAUAAGACAUAUAUCCAUUCAAUCCACUUACUAAAAGUCAUCUCAUGAACUUAUUCAACUCAAAUCAAUCCAAACUUGAUUACUAAUCAUUUUAUCCAUUCAACCAUCUUAUAACUAGCAACAUUGCAUAUAUAUCCAAUUCAAUCAACUCAUAUGCACCCAAAUGAAUGUGGUCAACAAAGAUAUACCUUAGUUAGCUCAUGAUCAUCUAAUUUGCAAGCUUCAACUCAUGUAUUUGCAAGCCAUCAAAUAAUCCAAUAAAUCACCACAACUUGAAUGUGACACUUGUAUGUUAUAGCACAUUUGGACUUCACUAUCUUGUCAUGGCAUUGGGUUUGGAUGUGCACUAGGCUUCAAUACUUGACUCAAUCAUAUGAUGAAAAAUUAUAGGAUCAAUUUGAAUCAAGCCUCCAAUGUCGAUGGUACCUACAAACAAUCAUCCACUAUUUGAUGGUACCCAAACUAGUUUGGGUCCUCUCAAGUUAGGAGCAACAUACUUAGGCAUAGCCUUAGUAUGAGUAGCGGGAUGUUUUGCAAUAGCAACCAUAGAGGUUCCAUCACCAUCCUUUCUAAGCAUAUUAUGGUUAUCAAUUGAAAUAGGCUUAGAAAUAUUACCUAGGGGACAUGAAUGAGCCAUGUGUCCCCUUUCCCGGCAUAAGUAGCAACUUCUCUUUGAUUGAGCCUUUUCUUCCAUGCUCAUGUGUUGCUUCUCAUUGCCUUGCCUCAUGAGAGUUGCUUGAGCCUUCUUCUCAAGCUUGGUAGGACACUUCGAGGCAAAGUGUCCAUCAUUCUUGUAGUCAAAACACAUGAUGUGAGCAUAAGCUUUCUUCUUGUCUUGAUUCUUGCUCAUCAUCUUGGCAUCUUGGAUUUGCAUUGGAUGCCUUGCUCUUCCACCCCUUCUUGUCUUCUUAAUAUUUGGGCAACUAUUUGCAAGGUGUCCCGCUUCACGGCACCGAUAGCAUAUGGUAUGAGAAAACUUCUUUUGAUGGAGCUUCUUUAUCCUCUUUUCUUGCUUUCUCUCGCCCUUUGUCAUCUUCUUCUUGAAGCUAAGGCCACACUUGUCACCAUAGUUUCUUUGAGUCUUCAAUAUGUGCUCAAAGGUGACUUUUGAGUAGUAGCACCUCUCCAACUUGUUGCUCAAAAUCUUCACUUGUUCAUUAAGCUCAUUGUUCCCCUUCAAAAGGUUAGUCUCACAAGACAUAGAAGUAGAACAAGCAUCUAUAUGUGAAGAACAUGGCAUAGAUAGUAAAUCAUGAGAAGCGGUGGAUACAUGCUUCUUCCCUACAUCACAAGGGUUAGUAACAAUAUGUGAUUGAUCGUUUGACCCAAGUGAUGAGCUCUCACUAGUUUUAAUUUCAUUAGAAAUCUUCUUAGUGAGAAAAGCAUUUUUUUUGCCAAGUUAUCAUGAGUAAUGUUGACACUAACUAACACCACUUAGAUACUAGGUUGUCAUCCCCAGCAUGGUGCCAGAGUGUACAAAGGUAUUUAUAAAUGUAAAGGCUCUCUAGAAAAUAAUCUAUUCUAUCCGCAAGCGCACAGAUAAAACACCUCAUUGUAGCAUUUCACCAGGAUAAGUAUUCCAGGUAUCGUUAUUUAUAAUUUUGCUUAAGAAGACAAGGGAUGAAAUUAUGAUAAGGACAAAAUUUAUCAAGGCAUAGAUGUUGACGGUCCUUAAGUACCAAAUAUAAUCAGCAAAUAAACAAAGAAAAGGAUCCAAAUACAACCAACAUCUAAACUUAGGGUUUUAUCUAACAGAAUUCCACGAGUUUUCGUGUUUGUCUAUUUCUGCAGGGGGUUAUCAGGAAAUAUGGAGGAAAGGCCCACACGUCGGGUUUACAUAGAGAUAUUAAUGUGCCGCGCAAUUUUCUACCAUCUAGAAGACUCCAGAAGCCAUCGGAACGAACGGGAGGCCGAGCGGGCUCGGGGGCAGGGCGCCCGCCCUCCCCCCUUGGGCGCCCGCCCUGCUACAGUGGCCAAUCACGUUCAACCUCGCGGAUUAUGCUCCACCGACCUAAAGGAUCAAGAAUAACCGUUCAAUCAAUGUCAGUUUGAUCCGACGGCCUAGGUUCACUUGAGGGGACUAUAUAAGCAGACCCCCUGGCCCCUGGAGGAGGCACCCCUUGAUCAUUAUUCAUUAUUCAUAGAUAGAGCAAAAGCUAGGGUUUAGAGAUGAGAGCUCUCCUCUCUUCUCUAAACUAGAGUAGAUCUAGAUAGUAGUGAGAUGGAGAGCGAAGGAGGAUUAGAGGAGAGGCCGGCCUGUCGGUUCUUCCUCCGAUUGUACUUCGCCAUGAUCAAGCUCUAAUCAGGCUUGCUCAUGGGAUGACUCUGGUAAUCUACUUCUAAUUCAUUAUGCAAUUACUAAUCAUGUAUGUUCUGGUUCACAACACUUUUGAGUACUUCUAAUCUAUAGGACCCUAUAGGUUAGAGUUGUAGUAUAGGUGUAAGCGUGGUGCUUAGACCUAGAUUACUUGUGGAUAUCCCCUGUCUAGCUGGAUCGUGUGGUAGGCCGCGUAGGUGACAGUUACGUUGGUCCUCUGUAGUCCACCUCUCGUUAGCAGGACGGGUAGGGUUUAUCGGCCUAAGGAUAAGCGUCCUUUGUGGUGUACUCUUAUCACAUGGUUCGUCCCAGACAUAGACAUACCCCUUUGAAGUAGAGAAACCAUAGUUAUCCUCUCUAUUCUGCUACCAUCGCCCAUAUACUAGAAUUGCUCUACUCUCUAUUCCCAUAUUAUCACUCAUUGUUAUCUUACCUUUAAUAUUGUUCUUAUUCAAUUCUACCAUCUUUCCUAUUUACACUUAUCUAUCUAUCUUGGUUAAGUUAGAGCGUAGUUGGUUCUCGCGUUUCCCUGUGGAUACGAUAAAACCUUUAAUCGGGUAAAAGCUUCAACGGUAUCCGUGCGCUUGCGGAUUAUCUGUGUGUGUAUAAAUACCAUAGUACACUCUAGUGCCAUGCUGGGGAUGACAACCUAGUAUUGAAGUGGUGUUAGCAAGUGUCAACAAGCAUUUUUGGCGCCGUUGCUGGGGAAACGGUUGCUGAGUUGACUACGAACUAGCUUAAUCAUUUUUUAAAAAAUAAAAAAAAUAUGUAUUCCUUUUAUCCUUUGCCUCAUCUCUGCUAUUCUUUCUUCUUAUCUAAUCCUUGAUCUCUGGUCUAUCAUGAAUUCAAACAUGUCUAUCUAUGAAUUUCAUAGACCUACGGGCACACAUCUCGAACCACCAAAAUCUUCAAAGCCUAUCAUAGCAUCUAGUUUUGAGAUAGACCCCGAAUACAUAGAAUUUGUUCAAAAACAACCUUUCUCAAGAGAAGGUGAAGAAAACCCAUACACACACCUAAGAGAGUUUUAUCGAGUCUGUGACCUCCUCCGCAUAGAAGGCAUGUCCGAUGAGACCCUUAAAUGGAAGCUCUUUCCGUUCUCUUUAACAGGAAAAGCUAGACAUUGGUACAAACUCAAAGUAAGGAGUGUUCAUGGAGAUUGGAAGGAGUUAUAUAGUAGUUUUCUUUCUAAAUAUUUUCCAAUCUCCAAAGUGGUGGAACUUCGGCGUGAGAUUCUUUCUGUUAGACAACUGGAAGAAGAAUCUCUCGGCAAAUCAUGGGACCGCUUUAUUAACCUUACUCUCACUGGCCCAAAGUUUUUUUAUUCCAGAAGAAGUUCUUCUAAUUCAUUUUUUUGAGGGCCUUAGUAGGGAAGAUAAGCAAACCCUUCAUGCGGCCUAUGGAGGAUCUUCCCACCACCUAUCCGCUAGUGAAGCUUGGAAUUUGAUUGAUUUAAUGAGCGGAAAGUCUCCUAGCUUUAAUAUCCCUGAGAAAGAGAAAGAACCAGUCCCUAGACAAGAAGAAGAAGUUUCGAUAGCCAGAUCACAACCACUUCAAUCCCAAACUUUAGCUAUCGAUCCUAAACCAUCAAUACCCCAAAAUUCUCCAAGGGAGGAAGGAAUUUCGACCUUAAAUCUUUCAGAUGCUGAUGGUUUAGACUUCUGGUUCCAUAAGAGACCUUCAAACAGGGAUAAUUCAAAUCCUUGCAAUAAUGUUUCUCUUAGAGAAUGUCCUGGUUCCUGUCAUGAAGACCAUAAGGAUGGCAUGUCAAGUAAUGCCAUAGAAGGAUAGCUAAGCUAUAUAGAAGAUUCUAUCAGCUCCCCUUUCCUGAUCACAAGUUCCAAAUGGCUAGAAUGUGUAGAAUGGAUGGAUAAGGAAGAAGCCUUAAUGGAUUCUGACUUUGGCUCAAUUUCAAAUGGUGAGUUCUUGACUCCCUUUGAAAAUGGGAUUCAUCCAACUAUAGAAGAGGACAUAAGUGAGACCAAUCCAGGAGAAACUCCGAACAUUCAGAUUGAAGACGAAGUUAACAUUAAUGAGCAUGGAAUUUAUUUCAUAGCCACUUCAUUUACUUCAUGCUCAUAUGCAACAUGUUCCCAAUCUAUUGGUCUCUCCAACAUCACCACAUUUGAGAUCAACAACCCCCUCUUCCUUUCUAUUUAUAAAAACUUUAAAAGGGCUGUUGUCGAUGCAUAUGUCUAUAAUAAAUAUUGCAGAUCUCGUUGAGUUGAUCUUGAUAUAGGUUAGCGUUGGAAGGGAAACCACUUCGCCGACAUAAAUUGAUGGUUUCCCAAGGACAAGCUUAGUGUCCUAAAAUAAGCACUGAUCAGAUCAUAACAUGAGCUUUUAAUUAUUUGCAACAUUACCUUGUGUAUUGAGCAUAUAAGGAUAAUUGUAAAAAUAUUCCUUCGGGUAUUCUUGUCACUAACCUUUCCAGGAUUGGAGCAAGAAGAUUGGAUGAAUGACAAGCUCAAGUUAUGUCCAACCAAUCAUCAUACAACAUUGAAAUUCAUCCAAACUUGAAUUUUGCAAAAUUCAAGCUUGGGGGAGUACUUUAUAUAAAAACAUCCUUUGCCAUGUUGCUAUGCUGGUUGUCCCUACCUUUGUGCUACAUGCUCAAUUUGUUAAGUACUAAUCACACUACUCUAUCUCCACUUGAGUAGAUCUCUAUAAAUGCUGUCAUGCUACCUUUGUCUAUUUACUAGCAAGUGUUGGUUUGGAAGUACUCGACAUACUUCCAUUGGCAUUUAAAUUGAGCAUGGUGCUUAGGUUAAAUAGUCUUCCUUAAUCUGAUUAGACAUGGAGUCUAGUUUGGUUACUGAACUAAAAACUGCUUGAGUAGAUAUUGGUAUAUUUUGUCGGACUAACCCCUGCAAGAAAACUUUCAAUAUCAACCUGGGAAGUCCUGAGAUAAACUCACAUUGGAGACAAAGAGAGAGACACAUCAAGUUUAACAAUUUACACAAGGAGGACGUAGCUCAUAAGAGAUGAUCCAUGGAGGGUGCCACAAACACGAUGCACAACCACUAAGAAAGGAAAGCUUCCACAAGGUGAUACUGUACCAUCACUUUUCAAGUAAGGUAACAUCUUAAGGUACUUGACUAUCAUUUUAUAAGCUUCUCCUUGGUUCUGGCAUUCAUAUGAAUAAAAGAGACAAACAUGUAUGAUUUACAACUCUAGAUUAACCAACCCAAUCGAUUCAACAUGUUUAGUCCUACUACCUCCAUGAUCCCACACUCCUAAUCAUAUGAGCUAAAAUGUUGCACAUUCAACCUUUGGCAAGAUAUAAAGAAAAAGACAUAUACAUAGAUAGAUUAUCUUUCUAUAAGGUUGAGCGAUCUGAUCUGACAAAUGUUAUAAGUGCUACACUCAUGAACUUAUCAUCCAUCAAUUUUGUCUUGCUCACUAUGCUUAAGGUUAGAGAAGAACAAAUACACUUUUGGUUCUGUUGGUGUUUUCCACCAACAGGGCCCAUGCACUUGAUCUCUGCCUUGUCUCUAUGAGCAGGUACACUUCGAGCAAAAUAUGGAGGAGUUUUACAACUCCCAGACUCCACCAAGUGAAGAACCUGGAUCUACGAGCACAAACACACUGAGUAGGAUACUGCCAACGCCACACUUCGAACUACUGGGCAAACGAAGAACAUGAGUGACACCGUAUCAAGAGGUGCAGACAUCAAGGUCCGCACCUGAAUCAAAUGACGCACCUAAAGAAUGAACACGGUGAGAAGUCUUGUUCAGAAGACUUAAAAUAUUGAACCCUCACCGAAAGGUAAAAUCGGUAGUUAUCCAUAUUUAUCCUUUUUGCAUUCCCUUUUCCCUUAAAUUAUUUACUUUCCUUAAAUGGCUUGUUAGUUAAUCAUGCUAUCUUGAAAAAAAAUAAAAAAAUGUUAAAAAUAGUAAGCCCCAUGUGAGUAUGCUCGUGGCAUAAAACCCAUAAGUACAUUCACUGUGGUGGUGUAAAAAUAAAAUAAAUAUAUUCCUGUCCUAUAAAAAUGAAAAUAUAAAAAUAAAUUUAUGAUCCUACCAAAGAGAGUAACAUUUAUUAAGGAGGCUCAACAUGAUAAAGGCUAGAUAUUUAUGCUAACACUUAACUAGUUCCACAAAGCUUUGUUGUCUAUUUGAGCUCCACAGAAUUCAAGGAUCAAAGAAGACUAGCAGAUGGAGGACAUCCUAAUCGCUGUGAGGGUGCUGCCGACAUUCAAAUACACCUCCAUCACCUGCUAGCUACAUCAGAAGAAAUUACGUCAAAAUCUAGCUUGAGGGAGAGCACCCCCAUUUAUCUAGCUAAGUGUUUCUACUCGCAUUUAUACUUUACUCAAAUAAUAAAAAUAUACAUAAUCAUAAAACCCCAAAUAAAGAUUUUAUGCUUAAAUAUAUAUCUAUGCUUAGUUUGCUAAAUAAAUAAAUAAAUAAAGUUUGCUAUGAACCCUCAUGAUAAGCUCUCACAUAGGAAUGAUGAAUAGUUGCUCUGCCAUGACUAGUUCUCAAAAUUGAAAUCUCUCUCAAGUUUAGGCAUGACUGUUAUGAAUUAAGAUUUGCUUUAAACCUGAACUUGUGGGAAGAGUACUUGAUCUAAAGUCUAAGUCGUUAACUGAUAUGAUAUGGGAAGGUUGAGCUGCUGUUUAUCUGUUCCUAGAGAUACUAGAAUUCUGGAGAAUUUUAUCUUUGAAAAUCUUUAAAAUGUUGCAUGAUGAGUUCCUGUAUGAUGAGAGUUUAAAAUCCUACCACAGCCACAUAUACAUGCUUAUGAUACUAUGAACCAUACAUUUACUUUUUACUGCUUAUGAGCAUUGAGUGUGGUCAAGCUGUGUAGACCCUUAGGAGCUUGUCAUGCGGUUAAAAUCAAGAUUCACUUGCACGUUCACUCAUACAUGCUGCUUCUACUCUGGAAGUACACAUCCACAUACAUCCACUCCUUUCCAUCUCUAGAUUCACCUAAAAUUAUUCUACUCCUAUCCGGGAGAGAAUAGCCAAAAACAUUAUCCCAUUCCUGUUUUUCCCUAUGAAAUAAAUGCUCGAGCUAUUUUGGUUACUACCACUUGCUACAUUAUUCCAGGAGGGUGAGUGCUCUGAAAAAAAAGUGAAUACGAGGAAAUAAAAAGGGGCAAGUGCCUGGAACCUCGAAAGAAAAUAAAAAGUGAGACGAGAGGUAAAAAUGGACAAGUGUCUGACAGUAGAAUUAGGGGUACAAGAUACCCACCUGAGAGAAAAGAAAAAAAAAGAAAGAGAAGAAAGAAAAUAUAGAGCAUCUCAUUCCUCUCAAAAACCUUCAAAGUGCAAGAAAGGUAUGUAUCCCCACAAAAGAGCAAAAGUAGAAUUAGACUUUCACCAAUGUUUUCACCAUCAUCACCAUACACCAUUCAUCCGCCACACAUGCACAUCUUGGUUUGACUUAUUGACUUGUUUCUCUGGAUCCAUGGUUUGACUAGGCAAUAAAUGUCUUGUAAGUAUGUAUUAGUUGUCUCCCACCUAUGAGCUCCAGAUAUCAAACCUUAUUAGAGUAGGGUGAGAGAGAAGGCAAUAUCACUAUGCCUCAUACCACAAAUACUACAUACUUUGAGAGCAGGCGUAUAUUAUCACUGCCUUGGUAAGGAUCCAGAAAUACCACAAAAGAGAGACUAGAGAGAGUCAUACAAGGAAUCUCUGAGUUUUAUUUGAAAAUCUGCAAAAACUCCAGAGCUAUAGUUGAUCAAAGAACAAGAGACAUGGUGCUUGACUUGACCGUUCUAUCUUUUAACUGCUCAAGACACAAGUGACUGUUGCAAGCCCCAUGGUGGAAGGUAAUAUGAGUAAGUUUAAAUCUUAACAGUUUACCUUAACCUAGAGAUGAGAUCUUGUUUGAACGCAUGAGUACCUUUAAGGCAUAAAACCACUGAAGAAAUUCUUGAGUCCAUCUUUGCUCAAGGACGAGCAAGAGGUAAGCUUGGGGGAGUUGUUGACGGUCCUUAAGUACCAAAUAUAAUCAGCAAAUAAACAAAGAAAAGGAUCCAAAUACAACCAACAUCUAAACUUAGGGUUUUAUCUGACAGAAUUCCACGAGUUUUGGUGUUUGUCUAUUUCCGCAGGGGGUUAUCAGGAAAUAUGGAGGAAAGGCCCACACGUCGGGUUUACCUAGAGAUAUUAACGUGAUGCGCAAUUUUCUACCAUCUAGAAGACUCCAGAAGCCACGGGAAAGAACGGGAGGCCGAGCGAGCUUGGGGGCAGGGCGCCCGCCCUCCCCCCUUGGGCGCCCGCCCUGCUACAGUGGCCAAUCACGUUCAACCUCGCGGAUUAUGCUCCACCGACCUAAAGGAUCAAGAAUAACCGUUCAAUCAAUGUCGGUUUGAUCCGACGGCCCAGGUUUACUUGAGGGGACUAUAUAAGCAGACCCCCUGGCCCCUGGAGGAGGCACCCCUUGAUCAUUAUUCAUUAUUCAUAGAUAGAGCAAAAGCUAGGGUUUAGAGAUGAGAGCUUUCCUCUCUUCUCUAAACUAGAGUAGAUCUAGAUAGUAGCGAGAUGGAGAGCGAAGGAGGAUUAGAGGAGAGGCCGGCCUGUCGGUUCUUCCUCCGGUUGUACUUCGCCAUGAUCAAGCUCUAAUCAAGCUUGCUCAUGGGAUGACUCUGGUAAUCUACUUCUAAUUUAUUAUGCAAUUACUAAUCAUGUAUGUUCUAGUUCACAACACUUUUGAGUACUUCUAAUCUAUAGGACCCUAUAGGUUAGAGUUGUAGUAUAGGUGUAAGCGUGGUGCUUAGACCUAGAUUACUUGUGGAUAUCCCCUGUCUAGCUGGAUCGUGUGGUAGGCCGCGUAGGUGACAGUUACGUUGGUCCUCUGUAGUCCACCUCUCGUUAGUAGGACGGGUAGGGUUUAUCAGCAUAAGGAUAAGCAUCCUUUGUGGUGUACUCUUAUCACGUGGUUCGUCCUAGACAUAGACAUACCCCUUUGAAGUAGAGAAACCAUAGUUAUCCUCUCUAUUCUGCUACCAUCGCCCAUAUACUAGAAUUGCUCUACUCUCUAUUCUCAUAUUAUCACUCAUUGUUAUCUUACCUUUAAUAUUGUUCUUAUUCAAUUCUACCAUCUUUCCUAUUUACACUUAUCUAUCUAUCUUGGUUAAGUUAGAGCGUAGUUGGUUCUCGCGUUUCCCUGUGGAUACGAUAAAACCUUUAAUCGGGUAAAAGCUUCAACGGUAUCCGUGCGCUUGCGGAUUAUCUGUGUGCGUAUAAAUACCAUAGUACACUCUAGUGCCAUGUUGGGGAUGACAACCUAGUAUUCAAGUGGUGUUAGCAAGUGUCAACAAUAGACUAGAGAUAAACUUGCAAGAACAUGAUUACUAAUGAGAAACUCGUCACACAGUUACCUACUUUGGCAGGGGGUAAACCAUAAAGAUAAUGAUAAUGAAUUAUAAGUUCAAGGGUAAAUAACACAGCGAUUAGAAAUUAGGCUACUCCUCAUAUAUGUAGGUGAUGUCAGAUUAGCUAGAGAAUGGAUUCUAAGUUAUAAGUCAUAAUCUACUCUAGUUAUCUACAAGAUCAUAUAUAGCAUAAAAGACUCUUCAUUCAUGUAUAAGGAACAUUGCUAAAGUAAAUCAGAGCAUCGCAAGACUUACUCCACAAUACCGGUUCUGCCUGUCCUAUCAACGGAGGGUGGACUAUAUAAGAAUCAACGAAGCUGUCACUAUCGCGAACUACAACACGACCCGGCCAAUAGGAUACAUUUGCAGAUAAAUAACAUCUAAGCACCACGCUCACAUCUGAUCUAUCACCUAACUCCCUCGCGUCAAGAGCUAAGCGCUUUGCAAACUUAUACAUAAACUCAUUGUCAAUCAUAACUAUAUUAAAUAUAGAACUAGAGCAAACUAAGAACAUAAUAAUUAGAGACAUAAUGCAAUUACAACAAAGAAUUAGAGAAAGAUAUGAAUAAUACCAAUCUUUAUUACCGAAGAUCCGAAUCCAGAGCGUAGUGCUCUACUUCUCUAAUUGCUAUCUAAUCAAACCUCUAAACUUGAAGGAUUAGGGAGUAGCUAAUUCUAAUUCUCUGUGGGAGAGAAGCUCUAAACCCUAACUUUGAUGGCUACCUCUGAAUAAUGAUUUCUUCUCUUCUCCUCUCUCCUCCAGGGGUGGAGAGGCCUUGGUUUUAUAGUCCUUUCAAGUGAAUUUGGGCCGUCGGAUCAAACCGACAUUGAUUGUAUGGUUUAGAUUGAUCCUUUAGGUCGGUGGAGUUUAGCCCCGAAACAGAGUCCUGAUCCAACACCUGGCCAGGGCGGGCGCCCAAGGGGGGUGGCGGGCGCCCUGCCCCCGAGCCCGAUCGUCUUCUCGUUCGUUCCCGUGGCUUCUAGACUCUUCUAGAUUGAGGUAAAUUGCGCGGCACGUAAUUAUCUCGUUGUAAACAUGACAUGUGGGCCUUCUCUCCAUAUUCUCUGAUAACCCCCUGCAGAAAUAGAUAAACACCAAAGCUCGUGGAAUUUUGUCAGAUAAAACUCUAAUUCUAGAUGUUUGUUUCAGAUUGAUCCUUUUCCAUGUUUAUUUGAUUAUUAAUUUUAGUACUUAAGGACCGUCAACAAACUCCCCCAAGCUUACCCUUUGCUCGUCCCUGAGCAAACAGCGAAACUCAGACGGAUCAGAAGUUGCUUCGAUGUUUUCUUUCCUGACAGGCACACAUGCUUUUACAUAAAAAUUCUUCCAGAUUAGAGUGAAGUGUUAUGGAGUUUAGUACCUGCACUUAAGUCUUAAGUAAUCGAAAGGCAAAAUAAUUAAGUCAAGCACUAUUCCUCCUAUCUAUACUUCACCUUUGUUCUAGUGUUUUUCAUAAGUUUUCAAAAUAAAACUCAGAGUUCCCAGCAAUGAUUCUCAAGUCUCUCUAUAUAUGGUAUUUGUGGAUCCUUACCAAAAAUGUCACUUACCUAUAGCUAAUGGAAUAUUUAAGUGGGGCUCAUAGGAGUGAAAAACAGCUCAUACAUAUGUUGUCUAAUUGAGCCAUGGAUCCAAAGGAACUCAGCAUACAAUUAAAUCAAGAUGUGCAUGUGUGGUGGAGUAAAUGAUAGUAAUGGUGAUAAUAAAACUUAGUUCUCAUUGCUCCUCAUAUUGCUGUCUCUCCUCCUCUUUGAUCUUUGCUUUGGGAGAACAUGGGCUAUCUUUUUCUUUUCUCAGGUGGGUAGUAGAUACCCCUAAUUCUACUGUCGGACACUUGUCCAUUUUUUCCGCUCAAGUGGGCAUCUUUGUAUCCCUAAUUCUACUCCGGACACUUGUCCAUUUUUACCUCUUGUCUCACUCUUUUUCUUUCUUUUUCGAGGUUCCGGGCACUUGCCCCUUUUUAUUUCCUCGCAUAUUUUUGCAUAACCCAUGCCUCUUCUGCAUUGAAUCUUUUUAGAGAGAAAAAAUAACAAUAUUUGGGACAGUGAGUGAUAAUAUUAUUUUUAGCAAUUUUAAUGAUCGGUGGUGGACGGUGUAGUAGGUGUGUGCAAGUGAAUAUCUUAAUUUAACCACAUGAAAAGCUCCUAAGGAUCUACACAGCUCGAUCAAACUCAAUGUAAGUGUAGUAAAAGAUGUUAUAGCAAGUAUGGUUGUGGUAGGUAGUUUGCAAUGCUAGGAACUCAUCAUGUGAUUUGUAAGUUUUCAAAAUAAAUCUCCAGAACUUAGUGUAGUAGGAACAAGAUAAACAACAGCUCAAACUUUAUAUUAUGCCUUUCUCUUACCUAGACUUUAGUUUUAUGCUUCCCAUAGAUAGUAAAUUCAGUUUUAGUAAUUCCUGGAAGAACUAUAAUAUAGAAGCUAGGUACUUGUAAGUAAGCAAACAGAGCAACUGUUCAUCAUUUCCAUCAUGCAUCUUUUUGGUCUUUUGUUUUUCUAGAGAUUAAACUUAGCAGGAAAAUAAAGCACACUUAUCUACACACUCUUUUUAUUCUGUUUUCAUGUUUAUAAAAUGCAGUAAAUUAAAGCAAGAAAAUAUUUAUUGGGUUUUCUAAGUUUUUUCUCUUUAAGAUAAAUAAAACACUAAAAUAAAAAAGAAUAAAUAAGAAGAGCAAAUAAAAACUUACUUGACAAAUUUGGGAGGAACUCCCCCAAGCUGGAUGUUGAUGUCGGUCUUACCCGAUGUUCCAGAACCGCAUCAUGGUUGUGAUGUUGUCUUUCAUUGUUGUUGUAUCUUGUCUCAGCUCUUAUACUGCAGCGGCAUGGUCCUGGUUCCAUUUUUGUUGCUCCUCCAGGAGUCGUCCAUGUUCUGCUUGCGUGUUCUGGAUGUCGAGGAGGGUGUUGUCGGUACGAGUGAAGAAAGCACCGGCCUCUUGAUAGUAGUCAUUUGUGAACGCGUAGGAGGCGUCGGAGUAUCGUCCUGCAUCAAAUUGGGGUGGAGGUCUGGAUCCUGAAGCUCCAUAUGGAUCAGUGGAGUACCUGCUGUUGACACUUCUUAACGCAACCACCGGAUAUCGGCGACGGCGCCAGAAGUGCCCUGGUAGGGUAACUCUAUUUACUAUUGGAUAAUUCCGCAAGCGCACAGAAUGUACCGCUGUAGCACUUCACCAAGGAGUAUUCCAAGGUAUCGUAAUUUAUAUUUUCCCAAGGGAAAGCGGCUAAGUGUGUUUAACAAAAAGGGGAAUGAGAUUCCUUGAGUUGUCUAGUAUCAACUAGUGAAUAAGGGUGGUAAAUAACGAAUAGGAAGGGUAGUGGUGAAUCCAAGGUCCUAUGCUAAAGGUAAAUGGUAGAGUUAGCUAGGUGGGAGGACAACGAGUGAGUAAAGGACUCCUAUGUAUCUAACUUGACUUCUGUGACUUACUUUAAUAGAUAAUUGCCUUAACUACGCUAGAGCCUUACUAACUGUGUGCGAGGGAUAGCCAAGCUGGUAAGACGCUUAGAAGGUUUUUCACCUAACCCCUUACCGAAAGCGACUAUUGGGCUUAUGGACGCCUUACCUUUUAAGAACUAGCCUGUACGUGAGGAGAACCUAAUGCCGCCCACGAUCUGUCACCUACUAGGGAGUGCGCUCCUACUUUCCGUUCAAGCCAGCGGUAAUCAAAGGUAAUCUUAAGUAUGAGCACCACGCUCACACUUAAUCCUACAACUCUAACUAGUUGCAGCUAGCUAGAGCUCCUAUACAAGAUAGGACGAUGAUGCACGCACAGGAGUGGUUACAGGUCACUAACUUCACUAAGACAACUAUAUUACUAAAGUAAAUGCACAACAAGACUAAAAGACUUGCACUAAGUAAGAACUCAGUAAAGUAAAGUAAGAAUAAUAUAUUAAUAAAAGGAAAGUCUUACAAAAGUAGAAAGGUACAAGAGCUAUACCAGACUCUCCAGAAGACGACUCCGGAGACCCCGAGCUUCGCUCGACUCGACUCUAACUCCCACUCUAGACUAACUACUACUCUACUUGUAUGCUUGGAACUUGUAAUGCACUUGGCCUUGGAAUUGCACACUUGAAAUGAAGGGUGGAGGCUGCCUUUUAUAGAGGGAGAUGGAGUAGGGGUUACUCCAUCGCCACGUCAUCGAUCCGCGUGACAUCUUCUCUCCACCCUUGGAUCAAACCGACCUCACAACCGCCAUUUGAUCAACGGCAGGGGCAAAUCAACAUGUGGGACAUGUGGGGAAGGUCGGUGGGAGGCCACCGACCCUGGAACCGCCUUUGAUGUGGGGUCGGGCGACCCCACUUCUGGGCCUCUGGGCCCACCAGCAGUGUCCACAGGGGUCCCUUAUGUCGGUGGACUAGGUGGCACACCUGGGUCCCACCAAAGAGGGGUCGGGCGACCCCCUCCCUGUGGGCCCAGGGUGUCACCUGUUGUCCCCUCGAUCUCCUCUUGAUGAUUCUGAUGUUGGCUUUGUCAAAUAAUGUCUUGAAUUUGUUGUUCCUGCACAAACAAGCUAAGAGUACAAGUGGAACUAGUUAUGGAUAAAAUAUGUUCAUGUCAUGUUAUUUCCCCUUGCAACCGAGGCAUGUUGACGGUGUUUUGUAUGUGGAUUUCUAUGGUAUAUCCACCGUCAACAAGAUCCCCCAAGCUUAACCUUUGCUCGUCCCGAGCAAACAAUCAAACUUAGCCUCGGUGGAUCAGGUAUUGUUACUAUGUUCACAUUUCAAGAGUACCAUGUGUACAACAAAGUUCUUCUCUUUGCAUGAAAAAUUUAGCUAUGUAAACUUACCCCUAUUACCUUAGUCCCUUAUGGGGCUUAUGGCUUUUCCUUUGUCUUAGGUGGUUGAGAGACAAAACAGUUUGACUUGAGCACUAACUUUCUCAUUCUUAGCAAGUUUCAUAUCAGAGGUUUUGUGAUAUUUUCAAAAGAAAGCUUAAAUGUUCCUCUUAUGGUUCUCUCAUGUCACUCAAAGUGGACUAGGUUGCUCCUUUAUUUGAUAGACUCUCUAUGUAUUGAGACAUGGCUAGCUUUUUUUUAUAUAUAUGAGCUUUCAUGUGCUCAAUUUUCUUUUUCUGUGGACUUGCAUAUGUCCAUCUUUUUAUUUCAUUUUGCCUAGCCUUUUGAUGUCUCAUUUACCAAAUAAUGCUUAGAGAGAUGUUCUAACAUUUAGAGUAUGGAGCAACCUAUUUAGUGGAUGCGAAAUACAUGUGGUUGCGUACUUCCAGUGUAGAAGCAGCAUAUAUAUAUAUGUGGUGUGUACGUGAUCUUGAUCUUAGGAGCAUGAAAAGUCUCUUAACAAGGGUCAACAAGACUUGACGACACUCAACCCAAAACAAAUAGCUUAUGUGGAAAGGUUGCAAUUAUGUAAAGUAGAUAUGGCUGUGGUAGGAAUUCAUCACCAUUGAGGAACAAUUAAGGUUUUGAUCAUUUUAAGAAUAAAUCUCUGAUAAUCAUGCAUGCUUAGAAAAAUAUUAUAGUAGCUCUUGUCUUACUAUCUCAUGUCCCACAACAACUUAGACUUAGUUCUAGCACUUGCAACCCACAAAGUUUUUAGGUUCAUGGCAGUUUAAGUGAGCUAAGUGAUCCAUACUUAGAGAAAUACUAAGUUGUAUACUAGGUACUAGAGAAACAUUAACAAGCAACUAGUCAUCAUUUCCAUGAGGGAUAUAAACAUACAUGAAGCAUAUAUGCUAAAGGGAAAUGCUAAUAAAUAUUUAUUUUUUUUUAAGUAAGAAUGAUAAAAUGCAUGAAAAUAAAUAGGAUAGAAUACUUACCUUAGUGGGGGAGAGGAUCUCCCCCAAGCUAGAUCUUCGCUCACUGUGGUGGCGGGAAAUUCUGGUACCAUCCAGCCCAGCGUUGUGCGUCUUCCUCUCGCACACGUCGGAUAUGUUGGCCGUUUUGUAACGCCAGUUGCAAUGUUGCUUCUUGCCCAAUCUGCAAUUCGCCCAUGUCAUUAAUGAGACUGUCCAUACCUGUGGGCUGGUGACGCCUAGCCCUGUCCCUUGGGCGUGGAGUGCGUUGUGGAGGUAGACCCAUGGAGUCUGAAGCAUCCACUGACAUCGCUUCAUCGCCUUCUUCAACGUCAUGGUGCGAGGAUCCUCCUUGCUCCAUCUGGGCGGCUUGCAUCAUCCUUCUUGUCACCCUGCGUGUCCCUGCAAUAUCUGGACUUGCCACUUGGGCUAGUCUAAUGGUAAGUGUGCGGACCCCAUACAACCGGCGCCUCGCACAUGGGAGAGGAAUUUCGGUUGUAUAGCCCGGAUAAAUCAUUUUAAGUUCACCAUUUGGAUUUCUUAUGAGCAUGUUAGCAUUGAUAAAGAAGUUCUCAUCUACCACUCCUCUAACAUAGCCAAUGUCUUCAAAAUAAUGUGAUUCAAGUAAUCCAAAAGUAUCGGCUAUUCGAGUAAUAAAGGAUGUGAAAUAGAUGGGCUUCCCAUACUCAAUAGAGUUAAGCCAAUAGUUCACUAGCAGUUUCACAGGGGAGACCUUGAUUUUGCUAACCAUGGCAUAGAGAAUUUUAAGUUCAUCAUCAAUUAAAGUAUCAGUUCCCAUGCCAGGAUAUAGAGUGCACAUGAUCCAGAAGUGAAGAAAGCGCAAGGUUGGAUUAUGGAUUUCAAUGGGAGUAGGAUUUGAACAAUCAUUAGAGCCAGAAAUUGCUUUCCAGAAUCUAAAUUUAUCGAACAUUCUAGUGGCAUGAUCUAGAUCAAGUUCACAUUCAUGUUCACACCCUAAAGCAGUGUUUAGCAAACUCCAAUUUAAUUGAUGUUCUUGCUCACACAUGCGAAAAGAUAUUCCAUUAUUUGUGAGUUUUAGGGUGCAUAGAAAUUCCUUAGCAAGCAAUUCUUUUCCAAAUUCAGGCACUUGCCAAAAACUACUCCAACCAAUUGCUCUAAACACCUUAUCGAAUUCAACAUCCAUACCUGUGCGGGCCAAAAGGUCCGGAUCGAUGAUGCUAGUGUGUAGGAAGAGACCCUCUCGGAUGAUGUAGUACCUUUGCAACUCUUCUUGGCUUAACAUGAGGCCGCUCUCGGGCUCUCUCAUCCUUGAUGGAGGCUCGUAGGGUACCAUCCCAUGGUAACCUUCUUCUUCCUCCCUUCCAUGAGCAUGGUGAGAGCCUUGAGAAGAGCUCUCACCCUUUGCUUUCUUGAACUUGCCGAAGAUAUGCUUCUUCAUCCUCCUACACAAGUGAGGCAAACCAAGCUCCUACUACUACUACUAUGCAAGGGGAAUCUUUUUGGGUUUUUGUUUUGAUGACUAUUUCUAAACUAAACUUGAGAAAUGGCUUGUAACAAAGAGAGAAGAGAAAGGAUUGUGAGCUCGAAAUGGUUCUGGUGGUUUUGGGUGUGGAGUUGAGCUCACAAUGCUGUGGUAUUUAUAGGGGGAGAAGGGCAAGUAGUGGACCCACAAUAUAGGGGUCGGCCGACCCCCCCUAGAAGCACUUUGAAUUUGAACUUAGCUUUAUACAGGGAACCAUUCUGCAUGCUUUCAAGAUUUUGCAGAGAUGGUCCAAAAUGGGGGUCGGCCGACCCCCAUCCUAGCCCCUCCUCCACUUUAAACAUUGUGUCAUUGAUUGUCUGGAAAAGUAAAGGCUAGGUGUGGACCAAAAGUUUUCAAAUUGUUUCUGAGAUUCCCUGUUUUAGUGCUUUGUGAAAGGUAAAAGAUGAAUGGCAAAAGUGGAGACAUGUCUAAAGUGAUUCCUAUGGACCAUGGGAGCACUCAAGCAUGCCUAGGUGACCACUUUGCAGAAUUUAAGCUAGUGGAGUGGUCCCAAAAGAAUCAAAGAUGAAAGGAGCAUCUUAUGACUAAAGUAAAGGAUCAAGGGACCACUCUUUUUCAAACUUUAGCUAGUGUUACAAGCAUAGGACUCCAUUGUGAUUCAAAUGGUGGCCAGCAGGAGGCAAGUGGGGCCAAUAUGGGGGUCGGCCGACCCCCACAUUGGAGCUCCCAGAGCAUCCAAGUGCUGGGUUGGAACCUCUAUGACUAGCAAGGUUGAAAUGUGGUGAAGUGGGCCCCAAGGUGGGGUCGGGCGACCCCCCUUUGGGAGCUCCAGCAGCUCAAAUUUUUAUGACAAGUUAUUCUCAAGAUUUUAUUUAUUAUGGCUAAACAUUUUGUCGAAAUAAGAUAUGCAAAAUUCAAAGUAAGAAUGCAAUUGAAAAGUGAAUAGUAGAAAUUGAAAUGCAGAAAAUAAAUAUGGGAUAACUACUGAUUUACCUUAUCAGCAAGGGCUCCAUGUUUUAGGUCCGUAGAGCAGGACCUCUCCAUCUUGUUCAUUCUUCGGGUGCAUCAGAUGGUCCCGGAGACGUGGACCUUGAUUGCACCUCUUUCUCCCGCCAUACUUGCUUGGUAUUGAUUUUUGGUUCAGCGGGUUCCUCUUCUUUCUUUUCGGCCCUUUUGGCCGACUUACCUCUCUUGUCCCUUCGGCGUCGGAUGUGGCGAGGCUUAGUCGGAGGUUCUUUGUCCUUCACCUGCAUGUUAGCUUUAUAACCAUUGAAUGGACAUUUUACCUUCCAUCCUGGGAAUUGGAGGUGAAUCUGGCCGGACCCCACAUAGAUGACUGCAUUGACCGUGUUGAGGAAUGGCCUUCCCAAGAUGAUCGAGACAUCAUUAUUGGAUCCCAUAUCCAAAAUGAUGAAGUCGGCAGGGACGUAGUCGUCUUGGACCUUUACCAGUAUGUCCCUUGCCAACCCCUCAGGGAACCUGAUCGUCUGAUCUGCCAUCUGCAAACGAACAAAUGUGGGGUGCAAAGGCCCCCCUAGCAAAUUAUCAUAAGUUACCUUGGCCAUGAUGUUGACACCCGAUCCAAAGUCGCAGAAGGCGUUGUGGAAGAUUUGCGGUCCGAUCUCACAGGUGAUGGUCGGCAGGCCUGGGUCGUCUUUCUUGGUGAUGAAGGGCGAAUCCAGAAGAUAGCUCCAGUUGGAUUGUACCGGAGGCUUACCGAACCUCGUAGUAACUAGUUUAACUCCUUCAAUUGGGUCCUCAGGUUUCCCUGGGAUCUUACCUUGCUCGAAGGAUGGGACAGCUGCUGCUAAUUGAGCUAAUUGUGUUUCUAGCAUUUUGUUAAAGCUCAACUGAUUUUUCAUAGCAGAGUUAAAGCUAUCCAACUUUUCACUUAAGUUUUCAAGGAUCUUAUCAUUAGGCAUCAUUUUCUUGUUAAUGCUAUCAUUGAUUUUAGAUUGGCCUAAGACAAGAUCUCUAAGAGAAGGUUGGUUACCAAAAGAAUUAUUGAAAUUUUGAUUGUAACUAUUACCUUGAUUACCUUGGUAGAAGGGGCGCGAGUUCCAUUGCUGUUGUUGGGGCCGGUACCCAUUGUUGUUGUUGUUGAUGAAGCUCACUUCCUCCUUUGUUUCGGGACAAUUGUUUCCCGAAUGAUCAUCUCCUCCGCACACUUCGCACCAUGAAUCAGAUUCAAUGGCCCGUGCAGUGGCGUAAGGUUGAAUGGUCUCUUGCUUGGAACUUUCUUCCAUCUUCUUCAUUAAGAGGUCCAUCUUAGCAGAGAGCAUGUCCACCUCAUUCAAGGCAUGGACACCUCUUCUCUUGGGUUGGAGGCGUUCCUCAUUCCAUCCUUGGUUUAUAACCAUCUUUUCAAUGAGGUCCUUGGCAUCCUUGACAUUGUGUUGCAAGAAUGCUCCUCCAGCGGCAGCAUCAAGGUGACUACGGGCCAAACCGGUCAGGCCAUGGUAGAAACCUUGGAUUAGGAGCCACUCCUCUAUCCCAUGAUGAGGACAGGCGCGAAUGUACUCCUGCAGACGUUCCCAUGCUUCGGGAAUCGUCUCAUCCGCUUGCUGUUGGAAGCUGGAAAUCUUUCCACGAAGGGCGCUGGUCUUGCCCAUCGGAAAGAACUUCUUGAGAAAUGCAUUGGCGCACCUCUCCCACGUGGUCACUUCACCCUUGUUGGCGUAGAACCAUUGCUUCGCCUUCCCCAAUAACGAGAAUGGGAAGAGGCGAAGACGGAUGGCGUCUGCGGCGACAUUCUUGAUGGUGAAGGUGCCGCACACCUCCAAGAAGUGUUGGAGAUGGGCAUUGGCAUCCUCGUGUGGCUUUCCACAGAAGGGAUUGGCUUGCACCAUAUUGAUAAGUGCAGGCUUUAACUCAAAAGUCGCAUCCCCCAAGUUAAGCUGCGGACCCGUGGCGACAUUGUCAGCCGACGGCGCAGAGUACUCAGAGAUGGUCUUCUGGGCCAUAGCUUCUUUGAUAACCGGUGCAGAUACUCCUUCCUCUAACGGAUUCAGGUUCGAGAUGAACCUUUGAGGUGGAACUUGACGACGUCUAGUUCUCCUCAACAGUUGCUCAGGAUCUUCAACGAAGUUUGACGGCAAUUGGAAACCGCUCAUACACUGUCAGGCUUCACAAUAAGGAAGACAAGACAAGUGAUGGGUUAUCCCUAUCACUACUUGAUAACUAGCAAACUCUGGAUUCUCUUUUUGUUAAAACUCUUAGACAGACGCUCUCCCCGGCAACGGCGCCAGAAAUGCUUGUUGACACUUCUUAACGCAACCACCGGAUAUCGGCGACGGCACCAGAAGUGCCCUGGUAGGGUAACUCUAUUUACUAUUGGAUAAUUCCGCAAGCGCACAGAAUGUACCGCUGUAGCACUUCACCAAGGAGUAUUCCAAGGUAUCGUAAUUUAUAUUUUCCCAAGGGAAAGCGGCUAAGUGUGUUUAACAAAAAGGGGAAUGAGAUUCCUUGAGUUGUCUAGUAUCAACUAGUGAAUAAGGGUGGUAAAUAACGAAUAGGAAGGGUAGUGGUGAAUCCAAGGUCCUAUGCUAAAGGUAAAUGGUAGAGUUAGCUAGGUGGGAGGACAACGAGUGAGUAAAGGACUCCUAUGUAUCUAACUUGACUUCUGUGACUUACUUUAAUAGAUAAUUGCCUUAACUACGCUAGAGCCUUACUAACUGUGUGCGAGGGAUAGCCGAGCUGGUAAGACGCUUAGAAGGUUUUUCACCUAACCCCUUACCGAAAGCGACUAUUGGGCUUAUGGACGCCUUACCUUUUAAGAACUAGCCUGUACGUGAGGAGAACCUAAUGCCGCCCACGAUCUGUCACCUACUAGGGAGUGCGCUCCUACUUUCCGUUCAAGCCAGCGGUAAUCAAAGGUAAUCUUAAGUAUGAGCACCACGCUCACACUUAAUCCUACAACUCUAACUAGUUGCAGCUAGCUAGAGCUCCUAUACAAGAUAGGACGAUGAUGCACGCACAGGAGUGGUUACAGGUCACUAACUUCACUAAGACAACUAUAUUACUAAAGUAAAUGCACAACAAGACUAAAAGACUUGCACUAAGUAAGAACUCAGUAAAGUAAAGUAAGAAUAAUAUAUUAAUAAAAGGAAAGUCUUACAAAAGUAGAAAGGUACAAGAGCUAUACCAGACUCUCCAGAAGACGACUCCGGAGACCCCGAGCUUCGCUCGACUCGACUCUAACUCCCACUCUAGACUAACUACUACUCUACUUGUAUGCUUGGAACUUGUAAUGCACUUGGCCUUGGAAUUGCACACUUGAAAUGAAGGGUGGAGGCUGCCUUUUAUAGAGGGAGAUGGAGUAGGGGUUACUCCAUCGCCACGUCAUCGAUCCGCGUGACAUCUUCUCUCCACCCUUGGAUCAAACUGACCUCACAACCGCCAUUUGAUCAACGGCAGGGGCAAAUCAACAUGUGGGACAUGUGGGGAAGGUCGGUGGGAGGCCACCGACCCUGGAACCGCCUUUGAUGUGGGGUCGGGCGACCCCACUUCUGGGCCUCUGGGCCCACCAGCAGUGUCCACAGGGGUCCCUUAUGUCGGUGGACUAGGUGGCACACCUGGGUCCCACCAAAGAGGGGUCGGGCGACCCCCUCCCUGUGGGCCCAGGGUGUCACCUGUUGUCCCCUCGAUCUCCUCUUGAUGAUUCUGAUGUUGGCUUUGUCAAAUAAUGUCUUGAAUUUGUUGUUCCUGCAUAAACAAGCUAAGAGUACAAGUGGAACUAGUUAUGGAUAAAAUAUGUUCAUGUCAUGUCAUUUCCCCUUGCAACCGAGGCAUGUUGACGGUGUUUUGUAUGUGGAUUUCUAUGGUAUAUCCACCGUCAACACCUGCCCGUAUGAAAAGGCGGGUUUGUCCACUGGUGAUCUUGGCUCUCCGGCCAUGUCUCCUCUGUUGGCUCUUGUGGUUGCGCAUGUCGAACCCAUGGGUCUCGAAGGACUCGGGGGUUGUAGUCGCAAUAAUGCAGGUGCGCUGCUUCUUCUGGCCUGGGAUCAGCUCCAUACCAGGUGCGUUCUCGAUGGGUGGUCAUCCUUUCAGAUGCCACUCGCUGUGGAGCUCUCUGAUUCACCGGUGUUGCUGCAAUCUCAAUCAAAAAAUUUUGAACAACGUAGAGGCCAAGGUUCAGGUUAGGUAACCGAAUCUUGCCUUUAUCAUCAUAUAGCAUAUACAUUAUAUUCCCCUCUUUCUUUAACAUUCGAGCUUGUCUAAAUGUGUCAUAGCCAUGAUAAAUUCUUAACUCAUCUAUGAAUUCCAACGAUGAGUUUUCUAGCAAGUGAAGAUUAGAGGCUAGACGAGUGAUAAGUGAAGUACAUCCUACUGGUCCCUGAAGACUAGGUACACUAAGCCAAUGAGAAACUAAAAGUGUAACAGGUGAAGUGGGUACUUUAUUAAUAGCAGCAUAUAAAAGUUGCAAAUCUCCUACUCUUACUUUCCUAAUAUCAUCACGAUAGAAAAGAUUGUACCCAAGCCAUUUGUGGAACACCCUAACAGUGGGGUGUUCCAUGUCACUGGUUCGAGCUUGACUAUAAAAAUUAUCUCUAGAUAUUUCUCUCCAAAACUGGUGCCUCUCAGAGUUAGGUAGGUCGGAGUCAAUGUUCAGGAUGCAUCUUGAAGAGAAACCAAGAUGGUCGCUUAGUUCUCUCCAAGACAACAUAAUCUCCUGUUUGAACAUCCGAAAAACAAUUCCCCCCUCAUAAUAUUGUAAGGUGCACAGAAAUUCGAGGGUGAGAAGAUGAGAACCCAGCUCAGUUAUAUUCCAAAAAUUUGUCCAACCUAUCAUCUGGAAAAUUAAGUCAAAUUCAGUGUCCAUACCUGUUUCUUGUAGUAAGAUUGGAUCAAGAGUAGGGGUGUGAAUGAAAUCUUUGUUCUUCAAUUGCUGAUAUACUUCUUUCUCUAUUCGGGUCUUUAGUCCUUGGUCUCCUAUCUUGAGAAGGACCUUGACUUGCUGACGAGAUGAAGAUGACGGAGCUUGUGUUUGUUGGGUCGACGCUCAUCUCUGAUGGGUGUGAGGAGUGUCGGGAUGAACUCCUUGUACCAAUGUUCUUGAGAGCCUUCCCUGCGUUCUUCACCUUCUUAAACGUCCUGUAAACAAAAGUUGGCAAAAACACAACUAGUGGAAAAUGUGAGAGAAAAUGUUAGUGGUCAGCUGUCCGGAAUGUCAGUAGUCCAGGGGUUAGUCGUUCAAGAUAAAUUUCUAUUUUGGCAGAACCUCCCCCUAAACAACUUUUACUUCCGCUUAGACAGCGGGAUCACUACUUACUAGGUGAUACUCACUCUCUCACUCAAAAACUACCAACUUCUUUUCCACUCUUCUCUUCUUCUCUACUUCACUACAAGAGCUCCUGCUCUGGAAACUGAAACUUGUGUGGUUUUCUGGAAUGCUUGUGUGAAGAAGAUGGAGGUAGAAGGUGGCUAUUUAUAGGAGGAAGAGGGGGCAGGGCGGGCGCCCUUGGUAGGUGGGUGGGCGCCCACCUUUGGUGCCCAUCCUGGCUGCCCUUUCUCCACUCCUUCCUCUGCUUAAUUCUCACGCAAAAUAAUGGAUCAUGGGUGGUGGUUGGCCGGUGGAAAAGUGCUGGUUAGUGGAGAUAUGUUGGUGGAUGAAAUAAUGUGAUGGGAUGUAUGUGAGGUGUGGUGUAUGACAUGUGGGACCCAAGGAGUGUGGGUCAUGCUUCUAGAAACUUGCUAUAAUUAAAUAUAAUGCAGGAAAAUCUAUGAGAAUUGAAACUUAAUUGAAAUGAUAAUGGAAAAUAUUUUUGUGCCUCCACAAUAAUUAAUAAAUAUGGGUUGUUACACACCAUAAAUAUUAUUUAUAUGGGGCUUUUGAUUAUUAUAAUAAUGCUAUGACUAAUGCAAGAAUUAAUUAUGCAAGAAUUUAAAUAUGAGAAAAUUAAUAAUGCGAAUAAAUACCGAUUUACCUCCCGGUGAGGGUUUGGGAUUUUUAGGUCCCCCAAGUUGGACCUCCAAAUCUUUUAACCUUCUGAGUUACCUUCCUCCGGAGAUGGUGUCUCCAGUGGUUCUUCUUCAUGAACUUCCUUCACUGUAGAGUCUCUCUCUGGUCUGGGUUUGAAUGUGAAGUGUUCUUCUUGUCUGUUAAUGUUGAACUUGAUUUCUCCUUUUCCGACAUCAAUGUGGGCAUUGGCAGUGCUCAGAAAUGGCCUUCCAAGGAUGAUGGACACUUUUGAGUCAGGACUCAUGUCCAGUACUACAAAGUCUACUGGCACAAGGAAAUCUCUAAUCUUGACUGGAAUGUUCUCGGCGAUGCCCAGCGGGUGUCGAACCGAUUGAUCCGCUAGUUGUAGGCACAUUGAUGUUGGUUCUAGAGUCGCAUGCUCAAGCUUUUUGUAGACUAAUGCUGGCAUCACACUGACACUUGCUCUGAGAUCACAAAGUGCAUUGUUGAAGUGUUAGUUUCCGAUCUAGCUAUCAAUAGUGGGGCAUCCUGGAUCUUCCUUCUUCCUUGGUGGUAUAUUGAGGAUGGCCGCACUACAUUCUUCUGUCAGCUUGAUAACCUCAGUGGCGGGUAGUGGUCUCUUCUUGUUAAGAAUAUCUCUGAUGUACUUUGCAUAUGUAGGUACCUGUAUGGCAUCCAGCAGAGGUAUGUUGACAUAUAAUUUCUGAAUGACCUCUACAAACUUACCAAACUGCUCAUCCGACUGCAGUCCUCUGUUUCUUCUAGGAAAUGGCAAAUAGUUGGUGUCGUAAAAAUCUUUCCUCAUUUCUCCAGUUCUUGGUGGUUGUAGCAGAUCUUCUGCUUCAACUGGGCUUUCAUCUUCUAUCACUGCUGGUUGCACUGGUGCUAAUGUUCUUUGUUUCUCUUUUGGGUAAGGGGGAUCUCUGGUGGCUUUACCUCCUCUAGUAGUUAUAUUCUUUACCUGCUCAAUGUUAGUAGCAACAGGCAGUGCAGCAGCUAGCUUUAUUAAAUUAAGCUCUACCCUUUUAUUAAGAGUGUUUUGCUCAUCAAAGGUAGUUAAUAGAAAAUCCAUUUUAUUGUGUAUAUCUUUUAGAGAUGAUUCAUUUGUAUCUAGCCUUUGUUUAACUUCAUCAUUAAUUUUGGUUUGUUGAGCAAUUAUCUCUUUUAAUGAAAGUUGUUUGAAAGUAUUACCUGAAUUCAUACCUUUGCUAUUGGGUUGACCCGAACUUGGUUGAUAUUUGUAUGUUGUCUCAAUGGCCCUUUGAUCUUCUUUGAACUUGGCCCUCUGGUCAAUCCAAUGGAGCAAAUUUUCCAUCUUGGUCGAUAAUGCAUUUACUUCUUCUGGUAUUUCUUCAGUUUGAUGACAUUGUUGAGCUUUAUCUUGGAACCAGCUUUGAUUUUUUGCUAUCUUAUCCAAAAGUAUCUCUGCUUUUCCAGUUGUAAGUGUUGAUAUUUGGGAACGCAAUAAGGAAUUGAUCCGCAAGCGCACGGAUAUCGGUGAGCACUUCACCCGAGAAAUUAUCCAGAGUAUCGUAUUUAUUUUUUUUACCACUAGGAGAAAGAGUGCAUCUGACUAACCGGUCUAUUACUACUAACCUUUAGGCACAAAGAAUGUCUUUCGAUGUGAGUGAUAAAUAGAGAAGACUGCAACCGUAGUCUCCUUCUAACCUUGGUAAGGAUGAUCUAAUGUUCUAAUGGGGAGGCUAACGGAAUCUAGACACCACAAAGGAUGUUCAACCCGCACCUAUAAACCCUAUCCUUCCUGCAAACGAGAUGUGAUCUACAAAGGUAGCUCGGAAUUGUCACGUUCCUCACUACUACCACGGUCCAGCUAGUCAGGGAAUAUCUAUGAGUACCCCAGCCUAAACACCACGUUUACGCCAGCAAUGAUUACUCUAAACUCUACGCGAAGAGAUUAAAGUAAACUAAUAAACCAUAAGAACAAUAAAACAAGAACUUACAAGAAUUUAGAAGUCGAAUUACUGAAGAAUCCUAGGAGCAAGCUUCGGGUUAGGAGAACUUGAUCCCGCAGGUACAAGCUUGGAGUAGACACCGACAGGCCGGGCUUCCUCCAAUCUACACCUCCACUCUAUCUCUCUCAAUCUAGUAGAAACUAGAAGAUCUAUUUCUACCUUACAUUGGUUGCUAAGCCUAAAAAGAAAUAUUAAUUAGAGAAGAGGUUUUCCUUCGAGGGCACCCCUCAGUCUCUAUGAUAAUUUCUUCAUGUCUUCUCCAGGGGCCAGGGGGGUCUCCUUAUAUAGUCCUCCCCUUCUAUGCGUUUUUGGGUCGAUAGGCGAGGUGGUACUAUGUUUUUCUUGAUCCAAUAGGUCGGUAGAAUAUCCCGAGCGAAGAGAGUCCUGAUCUGGCUCCAGCAGGGGGCGGGCGCCCAGGUCACCAGGGCGGGCGCCCUAGGCCUGGCCCCUUUCGGCCUCCGUCUUCUUCCCGUGGCUUCUGGAAUCUUCUAGAUGGUGUAAAAUCGUGCGGUGCGUUGAUAUCUCUAUGUAAUCCCGACAUGUGGGCCUUUCUUCCUUAUUUCCUGAUAACCCCCUGCAGAAACAGAUAAACAACAAAACUCGUGGAAUUCUAUCAGAUCAAACCCUAAUUCUAGGUGUUGGUUGCAUAUUGGUCCCUUUUCUUGUUUAUUUGAUAAUUAAAAUUGAUACUUAAGAACCGUCAACAAAUACCCCCAUACUUAGGCUUUUACUCGUCCUCGAGAAAAGGAUGGUUAAGAAAAAUAUCUGGGGUAAACAUUUUAAAGCAUUCUCUAUAUAAUUGCAGGGUGUUAAAAAUCCACAGUGUACCAUAGUCAGGGAAGUUUAUGAUCAAGAGUAAAGAUCCUUUCUUCUCAAUCCUAUCACUUGGAGUUUUUGUAUAUUUUUGAAAGAAAGUUAGCAUACCUUUUGAUCCUCAUAGGUUCUCUCAGAUGACUCAUUAUCUUUUAUAUAUAUAUCUCACUGAGGCUGUUUUAUUUUGCAAAAAUUCUUAAGCAUUCUUACUUUGCAUUUAUUGCCUGAUCAAAACGGGAUCCGAGGAGGGGAAUGUCAUACUCUUAGAUCAAAGACUUUGGAAAUUAAAAUCUUUGUCAACUCUUGCUGGCAUAUUGCUUAUUAGAGGGACCAUGGGCUAUCAUUUUUUUCUCUUUUCUCUUUUUUUAAGUGGAUACUGAGGUACCCCUAAUUCUACUGCCGGACUCUUGUCCAUUUUUUCUGCGAGGUUAUCGAGCACUUGCUCCUUUUAUUUCCUCGAAAUAUUUCUAUUUUUGCAUAGCCCAUGCCACUAAUGCAAUAAUACUUCGGAAGAGUGAAUCUUACUGAAAUAAUGUCUUGAUCUUGGGAGCAUGAUAAAUCUCUCAACAAGGGUCUAACUCAUUUUGAACAAACUCAAUACAGAGCAGAUAGCUUUUAUAAUCAUAAUUAAUAUUUUCAGUUUUAUCAGGCAUAUAAAACACUGAGGAUGGUAGCUACAAAUUUGAAUAUUUUGAAAUAAAUUCUCCAAGCAACAAUGAUAUCAAGAAUAAGAAACUCAUACUCUACCCUCACAUAUUCCAUAUUGACUUAAGUAACACAAGGUUUUAAAUGAUUUUAUAAUAAUUGCAAGUUUUCAGGAAAUAUCAUAGAUUGAGAUUAAUCAUGAUUAGAAAUAUUUUAAUCUUUUUAUUUUAUCAUGUCGGAAACAGUAAUCUGCAUAAUCCAAAAUAAAUGUAUGUGUAAAGUGUGCAGAGUGUGUACCUGAAUCGUGGAGUGGUGUAGUUGGAGUGUGUUUGGCAUGUCGAGGGAUCUCCCCCAUACUUGUUUUCUGCUUUCUUGCACAAAAAUAAAGUAGAGACACACAAGACAUAAUAAUAAUAAUAAUAAUACUCUUUAUUGAUCUUGAGGCAUUUAUUACAAAAGACUGAUAGCAAACUGAUAGCAAACUGAUAAUAGCAAACUUAAACUGAAUUUUAAAGAUAGAUGACUAAGAUGCAUUGCCUCAAGGUCUAAUCUAGAUAACUUAGCGGCGCUCUAAUUCCUUGAUCUUCUUGUUGGCACUGGCAAGAUCCUGCCUAAGGCCUAGUAUAAUGGUGUUGUGGUUAGAGAGCUGCCUAGUGAGGGAAUUAAUCGAGGACUGGAGGUCUAUGAUAACUCUAUCUAGCCUGCGAACUUCCUCAUCAAUAUCCAUUAUAGUCUUGCGACGCUUGGGAGGUGUCUCAAAAGCAUUGAGAGAGUGCUUCGGGGCUGCCUUUGGAGGGAUGAAACGGACUUUGGAUGCUCUAAUCCCUUCAAAGUAAGGCCUUUCCUCCUCUGUAGUGUAGCGAAUACUGCUGAUCUCGCCGCUCCGGUUGGUCUUGACUCCAACGACCCUCUCAUUGGGUCCAGGUGGAAGGAUCCUUGUGCCAAUUGGCACCUUGAUAGCGGUCUUCGUCUUGGAUGAUGAUCCUUUGAGGAGUAGGGGUUGUGGCGGUGCGGUGAGAACUGGUUGAGCAUGGUAAGAUUGGGCGGAGCUGCUUUGGCGUAAUGGCAUGGCUUCUAGUUGACGCUCUGUGUUGGCCGGGACGAGAGCACGGGCAUCGGGGUCCUCCACAGGCUCCAUGUUGAGGUUGAAGGGGACGACUUCCCAAUCAUCGUGGUACUUCUCGGCCAUUAGAACAGCAAGGAACUAAUCAAACUUUAAUUGAAGGAGAGCUAAUCAAGCUCUAAUUGAAGGAGAGAAAGCUUGGUGGCUUGGUGUUUGAAAACUGAGGUCAGGGGUCUGUUUAUAUAGGGGUCAAAAGGGUGCCUCUAUGGGUUGUUCGGGUUGCUCCCGUCGACGUGCGUGCGAAACUUUCCAUCCGAGGGAUUAUUUGGAUCACCCUAAGUGUAUUUUCCAUAACAGAGAAAGUCGGGACCGAGGGGGAACAGGGGCUGGGCGCCCGCCCUCUCUCUGACCCCUCUGUGGGCCCACUUCUCUGAGCGCGUUUCUAGAUGCGGAAUUAUUUAGAAAAAUAUAUAUAUGACCCAAAACUAUCAGACCAAAAGUGUCGGGCUUUAAUUCUCCAUGGGAAGGUAAAAAUGGACUACGUCUAUUUCUUCAAAUUCCUCAUUGGGCUCUAAAAAUAAUUUAAGACGUUGACCAUUUACCUUGAAUAACGUACCUUCGCUAUUUUGAAGUGUGAUAGCUCCGUGGGAUGAUGAAUUGAUUACCUUGAAUGGUCCUUCCUAUUUGCUCCGGAGUUUUCCAUGCCCGAAGAGCUUCACCCUGGAAUUAAAAAGUAAUACCUUAUCUCCGGGUGUGAACUCCUUCUUGAUUCUCUUGUCAUGCCACCUCUUGACUCUUUCUUUGUAGAUCUUUGAAUUGUGAUAUGCCUUCUCUCGCCAUUCUUCCAAUUCUGAUAGUUGCAUUCUUCUAUAAUCUCCAGCAACAUCUAGGUCCAUAUUCCAUCUCUUUAUGGCCCAGUGUGCUUUGAACUCUAGUUCAACAGGUAGAUGGCAAGUCUUCCCGUACACCAAUUGGUAUGGAGACAUUCCAAUUGGGGUCUUGUAUGCUGUCCGGUAUGCCCAGAGUGCAUCGGGUAACUUGUCUUUCCACGCCGUUCCCAUUUCAUUUACUGUCUUUUGAAGAAUAUUCUUGAUUUGUUUGUUGGAAGUCUCUGCUUGGCCACUUGUCUGAGGAUGAUAGGGGGUAGCGACGUUGUGACGGAUUCCAUGUCUUGAUAGAUAUUGCUUGAAGUGUUUGUCGAUGAAGUGUGCUCCUCCAUCACUUAUCACUACUCUGGAGACUCCAAAUCUUGGAAAUAUAAUUUCUUCGAACAUCCUCUUUGAACUGACGUUGUUGGCAUGCUUGCAAGGUAAUGCUUCUACCCACUUGGAGACAUAGUCAACUGCCACCAAGAUGUACUCGCACUUCUUUGAUGGAGGAAAUGGACCCAUGUAGUCUAUUCCCCAGACAUCAAAGAGCUCAAUCUGAAGGUUGUUGGUGAGUGGCAUUGCAUCCCUUGUAUUUAUGUUUCCGUGUCUUUGACAUGGCCCACAUCUUCUGAUAUAUUGCCUCGUGUCUUCAUACAUUGUAGGCCAAUAGAAUCCACACUGCCAGAUCUUUGAAUGUGUACGGAAUGCUCCAUAGUGACCUCCAUAUGGUGACGAAUGACAUUUGUCGAUGAUCUUCCAUCCUUCCUCGGUGGUCACACAUCUCCUGAGUAAGCCAUCAGAGCAUACUCGGAAGAGGUAUGGCUCAUUCCAUAUAUGUGAACGACUUUCUUGAAUAAGCUUCUUCUUGUUUGCUCCUGGUGGUACAUACCCUGAAACCAUAAAAUUAACAAUAUCUGCAUACCAGGGGUCAGACCUGUUAAUCCCGUAGAGCAUGUCGUCCUAGAGUAAAUCAUUGAUGGGGGUUUCCUGUGGACUCUUAAAAUACAUUCUAGACAAGUGAUCAGCAACAGAAUUUUCUACUCUCUUUUUAUCUUUUAUUUCUAAGUCAAAUUCUUGGAGUAAUAAAAUCCAUCUAAUCUGGCGAGGUUUAGCAUCUUUUUUAGUGAGCAAAUAUUUUAAUGCAGCAUGAUCAGUGUAAACAAUUAUUUUAGCUCCAACUAAAUAAGAUCUAAAUUUAUCAAUGGCAAAGACAACAGCCAGAAGCUCUUUUUCAGUGGUUGCAUAGUUAAGUUGAGCUCCUGUCAAAGUUUUACUGGCAUAAGCAAUUGCAUGAUGCUUCUUAUCUUUAGUUUGUCCCAAUACUGCCCCCACAGCAUAAUCACUAGCAUCACACAUAAUUUCAAAAGGCAACGACCAAUCAGGGGGUUGAAUGAUUGGUGCAGAGAUGAGUGCUUUCUUUAAUAAAUUGAAAGAUGUUAGACAUGCAUCAUCAAAUUCGAAAGGAGCAUCCUUGGCUAGCAAAAGGGUAAGUGCUCUAGCAAUAAAUGAAAAAUCUUUUAUGAAUCUACGAUAAAAACCAGCAUGGCCAAGAAAGCUUCGAAUUCCUUUUAUAUUCACAGGUGGAGGUAGUUGUUCAAUUACUUCAAUUUUAGCUUUGUCUACCUCAAUCCCUCUUUCAGACACUAAGUGUCCUAGCACUAUUCCUUCCCUAACCAUAAAAUGACAUUUUUCCCAAUUAAGGAUAAGUGCUUUUCUUCACAUCUUUGCAAAACCUUGUCUAAGUUUUCAAGACAACUAUCAAAAGUUUUUCCAUAAACAGAGAAAUCAUCCAUGAAAACUUCCAUAAUCUCUUCAAUCAUAUCAGAAAAUAUAGACAUCAUGCAUCUUUGAAAAGAAGCUGGUGCAUUACAUAACCCAAAAGACAUUCUACGGUAAGCUUAAGUUCCAUAAGGGCAUGUAAAAGUGGUUUUGCUUUGAUCAUCAGGAUGGAUCGGGAUUUGAUGAUACCCUGAAUAUCCAUCUAAGAAACAGAAGAACGAAUGGUUUGCUAACCGCUCUAGCAUCUCAUCUAUAAAAGGUAAAGGAAAGUGAUCCUUUCUCGUGGCUUUGUUUAGUUUUCUAUAGUCUAUGCACAUCCGCCAUCCUGUGACGGUGCGUUGCGGAAUUAGCUCGUUCUUUCAUUCAUAAUAACAGUCAUGCCUCCCUUUUGGGCACAACUUGUACUGUGCUCACCCACUCACUGUGCGGCACAGGAUAUAUAAUCCCUGCAUGCAGCAACUUUAUAACUUCCUUUUUAACUACCUCUCUCAUAGUGUUGUUAAGUCUACGUUGGGGUUCUCGAGAGGGUGUAACAGAAGGAUCUGUUGGAAUACAAUGGGUACAAAUCAUAGGACUGAUUCCUGUAAGAUCUUGAAGUGAGUAGCCGAAAACGGAGUGAUGUUUCUCAAGAAUGGUCAUUAAUCGCAGAGUUUGAUCCUGAGUGAGUUUAUCGCUAAUGAUCACAGGGAACUCUGGAUUAUUGUUUAGGAAAGCAUAGGUAAGACCGGGUGGUAAAGUUUUAAGCUCUAUGGGGGGUCUAGGUGUUUCUGCAAACUCAUCUAAGGGUUCAGGUUCAGAAGGUUCGUCUUCUUCUUCUAUGAAGAAAGGAGUUUCGUCUUCUAAGUCUGGUUCAUCUAAAAGCUCUAGAGAUGCAGCCUUUACUUCCUCCAUAGGGUUAGGCAAAAGAUAUGACUCGGCCUUAUUGUUUAAGGAGUGUGAAAUUAUUAUUGGGAAUUUAAAAGUUUUUCCAAAAGAAAUGUGUAGCUUUCCAGUAUGACCUUCAUAAAGGAGUCUUCUAAAAGGUUGUCCUAUCAACAGGUCGAAGUCCCAUGUAUCAAAGAUAUAGAAGUUCAAAUGAACCAUGGAGCCUUCUACCAUAAGAGGUAGGACAUUAAUAUUCCAAGACUGGGGACUAAUCGUCCUGAAGAUUCCUUUAUGACCUUUGUUGUGGGGGUUAAGACAAGAUUUUAAAAUAGUUUAAGUGCAAAAGAUUCGGACAUGAUGUUGAUCCCCACAACAGGAUUAUAAAGAGCAUUAAAUCGAUCAGAAUUAUAAGCACAGCGUAUAGUUAUAGAGGGUGUGUCCAAACGGAUCACAUCAGAGGAAAGCUCUGAUUCCUCCAACCAUUCGCUACUCAUGACUGAGAUAAGCUCUCUCAAUUGAUAUUCACUUGGAAAAUAAAUGCUAAACUGGCCGUUUUGGGGUUUGUCAAUAGAAUGGUAAUUUGAAAUAUUUCCAAAAUCGGCAAAAAGAUCGGAUUCUAUAUCCAGCAUGAAGUCCGGUAGUGGAAUUUCUUCCUCUUGUGGCUCAGAACUUGGAAUAGCUAAAGUAGAUGAAGAAUUUGGCAGAGUGUCUACUUCGGCUUCGUAGGUUUCAUCAUGAAGGGUAUUAUCCAUCUCAGCUUCUAGGAUUCUAUCUAGGAUCACUCUAGCUUCCUCAGCAGGGAUGCGAAAGAAAGAACCUCUAGACAUUGUGUGUAGCAUUUGUUUGUGAUUUUUAUGAAGACCUCGAAAAAAGUGGAAUAAAAGAACAGAGUCUUCAAGAUUAAGGUUUGGACCAGAUUCUAAAAGAUCAGAAAAAUGUUUCCAGGAUUUUCCCAAAGUUUCAUUAUCUUUUUGUUUAAAAGAUAGGACUUCGAGUCUAAGGUCAGCUAUACGGUCAAGGGAAUAGAAAUCUAGACAAAAGUUGGCUCGUAAAACUCCCCAUUCACCUUGUUGUUGACUUACCUUCUGACUGUACCAUUGUCUAGCUUCUCCUCUUAAGGAAAAAGGAAAAAGCUUCCAACGUAAAGUCUUAUCAGAAAUGCCUUCAAUGCGAAGACAAUCACAUGUUUGCUCAAAAUCUCUAAUAUGAAGGUAAGGGUUUUUGUCUUCCUUUCCCGAAAAAGAUAGGUUUUGAAUCAUGGCAAUCAACCUAGAACUUAACUUAUACUAGGAUGUUUGGAUAGGCUGUGAUGAUUACCAUGGUAAAAGGUCAGUUGCUAAAGGGAUUGCAGACUCAUGGAUCGAUUUAGAAUUUUGGUUUUCCAUAAGGUAAGAAUAAUGUAAAUAAAGAAUAUAAAAGAUAAGAAAAAAUAAAAGUAUAGAUACAAGCUAAUAGUAAGACUCAGGUUAUCUCAGCAACCGUCUUUCUCCCAGGCAACGGCGCCAGAAAUGCUUGUUGAUAUUUGGGAACGCAAUAAGGAAUUGAUCCGCAAGCGCACGGAUAUCGGUGAGCACUUCACCCGGGAAUUAUCCAGAGUAUCGUAUUUAUUUUUUUACCACUAGGAGAAAGAGUGCAUCUGACUAACCAGUCUAUUACUACUAACCUUUAGGCACAAAGAAUGUCUUUCGAUGUGAGUGAUAAAUAGAGAAGACUGCAACCGUAGUCUCCUUCUAACCUUGGUAAGGAUGAUCUACUGUUCUAAUGGGGAGGCUAACGGAAUCUAGACACCACAAAGGAUGUUCAACCCGCACCUAUAAACCCUAUCCUUCCUGCUAACGAGAUAUGAUCUACAAAGGUAGCUUGGAAUUGUCAUGUUCAUCACUACUACCACGGUCCAGCUAGUAAGGGAAUAUCUAUGAGUACCCCAGCCUAAACACCACGUUUACGCCAGCAAUGAUUACUCUAAACUCUACGCGAAGAGAUUAAAGUAAACUCAUAAACCAUAAGAACAAUAAAACAAGAACUUACUAGAAUUUAGAAGUCGAAUUACUGAAGAAUCCUAGGAGCAAGCUUCAGGUUAGGAUAACUUGAUCCCGCAGGUACAAGCUUGGAGUAGACACCGACAGGCCGGGCUUCCUCCAAUCUACACCUCCACUCUAUCUCUCUCAAUCUAGUAGAAACUAGAAGAUCUAUUUCUACCUUACAUUGGUUGCUAAGCCUAAAAAGAAAUAUUAAUUAGAGAAGAGCUUUUCCUUCGAGGGCACCCCUCAGUCUCUAUGAUAAUUUCUUCAUGUCUUCUCCAGGGGCCAGGGGGUCUCCUUAUAUAGUCCUCCCCUUCUAUGCGUUUUUGGGUCGAUAGGCGAGGUGGUACUAUGUUUUUCUUGAUCCAAUAGGUCGGUGGAAUAUCCCGAGCGAAGAGAGUCCUGAUCUGGCUCCUGCAGGGGGUGGGCGCCCAGGUCACCAGGGCGGGCGCCCUGGGCCUGGCCCCUUUCGGCCUCCGUCUUCUUCCCGUGGCUUCUGGAAUCUUUUAGAUGGUGUAAAAUCGUGCGGUGCGUUGAUAUCUCUAUGUAAUCCCGACAUGUGGGCCUUUCUUCCUUAUUUCUUGAUAACCCCCUGCAGAAACAGAUAAACAACAAAACUCGUGGAAUUCUGUUAGAUCAAACCCUCAUUCUAGGUGUUGGUUGCAUAUUGGUCCCUUUUCUUGUUUAUUUGAUAAUUAAAAUUGAUACUUAAGAACCGUCAACAGUAAGCUCCAAGAAUGAUCCUUUAGCAGAUGCAUCUAGGCACUCACGAGCCUUCUGGGUUAAUCCAUGGUAGAAGGUCUGCAUAAGUAACCAUGUGGCCAUUCCAUGGUGAGGACAAUCUGAUAUGUAUCCUUGAAAACGCUCCCAUGCUUCUGAAAUGGUUUCUGUCUUCUGCUGUUGGAAACUGACAAUAUUUCCUCUUAAGGCAGUUGUUUUGCCUAUAGGGAAAAACUUUGAUAGAAAGGCAUUUGACAAGUUCGUCCAGUUGUUGAUGUUAUCUUGAUGAGUGUAGAACCACUUCCUCACUUUCCCUUCUAGUGAGAAUGGAAAAAGGCGAAGCAGUAUGACGUCUUUGUCAACUCCAUUGAUUUGGAUUGUGCUUCCAAUCUCUAAGAAAUUCUGCAAGUGUGCACUAGCAUCUUCAUGUGCCUUUCCACUGAAUUGUGUAGCUUGAACCAAAUUGAUGAGGCUUGACUUGAGCUCAAACUCGGGUACUCCUUCUUCUACUGCAAAUCUUGGACCAGUUGGAAUCUUUUCAAGACUUGGAGCAGAGAAUUCUUGUAGGGUCUUCUGUGCCAUAGCUUCAGCAAUUGGUAGCUAGCUUCUUCUUCUCUUGAUUGCUUUGGUUCUGAUGAUGAAGAGUUGAAUGUACCCAAAGUCAAUCCUGAUAUACCCUAUAUAAAAAUAUAAACAUAGAAAAACAACAGGGUGAACCUGCCAAAGCAGAGGUGCCUUGUUAUGAUUUCUCACUUAGUAGCUGUUUUUGCAAUUAUUUCUCUAUAGUCUAGUCUAAUAUUUUAUGUGAAUAACCUUGACUGAUUUCCUGACUUUCCUUACCGUUCCUAUGUAUUACCCUUUUGUUCCCCGGCAACGGCGCCAGAAAUGCUUGUUGACACUAACUAACACCACUUAGAUACUAGGUUGUCAUCCCCAGCUUGGUGCCAGAGUGUACAAAGGUAUUUAUAAAUGUAAAGGCUCUCUAGAAAAUAAUCUAUUCUAUCCGCAAGCGCACAGAUAAAACACCUCAUUGUAGCAUUUCACCAGGAUAAGUAUUCCAGGUAUCGUUAUUUAUAAUUUUGCUUAAGAAGACAAGGGAUGAAAUUAUGAUAAGGACAAAAUUUAUCAAGGCAUAGACUAGAGAUAAACUUGCAAGAACAUGAUUACUAAUGAGAAACUCGUCACACAAUCACUUACUUUGGCAGGGGGUAAACCAUAAAGAUAAUGAUAAUGAAUUAUAAGUUCAAGGGUAAAUAACACAACGAUUAGAAAAUAGACUACUCCUCAUAUAUGUAGGUGAUGUCGGAUUAGCUAGAGAAUGGAUUCUAAGUUAUCUACUAUCUACUAAGUCAUAAUCUACUCUAGUUAUCUACAAGAUCAUAUAUAGCAUAAAAGACUCUUCAUUCAUGUAUAAGGAACAUUGCUAAAGUAAAUCAGAGCAUCGCAAGACUUACUCCACAAUACCGAUUCUGCCUGUCCUAUCAACGGAGGGUGGACUAUAUAAGAAUCAACGAAGCUGUCACUAUCGCGAACUACCACAUGACCCGGCCAACAGGAUACAUUUGCAGAUAAAUAACAUCUAAGCACCACGCUCACAUGUGAUCUAUCACCUAACUCCCUCGCGUCAAGAGCUAAGCGUUUUGCAAACUUAUACAUAAACUCAUUAUCAAUCAUAACUAUAUCAAAUAUAGAACUAGAGCAAACUAAGAACAUAAUAAUUAGAGACAUAAUGCAAUUAGAACAAAGAAUUAGAUAAAGAUAUGAAUAAUACCAAUCUUUAUUACCGAAGAUCCGAAUCCAGAGCGUAGUGCUCUACUUCUCUAAUUGCUAGCUAAUCAAACCUCUAAACUUAAAGGAUUAGGGAGUAGCUAAUUCUAAUUCUCUGUGGGAGAGAAGCUCUAAACCCUAACUUUGAUGGCUACCUCUGAAUAAUGAUUUAUUCUCUUCUCCUCUCUCCUCCAGGGGUGGAGAGGCCUUGGUUUUAUAGUCCUUUCAAGUGAAUUUAGGCCGUCGGAUCAAACCGACAUUGAUUGUAUGGUUUAGAUUGAUCCUUUAGGUUGGUGGAGUUUAGCCCCGAAACAGAGUCCUGAUCCAACUCCUGGCCAGGGCGGGCGCCCAAGGGGGGUGGGCGGGCGCCCUGCCCCCGAGCCCGAUCGUCUUCUCGUUCGUUCCCGUGGCUUCUGGACUCUUCUAGAUUGAGGAAAAUUGCACGGCAUGUAAUUAUCUCGUUGUAAACAUGACAUGUGGGCCUUCUCUCCAUAUUCUCUGAUAACCCCCUGCAGAAAUAGAUAAACACCAAAGCUCGUGGAAUUCUGUCAGAUAAAACCCUAAUUCUAGAUGUUUGUUUCAGAUUGAUCCUUUUCCAUGUUUAUUUGAUUAUUAAUUUUAGUACUUAAGGACCGUCAACAAGUAACACAAAGUUCCUCAUGAACCAAUUUUAGCUCCUCAUGUGAACAAUUAGUAACAUAAAGUAGAUGUUUUUGUUGUUCACAUGCGGUCUUUAGAAAUGAGUUUUCAAUUUUCAAUUUAUUUGUUUUUGCUAACUCAUUUCUUAAAGCUUUUGAGAGUUUGCAUACAAGCUCAAAAUUUGGACCAUCACAAUCAAUAAUCACAUCACCAAUAGAUACCUUAGUGUCACCGUGUGACAUAAAGCAAUGUGGUGAUGAGCUUGUGGAAGCAUCACUCUCAUAGCCAUCAUCUUCAUCAUCAAGUGUGCAUGAGGUAGCAUCAUCAUUUGCAUCACUUGUGGCAUCAUCAUCGUCCUUGUUAAGUGAUCUUGUAGAAUGAUCAUCAUCAUCUUCACUUGACCAUGAGGUGGAGCAAUCCUCCACAACCACGGUGUUUUGGUCAUGCUCAACAUCCUCAUGUGCCUCCACAUUUGGCACAACAUCUUCUUUGGAGAUCACCCCAUAUUUUUUUAUUGAGAAAUACCCAAAUCUCAUGGGCGGACUUCAUGUCCAUGAUCUGAACAAAUAUAUUAUCUUUCAUGGAUGAAUAGAAGAUGUAAGUAGCUUGGCAAUCGAGAUGUAGGCAUUUCUUUUGCACUUGAAUUGCAACCUUUUUAUCAAUUGCACAAGAAAAGCCCACAUCUACAAUCCACCACAUUUGAGGAGAAAUUAACUUAAAAUUGCAUGUCAUCCAAUUUCUCCACUGUGCAAAGUGUGUGCCAUCAAAAAUGUGUGGAUACUCAACAUCUAGCCCAUAAGCCGCCAUCCUCUCGGGUCAAUGAAGACCGCAAAUGAGAGACCUAGCUCUGAUACCAUUUGAAAAGGUUGAGAUGGCGGACUAGAGGGGGGAGUGAAUAGUCCUUUCUAAAACUUAUCACACCAGCUAACCGAAGUAAGUGCGGAAUUAAAACUAUCGGUCUAGCCAAGACUACACCCCUCUAUCUAAGUUCUCUAGCACCUUGUAAAGGAUCCUAAACAAGCAAACAAGGUGCUACCUUAGCAAGAUCUCACCUAACCAAUUCUAGAAGCAAGGUCACACAAACCUAUGCCACUAGUACUUUGCAAACCGGGGAGCUCCUACACAACUAGUAAGCGAAAGCACAAAGCUCCUAAGCUCACUAGCAAUGCUCAAUAACAAGGCAACUGCCACACCCAGUUUUGAUAACAAAACCAAGUACUCAAAUAUGUGCGCCCAGGAUGUCCAAACACACAUAUUAUCACAAAUUGUAAAUAUAUCAAAGUAAAGUACUUUAUUACAUCGCAUAUUCAACUUAAACAUCUCAUAAAGUCUUGCUCAUUGGCAACAUUAUUACAUAAAGCGGAAGGCUAAGCCCUUGCUACCACAGGGACACCAACUGGUGAACACUAGCACUCUAGAAGUCCUAGGCAUCUUCAGGGAAUUCCUCAGCACACACAUCUGUUACCCAUCCAGGAUUUUCAUUGAAAUAUAAACAAGUGUAAGCGCACCAUGCUUAGCAAGUACAACAUAGGGGUAUAUGAAGGCUCAAAAAGGUUUGACUCGGUUUAACAGCGGUGAGCAUUUUAUUUGGUCAUGUUUUAUUAACCAAGACUUACUACUUUUAAUGAGAGACCAACCCUAGUUACAUAAGUAUUAAUCAAAGUUAUUACAUUUCCCAAGUAUAGACAAGUAACCACUAACCAAGAAGGAUCCAGGCCGCUCAUGACCGAGAGCUCGGCUGUUAUAACAGGUUUUAGAUUUCUGUAGAAAUUGUACAAGUUUACCCCCGAGCCGUGGUUCCCUAGUGUCGGGGUUUGCAAGGCCCACACCACUUCUACCGAGGAAGUGUGACCGGGUUCCACUACUUAACCUUUCACUAGUCACCCUAACAAAAUAGUAGCCGCGAGGUUUCAGUGGCAAGUGUGCAUAGACGACCUCCUUCAAGAGGCACAUGUGGUCGCGGCACUGUACACACCAAGGCAGGAGUGACAUCUAUACACCACGAGGCACCCCCCUCUAGCGCCUUUCGGUAACUACUAUCUUCCUAGAGACAUACUAGUUAUAUGAUUAAGGUCAGAGCCAUUUGACUCUCGGGAUUGUACGUGACCUCCUAGGUGGCCGCUUCAGGAUUAAGUCCUUAUGGAGAGGAAUCUAGAGCUUUCAUAACCCAAGCUCUAGCCCCCUGAACCAAGUUACUAGCACAUAUUUUAUCACAUUGCAUAUACCAAUUAAUCAGAUUAAUUUAUUACUUGGGUGUAUGCGUAGCAGCAACUACCUAAAUAAAUGCACACCUUCCCAUGGGUAUCAAGGAUUUGUGGUACGAAAUUAUCUAGGUAGAGUCCUUAUAGGUAUUUCAAUUUAGACACAUGCAUGUGUAUGAAUUAAAUAAUAUUCAUAGGUACAAGGAAGCCUAUAUUACACUUGCCUUCCUCAAAAGUUUCCUCCUGGUAGAGCUCCACAAACUGCUCCUCAACCACCCCAACCUGAUCACCUUCUAUUCGUGAUCCAAACACCAAUCAAGCAUCCAGUCCAAUCAUCACAUGCAUACAAAUAGAGUUCUAUUAGAACAGUACACCAAACAGUGAAAACAGUGACUGAAAAGUAUGUAAAUCUACUCUACACAUUUCUAUGAACACAUGAGCGAAAGAAUCAUUCUAAUCGGACUUAAAACGUGAAAGUUAUGCAUAAAACAAAAUGAAUGGCAUUUCUGUGAAUAAACUGAAUCAAAAACAAAUUUAAAAGAAUUAAAACUGAAUUUCUAACGGGUCUGGACCAUGCGCACUAUUAUAUAAAAGUACAGGGUUUAAAACAGAAGAAAACAGGAUUAAAAAGAAAUACUUUUGAACUAAGUUGGACUGCGGGUUGAUUUGCUUCAAACGGGGGGGGGGGGGGGGGGGUUAAACUGCAAAAUCUCCAGUGGUCCGCGGCUGACCGCGUCGCUGACCGACAGGGGGCCACGUGGCGUGCGGGGGUUGGCUCGGUCCACCACUGUGCGCGUGGACCGGCCGGCCGAGCGCCCGUGGACCGCGUCCAUGGUCCACGGUGGACCGGUUACAUAACCCCGAAGGGGUAUGUAAUCUGGGCCGUUGGAAACCGAUCGGGCGGCUCUGGUUGAAAGGGGGCGGGGCGCUCGCCUGAGCCGAGGCCGACCACGGCGGCGCCAUUGCCGCCGAUGAGGUGAGCUCCUCGGAGCUCGCCGGAAACACGUUCCCAGCCACGCCAAACAAAAAUAAAACCACCACUAUGACCAGCACGACGAGGCGAACACGAUAGGGCAUAAAUAAAGGGCGGGGAGCACAUCGGGACGACGGCCCCGCGGUGGCGCCACUUUCGCGCCCUCAGAGAGCCUCGGGUUCAGCGUUAGAGAGCUCUAAACUCGCGAUUGAAAGUACGUGGAGCAUCGAGGGGGUACCGCGGUUCCGUUGAAGGUGAUUGCAGUGUCCGGGAAAGCUCCGAGCGGCUUGACCACGGUCGAGGCGGACUGGAGAGAGAAGAAAUCAUCGGUGAGCUCGAAUUCAUGGCAUACAAGAUCAAAACAAAGAAAAGAUGGACGCCUACGGUUGCGGCGAGUCCCAACCAAGCUCCCGGGGCGCUCCUCGGCUCUAGGUCGCUCGAACAAGGGAAAACCGAGGUGGGGGAGAGAAACCGUGCUCCGGUUGUGGCUAGGGGCAGCAAGGGGGGCUCGGCCUAGGGUUUUAUAGGGCGAGCAGGGGUGUCGAGUGGGCGCGCAUGCGGGCGAUAACUCCCGGCAUCAAGGCGGCUUGAUGGAGCCCCGAUUGAUGGCCUCUAUCAAUCGGCGUUUGAAGAAGGGGAUGAAUGCCCAUUGCAGCGUUCCCGGCUUGGUGGAGAAGAAGGGGGGAGACGCUGACGAGCGGGCCCCACGGUGCAGCGAGAGAGAAAGGGGAAGGGAGAGCGCCGACAGGCGGGUCCUACUGCGCAGUGAGAGGGGGAAGGGGGAGGCGCGUGGGCUGUCCGUGCGGGGCGGGCCGCGCCUCUGGCUGCGUGCGCGUCGCGUGCGGGGGUGGGGUGCUAGGCCGACAACGGCCCAAGGCCAGGGGUGAGCGCGGGUUUAAGCCGGGCCAGGGUUUGGGGCUGGGCCAAAAUCGAAUGAUGAAAUAAAGAUAAAAGGAAAACUCUUUUAUAUUUUUCAGAGCUGUAAAUUUGUAUAAAUUCCUUUCAAAUUGAUUUUUAAACCAAACAACCUAGUCUUACAAUCAAUAAAAAUAUUAUGCACCAGCAUGAAUGCAGCAUUUCAUGUUUCUAGACCUUAUAGUUUAUUUUAAAUAAUUCCAAAAAAUUGUUAUUUUGCCUAAACAAUUCUCAAUAAUCCCUAUAAUUAUGCCAAAUUAAAUACUAAUUUGAAAAUUAUUUUUUUGGGUGUUACAAACCUACCCCCUUAGGAUGAAUCUCGUCCUCGAGAUUCGGAUGGUUCAAAAAGAUGAGGGUACUCAGAUUUUAAAUCAUCCUCUCUUUCCCAGGUUGCUUCAUCUUUGGAAUGUCUGUUCCAUUGUACUUUGCACAUUCUUAUGACCUUACUUGUGGUGAUUCUUUCUGCUGUCUCCAGUAUUCUUACAGGAUAUUCUUUAUAGGAAAGAUCUUUUUGAACAUCAAGCUCUUCCACAGAUAACUGUUCCUCGGGUAUUCUCAGACAUUUCUUAAGCUGUGACACAUGGAAGACAUUGUGAACACUAGAGAGUUGCUCAGGUAACUCCAGCUGAUAGGCAACUUCUCCUCUCCUAGCAAUGAUCUUAAAGGGACCCACAUACCUAGGGGACAACUUUCCCUUAGUAUGGAAUCUCUUGACCCCUCUCAUUGGUGAGACCUUGAGAUACACAUAAUCUCCUAAUUGAAAUUCCAAAUCCCUUCUCCUCGUGUCAGCAUAACUUUUCUGUCGAGAUUGUGCUAUUUUCAAGUUCUAUCUUAAUGUGUGUACUUGUUUCUCUGCUUCUUGCAAAAUCUCGGGCCCAAAGACUUGACUUUCCCCAGUUUGACUCCAAAACAGUGGUGUCCUGCAUUUCCUGCCAUAUAAUACCUCAAAAAGUGCCAUUUUGAGACUCUUCUGAUAACUAUUAUUAUAGGAGAACUCUGCAUAAGGCAAACUUUUGUCCCAACUUGUCUCGUAGUGCAGGGCACAAGCUCUCAACAUAUCUUCUAGUAUUUGAUUUGUUCUUUCUGUUUGUCCAUCUGUUUGAGGAUGGUAGGCUGAACUAAAAUUCAAUUUUGUAUCCAUGGAUUCGUGUAGUUUCUGCCAAAAGUGUGAUGUAAACUGUGUCCCUCUAUCAGAAACAAUUUUCUUUGGCACCCCAUGUAAACACACAAUCCUUUCCAUGUACAAUUCUGCCAACUUUGCCCCAGAAUAGGUAAUCUUGACAGGGAUGAAGUGAGCUACCUUGGUUAACCGAUCCACAAUAACCCAGAUAGAAUCGUAUCCUUUCUGUGUUCGGGGUAGUCCCACUAUGAAAUCCAUUCCAACUUCUUCCUACUUCCACUCAGGUAUUUUCAUGGGUUGAAGUAAUCCUGCUGGCCUCUGAUGUUCUGCUUUUACUCUUUGGCAUGUAUCACAUAUAGCCACAUAUUCUGCUACAUCUCUUUUCAAGCCAUACCGCCAAUAUCUUUCUUUAAGGUCGAGGUACAUCUUAGUGCUACCCGGGUGUAUAGAAUAGGCUGAGUCAUGAGCUUCUCUCUCAAUAGCUUCCCUAAUAGACUUUAUCUCGGGUACACAAAUCCUCUUACCGAACCAUAUUGUUCCCUGGUCAUCCAUGUGAAAACCUGGUGCCUUACCAAUCACUAUCCGUUCAGCAAUAUCUUUAAUUUUCUCAUCUUCAAGGUGUCCUUUACGGAUAUCUUGUUCUAGUGUGGGUUCCACCUCCAAUUCCAUAGUGUUAGCCACUAUACUCAAGUUCAGAUGUUCGAACUCUUCGCACAACUCCCUAGGUAACUGAGUCACAUAAGCCAUAUUAACAUAGCUCUUUGUACUCAGGGCAUCUGCCACUACAUUAGCUUUACCCGGGUGAUAGUGUACUUCUAGGUCAUAGUCCUUAAUCAGUUCCAACCACCUUCGUUGCCUUAAGUUCAAAUCAGACUGGGUGAAGAUAUAUUUCAAACUCUUAUGAUCUGUAUAGAUCUCACAUUUAUGACCGAUUAGAUAGUGUCUCCAUAUUUUCAGAGCGUGCACCACGGCUGGUAAUUCUAAAUCAUGGGUCGGGUAGUUCAACUCAUGAUUCCUCAAUUGUCUAGAGGCAUAGGCCACAACUCUGCCUUCCUGCAUCAGCACACAACCAAGUCCUUGCCGAGAGGCAUCACAGUAGAUAGAGAAACUCUUAGUGAUGUCAGGUAAAAUGAGUACAGGGGCAGAAGUCAGUCUCUUUUUCAACUCUUCGAAGCUAGCCUGACACUCUUUAGACCAUAUAAAUUUGGCAUUCUUUUCUAGCAGAGCGGUCAUUGGUUUGGCUAACUUAGAGAAACCCUACUCUCAAAAAACUUAGAGAAACCCUCAAUGAAUCUUCUAUAGUACCCGGCCAUUCCAAGGAAACUCCUAAUUUUACUCACAUCUUUCGGUGGCUUCCAGCUUAGCACAUCCUGAACCUUUUUCGGGUCCACAGCUACCCCUCCGUUAGAUAUGAUGUGCCCAAGGAAAUAUACCUCUUUUAACCAAAACUCACACUUACUAAGCUUAGCAUAGAGUUGAUGUUCCCUAAGCUUCUAUAGCACCAAUCUCAAAUGUUUCUCAUGUUCUAUCUCAUUCUUAGAGAAAACAAGUGUUGAUGGUCCUUAAGUAUCAAAUUUAAUUAUCAAAUAAACAAAGAAAAGGAUCCAAAUGAAAUCAACAUCUAGACUUAGGGUUUUAUCUGACAGAAUUCCACGAGUUUUGGUGUUUGUCUAUUUCUGCAGGGGGUUAUCAGGAAAUAAGGAAGAAAGGCCCACAUGUCAGGAUUACAUAGAGAUAUCAACGUGCCGCGCAAUUAUCUUACAUCUAGAAGACUCCAGAAGCCACGGGAAGGAAGCGGAGGCCGAACGGGGCCAGGCACUGGGCACCCGCCCAGUUGCCCUGGGCGCCCGCCCUCCUGCUGAGUCCAAUCAGGACUCUGUUUCGGGGAAGAUCUCCACCGACCUAAAGGAUCAAGGAUAACCGUUCAAUCAAUGUCGGUUUGAUCCAAUGGCCCAUAUUCACUUGAAGGGACUAUAAAACCAGACCCCCUGGCCCCUGGAGGAGAGAGCCUCUCAAUCCUAAUUCAUUAUUCUCAAGGGAGAAGAAGCCUCUGAUCAAGAUUAGAGCCACCACAUCAAUUAGAUAUCUAGAUUAGCAUAGCUACAUAGGAUUAGAACUAGAAGGAGUCAAUCUUCGAUUGGUUUCCGGAUCUGUCAAGAGGAUUCUUGGUAAUUCUCUAAUUGUUCUUCUAAUUGUUCUUCUAAUCAUCUUUGUUCUUCAAUAUUAUGAAUAUGACUUUGUUCUACUUCAAUAUAUUUAUUAUGACUUCGCUCUACUUGUUUAUAUUCAAGAUUAUAUUGUUCUUAGUUUAUCAUAGUUAUGUACUUGGCUUAGUUAGAUUGGAUCUAUAUAUAUGCUUAGGAUCGUAUAGCGUUUAUCCAUCGGAUCCAUGGGUAAAUGAUAGAUAUUGUGUAGGCGUGGUGCUUAUACCGUAUUUAUCUGCGAUUGUACCCAAUAUGCCAGAUCGUGGGGUAAUUCGUGAUAGUGACAGCUUCAUUGAUUCUUAUAUAGUCCCCCUCUCAUGUAUUGGGUUGGCAGAGCAACAUUAUUACAGGGGAGUGAUUGCUAUGUUUCUCAUUUACCUUGCUAAUAUCACUAUGCAUGGGCGUAGUCUUGUCUCACAAUGAUUGCUAAGUAUACUUGCACUAAUUAUGAUAAUAUUAGACUAUAUAGUUGAGAAUAUCUUAGGAAAUAUUCUUGUAGUUCGUUCUAAUUCCAUGCUAAUGACUUUCUAGAGUAUCUAAUUGAGGUGCUUAUCAUAUUUAUAUGUGGCUAAGUUAUGAUCAGAUUAAUUAUCUUUGUCACUAUUUAUUACUUCAUAUAUCUUUUAUGUGACACUUAUCCCUUUAUGAAAGAGUUAGAUAAAUGUUCUCAAUUAUACAUGCAAUGAUAGAUACUCAAUCUCAUAUUCCAUUCUGUAAUCAAUAUUGAUGAUUGCUAAUCCCUUCCCCGUGGUAAAAAUAUAAAUAACGAUACCUGAAAUACUUGCCGGUUAAAAUGCUACAUCGGUAUUAAUCUGUGCGCUUGCAGAUCUCAUUCAUUAUUUAUUUAGAAGAGCAAUUGCAUAUUUCAAUACCACGUCUCUCGUGUCAUGCUGGGAAUGACAACUUGGCUUAAGUGGUAUGAGGGAUAGGUUUGGCAUUUUUGGCACCGUUACUAGAAUUAGGAAACUGUCUACUUUUGGUAAUGAUGUUAAGAAUACCCAACAACAAGUAUGUCAUCAAUGAACACAACCACGAACUUGUCAAGGUAUUCCCCCCUUACUGAUAUCCUCGACAGGGAGGUUGUUCAACAUAAACCAACUCAUUGAUGUAUCCAUUGAGAAAUGCACUCUUCACACUACUACAGAAAUAUUUAAUCGUGGCGGGCAAAACAGGUUAACCGUGGCGGGCAAAGCAACCGCCACGGAUGAAAGGCCAUGGUUAAUUGUUGCCUUAACCGUGGCGGUUGUCCAACCGCCACGGUUAAUAUGUUAACUGAGGCGGCCGCUGUUAGAAAACCGCUUUGGUUAAUUGCUUUAACGGAGGCGGCCGUUAUAAAGUAACCGCUUUCGUUAACAUUUUAACCGAGACAGUUUUUUUAAAAUGCCCGUCUCCUUUAAUUAAUUAACAGAGGCGGUUUUUGUAACUUGCCCGCCUCCUUUAAGUGUAUCCAGAGUAAAAACAAACCUCAUUUCAGUUUAUUUUCAAAUUUGAAUCCAAAAUUUGUUAGGUUGAAACAUAUACAAAGCAAAAUACAUAUGUAUAAAGGAUGACCACAUUGAAUCUGUUGACACCGCUUUUGGGCACGUGUCCAUGAUCGGUAAAAGUAUAGAUCGGUAGAAUAAGGCAGUGGUGUUUGGUCUGCAGGGAGAGUUGCCGAUGAAGAUGGUUGCCGAUGGAGGAGGGGUUGGACGUGAUUAAGUCCGUAGAUGGUGAUGCGUCUAUGUCGGUGGCUACGGCAAGGGAAUCUGCUGAUAACCUCGAUAAGGGAGUCUGCCGAUGAUACGGAGGGAGAGUCUGGGAGGUGCCGAUGGGUUUGUGAAGGUGUUCCAGCCUGUCACGGGGGGAUAGUUUUAUGUUUUCCUUAGUUGUUUAAAUCGUUUUGUAUUCGGAUUCUGUGUAAUUUGGAAUUCGAGUUCUAGUCGUGUCUGGUUGUAGCUCUUUGAGCAGGGUAUAAAUGUAGACCCUAGAGCCUUGUAAGGAGACAUCUAUCAAUCAAUCAAACACACGUUUUUACUCAUAUUCCAGCAUCUACUUUUUUGAUGACUUCGUCAUACUUUUUCCUUUUCAUUACGAGUUCUUAGGAAUUCGUCGACUUAAGCUCGGCGCGUUCUCAAGUUCCGCGUGAGUACCUCUUAGCCGUGACAUCCGGGCGGAUCGCUAUUGUCAGGACUAAAGUAUUCGAGUUACCACCUUUGCCGAUAGUAAGGUCAAAUCGGCUGGCACGCCUUAACGUUUGAAUCGGGUAUUAGCCCUUUGUGUUUGUAGACCAGCUUUUGCACCAACACAUCUUUUGGCACGCCUAGUGGGACAGAGUCAAGAUCAAGAUCAACAUGUCGACCUCUGAGUUUGAUCAAGAGAACGUCGUCCCCGUGACGGAAGCCAAUCUCAAGGAUGAGCAGAAGCAAGCUAUUGCUAAGGCCAUGGAGGAUUACAAGCAGCAAUGCCUGAGGUCCUUCAGCAUGAACAGGAGCGGCGAGGUGAUUCAGAAGGAUGCACUGCCGGCUCCUCGGCAGGUUACUUUUGAAGCCAAUCCUGGCAAACUUCAAGAGAUGGUUGACAGCGCCAUCAACCGUGCUUUGAUCAACCAAGCUGGCGUACUGUCUAAUACGGUUUUCAAUACCGUGGCAAGAACUUUCAAGGAAGGACAAUUGCCACCAGAUUAUGUAGGCCCCACUUAUCACCAGCCAGAGUCACCAGUGGUUACAGCUCCAUCGGCUACCACAGCCGCUAUGGGGGCACAGACUACCGUUCCUCCGAGCACGUUGGGAGUCACCAAUGCGCAAUCUACGCCGAUGACGACUAAUCCACAGACUUCAGAUGGGCAGAUUAAACUCGCUACAGAUCUGUUAGCAUCGGCAAUGACAGGACUGACUCCUCCUCGCAACUAGUGGGGUUAUGGCAUGCCUCCAGAGUUAACGCCGGGUACAGCACAGACAAAUGAUAUGAGGGGCAAGACUCCUAUGGCAUCGGCACCUCCCAAUAUGCCGAUGAACCAGAGUCCCCAACAUACUACAACUACUACUACAAGACCUUACACUGGGAAUUCUCAAGCUCCAAUGUUCCAGAUGCCUAACGCGUCGGCAGACUCAAUGCUGAUGCAACAAAGGUCUAUGGCUCAGUCAGGGUAUGUCAAUUCAAUGAUGAUGCCCAAUUACCAAUCAUCGGCAGGACCUAUGCCGAUGAACGCUAAUAAUGGAUGGCUUGGGCAGCAAGUCUUUCCGCAAACACCCCAACAGAAUCACCAGGCUACAGGGUUCCAGCAAGGACAGAUCUAUCCCGGGUUCCAGAAUCAGGGGAUCCCUAACCAGCCAAUGAAUUUCGGGCAGCAGGCCGGCGGACAGCAGAUUGGCGGGCAACAGCUUGGUGGUCCACAGGUUGGAGGCCAGAUGAUCAACCCAAUGUUCCGUGCAGAUCGUGCACCGAACAGACACGUGGAGGCUUACCAGCAGGUGCCGGAUCCACAACCACCUCAUCGGCAAGAUGCCGAUGCGUACUGGGCCGAUAAGAUCGCUAAAGUGAUGAUGGAUCAAUUUGGGAUAAAACCCAAAGUCAACACUUACUCUUAUCGGACACCGUAUCCUCCCACAUAUGAUUUGAUCCCUCUUCCGCAUCGGUACAAGGUACCGGACUUUACUAAGUUUUCUGGACAGGAUGACACGUCGACCAUGGAGCACGUCAAUAGGUUCAUCAUUCAAUGCGGAGAAGCUGGUAACAGGGACGAGUUAAGGGUUCGUCUAUUUUCAUCAUCGUUGUCUGGAUCGGCCUUUACCUGGUUCAUAUCACUACCUCCCAACUCAGUGAUUACUUAGGCCGAUCUGGAGAAAUAAUUCCACAAAUACUUCUUUUCUGGGGUUCAUGAGAAGAAGAUCACCGAUUUGGUCAAAUUGAGGCAACGCAAUGAUGAAUCGGUUGAAGGUUUUGUGCAGAGGAUACGGGAAGUCAAGAAUAAAUGCUAUAGUCUGGUUCUGGAUGAUCGGCAGCUAGCCGAUUUGGCUUUCCAGGGUUUGUUGCCACACAUCAGGGAUAAGUAUGCCUCUCAGGAGUUUGAAAGCUUAAGUCAUUUGGUGCAGAGGAUUUCUGAUCAAGAUAUCAAGCCUUUCGAACCCAAGAGAGCAUGGAACAAAAAGGUAUCGUUUGUUGAUGAAGCAACCAGCUCAGAUUCUGAUGAGGAACCAGUCAUCGGCUUGGCAGAGUGGGUGAAAAAUAAGAAGCCGAUGUCUUGCCCUUUUGGGCAGAAGGAACCAGAGAAGUUCGCUUUUGAUACCGCUAAGGCCGAUAGGAUAUUUGACUUUCUACUUCAGGAAGGUCAGAUCAAGCUGUCUCCUAAUCACGUGAUCCCAUCGGCUGAGGAGUUAAAGAGGAUGAAAUAUUGCAAGUGGCAAAAUGCAACUUCUCAUGACACCAAUGAGUGCAAGGUUUUCAGACAGCAGCUGCAAUCGGCUAUAGAGUCUGGGAGAAUCAAGUUUGACAGUUCCAAGACCCAGAAGCUGAUGAAGAUAGACCAACAUCCUUUCCUAACAAACAUGUUGGAUGCCAAGGGAAAGGCUAAGGUCUUAACAUCAGAAGCAGCCGAGAGAAGUGCAUCGGUGGAUCCUCAGCAUCAGGUUACUACUGCCGAUGCAAGAGGUAGAGGCUUGGUCCAAGAAGGAACCAGCUCAGGUAGGCCUCCUCGAUCUGGCAUCGUUAUAACCCACAGAAGGCCUCGGGAGAAUUGGCAGCAGCAUGAAGAUCGGUACCGGCGCCAGCAAGAGGAUUAUCGUCGGGAAGAGGAAAGACGCCGGCAGGAAUGGAAUUGGCACAGGGAUCACUGGAAUUGUCCGUUCUUCAUCCAUUGUUGGGAGGAGAAUUUUAAGCUUCCCACUGUCAGAGACUGCCCUGAGUGCAAUGGCUAUGAUCGGUAUGAUAGGUCCGAUCGGCGCUAUCACGAUGAUAAUCGGCGAUCUAAUGGGCCGAUCAAAGGAAGAGCGUCGGUUCACGAUCGGCUGGGGGGGCAGGCUCAGCGUGCACGAUAGGCUUGGUGAUCGUGUCCAAUAUUUUCCCAGGAACCAGGAAGAGCUCGAGGAAAUGGCUAAUGCACGAGUUCCCGACGAAUUCAUAUUUUGCAGGGAUGCCAAUACGCAUCGGAUGGAGUCAAGGGAAAAUCAUCGCCCAGCAGCAAGGCAGAAGCCGCUUCCUCCAUGGUGUCCAGAGGGGUUGACCAAGACACAGAAAAGGAGGUUGCAGCGCGAAAGGCGAGAAGGGCUAAGCAAGGGCGAGAACUCUGGUCAGUCUGGAGAUCAGCAGCAAUCAGAUCCCAAGGGGGAAGGUCCAUCGGCAGAUGUCAACAUGGUCUUUAUGUUGCCGAUGGAGUUUCUUGCGCUAUCCAGUGAUGAUGAGUUGGAAUUUUCCGACCAAAUAGCUCAAUUGGCUCUGGAUCCGAUGACAGCUAUCUUCGAGAAACCUGCCGAUGACGAAAUACAACAUCUCAAGGCUCUGUUUGUCAAAGGAAGGGUUGAUGGGCAGCUGAUGACCAAGAUUCUAGUUGAUGGCGGGGCUGCUAUCAACAUCAUGCCGUAUGCAGUAUAUCGGAAGCUUGGGAGAGGGGAUCAGGAUUUGACCAAGACCGAUAUGAUGCUUAAAGACUUUGAAGGGAACGUGUCUCCAGUCCAGGGGGCAAUAUGUGUAGAGUUGACCAUCGGCAGCAAAACCUUGCCGACAACCUUCUUUGUGAUCAGUGGAAAGGGUGCUUACAACUUGCUAUUGGGAAGAGAUUGGAUUCAUGCUAAUUGUUGCAUCCCGUCUACAAUGCACCAAUGCUUGGUUCAGUGGGUAGGUGACAAAAUUGAGAUUGUCCCGGGAGAUUCUUCUUAUGUCAUUGCGUCGGCAGAGGCGGACACCUAUGAGAAGACUAGGUGUAUUUUAGGAGAAGUUUGGGAGAAGGAUUUUCUCAAGGUUGCCGAUUACGAGAUUCCACCGAUCCAAGCAGUCGGUUCUGACGAAGGUUUUUAAUGGAUAGGUUCGCCGAUGAUGGAAAGUUAGGCCAGGGAUUCACAUCGGCCGAUGAUUUGGUAGAAGUAGAUAUAGGUAGUGGUGAUAAGCCUAGACCUACUUUUAUUAGUGCUAAGUUAAGUCCUGAGUGUAAGCAGCAAUUAACCGAUUUGUUAAAGGAAUAUAAAGAUUGCUUUGCUUGGGAUUAUACUGAGAUGCCUAGUUUGGACCGAUCAAUUGUUGAACAUCGGUUGCCUAUCAAGUCUGGAUUUCGGCCACAUCAGCAGCCAGCUCGCCGAUGUAACCCUAAUAUUCUUCCUGACAUCAAGACCGAAAUAACCAAACUUAUUGAAGCUAAAUUUAUUCGGCAGUGUCGGUAUGCCGAAUGGAUUUCCAAUGUUGUUCCGGUCUACAAGAAAAACGGGAAGCUUCGGGUCUGCAUUGAUUUCAGGAAUCUCAAUAAAGCUACGCCGAUGGAUGGAUACCCAAUGCCAGUUGCCGAUCUGUUGGUUGACGCCGCGGCUGGGCAUCAGAUUAUUAGCUUUAUGGAUGGCAAUGCAGGGUACAAUCAAAUAUUCAUGGCUGAAGAAGAUAUUCCAAAGACUGCGUUCAGGUGCCCUGGUCAUGUUGGGUUGAUUGAGUGGAUAGUCAUGACUUUUGGCCUUAAGAAUGCUGGUGCUACUUAUCAAAGGGCCAUGAAUUUUAUAUUUCAUGAGUUCAUCGGCAAACUGGUAGAGAUUUAUAUCGAUGAUGUGGUGGUCAAGUCUGGGGACUUCGCAAAGCAUCUUGCCGAUCUACGAAAUGUAUUGGAGUGCACAAGGAAGCAUGGAUUGAAGAUGAAUCCCAAUAAGUGUGCAUUUGGUGUAUCGGCAAGGCAAUUUCUUGGUUUCAUGGUGCACCAGAGGGGAAUUGAAAUCAGUCGAAGAUCUAUUGAUGCCAUCAAUAAGAUAGUAGCCCCUACCAACAAAACCGAGCUCCAAUCCUUGAUCGGCAAGGUAAAUUUUAUCAGAAGGUUCAUUUCUAACUUGUCUGGUAAAAUUCGUGCUUUCAGCCCUCUUCUUAAGUUAAAGGCUGAUCAAGAGUUUGUUUGGGGGGAGGAACAAUAGUUGGCUCUGGAUGAAAUCAAGAAGUAUUUAAUAAAUCCUCCAGUUUUGAUUCCACCUCAGCAAGGGAAGCCCUUCAGAUUGUAUUUGUCUACCGAUGGAAUGGUCAUCGGUUCGGCUUUAAUUCAAGAGUUUGAAGGGAAGGAGCGUGUAAUUUAUUACUUAAGCAGGAGGUUGAUUGAUGCUGAGACUAGGUAUUCGGCUAUCGAGAAAUUGUGCUUGUGUUUAUAUUUCUCUUGUAUCAAGUUAAGGCACUACUUGUUAUCGGCCGAAUGCACUGUUAUUUGCAAGGAUGAUGUGGUCCGGUACAUGCUAUCCAUGCCGAUUAUGAGUGGCAGGAUUGGUAAAUGGAUUUUGGCGCUGUCGGAAUUCGAUUUGCAUUAUGAAUCGGCUAAGGCAGUUAAAGGGCAGAUUAUGGCCGAUUUCGUAACUCAACAUUGCGGUACAGUGGAAGCUUUGGAAAUUGUGCCUUGGACACUCUUCUUUGAUGGAUCCACAUGUGACCGGGGGGCAGGAAUCGGCAUAGUGUUAGUUUCCCCUCGAGGGAGGAAGUAUGAAUUUUCCUUGCUGAUUGCUGCUACGUCGACAAAUAAUCAAGCUGAGUAUCAAGCCUUGAUAAGAGGGUUAGAGUUGUUGAGAGAAGUUCAUGCUGACGCCGUUGAGGUUUUCGGGGAUUCUAUGCUGGUUAUAAAUCAAUUGGCUAGGAGCUAUGAAUGCCGGAGUGGAGUUCUCAUAACUUAUUACGAGAGGAGUAUGCAACUGUUAAAAGAGUUCAAAGACUUCCGAUUAGAACAUGUUCCUCGGUUGCAUAAUGAAGAGGCCAAUCGGUUAGCUCAGCAUGCCUCGGGAUAUCAGCCUAUGAUUAAUACGAUAUCGGCAAUUGAUGCCGAUGAUUGGAGAAAAGAGAUCAUUGAUUAUUUGAAGGAUCCAUCCAAGAAAGUUGAAAGGCGGGUUCGGUUUCAAGCUACUAAGUAUGUGCUCCUCGAAGAUGAAUUGUAUUACCGAACUAUCGAUGGAAUUCUUCUUCGAUGCUUGGGUGAUGAUGAAGCUAGAAGGUUGAUGGGAGAAAUCCAUGAAGGGGUAUGUGGAGGACAUCAGUCAGCUUUCAAGAUGAAGUGGACGAUUAGGAGGAAUGGAUAUUACUGGCCGACCAUACUUGAGGAUUGCUUUAAGUAUUUCAAAGGGUGUCAAGGCUGUCAAAAGUUUGGCAACAUUCAAAGAGCACCCGCAUCGGCCAUGAAUCCUAUUAUCAAACCUUGGCCAUUCCGGGGAUGGGCUAUUGAUUUGAUCGGCCAGAUUUAUCCACCAUCUAGCAAAGGGCAUAAGUUCAUUCUAGUUGCCACCGAUUAUUUCACUAAAUGGGUUGAAGCUAUUCCUUUGAAGAAAGUCACAUCGGCUAAUAUGAUUGAUUUUGUGAAGGAGCACAAUGUUUACCGAUUUGGGAUUCCUCAGACAAUUACUACCGAUCAAGGCACUAUGUUCACAUCAGGGGAGUUUGAUGAAUUCGCGAUCGGUAUGGGGAUCAAAGUGUUGAAUUCCUCGCCUUACUAUGCUCAGGCUAAUGGGCAAGCCGAGGCGUCUAACAAAGGAAUCAUUAAGCUUAUUAAAUGAAAGGUCGAAGAAAAUCCUAGAAGGUGGCACACAUUGUUAAAUGAAGCCCUGUGGUCCUAUCGGAUGGCUUGUCAUGGAUCAACUAAGGUUGCACCUUAUGAAUUGGUGUAUGGACAUGAUGCGGUGUUGCCUUGGGAAAUUAAGGCUGGGUCUAGGCGACUAUCUUUUCAGGAUCAGUUGGCUGCCGAUGAUUAUGUUACUUUGAUGACAGACGAGUUGGAUGAUCUAGCAGGGCAUCGGCUAAAAGCUUUGAUGAGUAUAGAAGAGAAUAAGAAAAGGGUUGCUAGAUGGUACGAUAAGAAGGUAAAGGCUAAGGAAUUUGCCGAUGGAGACUUAGUAUGGAAAUUAAUCUUACCGAUCGGGACUAAAAGUUCAAAGUUUGGAAAAUGGUCUCCCAAUUGGGAGGGUCCUUAUCGGAUAAGUCGAUCGGCUCCUAGUAACGCCUACAUUCUAGAAACUCUCAAAGGAGUUGAAUUUCCCAGAGCAUUAAAUGGCAAAUAUUUAAAGAAGUACUACCUCAGCAUAUGGGUCGAUGCAUAAAGAUUUAAGUGCCGAUAACACUCCUAUCGGCUAGGUUAAAAUGUAUCUGGGGCCGGACUUAGUGUUUCAAAAGUUGCCGAUAACAAUCCUAUCGGCUAGAUUAAAACGGCAAGAAAACUGGAAGUGCAGAGAAGUAAAGAUGUGUCGCCGAUGAGAGCUUCAUGUGUUCAGCAGCGCCUGGAUCGCCGAUAUGGCGCGCAGCCGGAUUUGGUUGGCUGCUUCUAUCUCUUUGGUAUCGUCAUCGGCAGAACCUUCUAUCGGCUUCAGCUUCUUCUUCAACUGCAAUGCCUUGCGAUCGUGGAUGUUUCGUUCUUGCUCAAGGAGCCUAAUGGUCUCUGGCAGUUGGCUCUCUUCCUGUUGGGCUUGGGAUAAGGCGUCCUCCACUUGCUUGAGUUCUGCCAGCAGGGAUUCUCUUUUGGCCGAUAGGUCAGAUAUCUUCUGCUUCAGCGCGUCUCCUGAAGAUCUCAAGGUGCCGAUGUUCUUGUGCUUCUCAUCGGUCAGGAGCUUCUCUUUCAUCAUCUCUUCAGAAAGCUGGGUCUGAGCAGCUCUAUCGGCAAGGCGCCGAGAAGCCCUCUAGUACUUCAGCUGACGACUCUCCAGAUGUGCGGCUUGGAAGAGGAUUUCUUCGACAUCGACUGGAAUUUGGCCUCUGAGAGUUUUGAACAGAACCUUGGCUGGGUCAGAGUCAUCAACCAGCUGUGCCGUAUCCUGAUGAAGGAGAGCCGAUAGUUCUUCCAGCUUGGCCCUGAUAUCUGCCGCUGCGAUCCCGACUGCCCGGGAGGAACUCGCUUCUUUGCCUUCGUCUUCGGAGAUAUCAAUAGCGAAGGAGAAUAGGUUGUCAGGAGAAUCCUAUUCCUGAAAAGGGAAACAAAGGGAGUCAUUUUUAUGGUCGGAACAUCGGUAAAUAAUAUUGAUGGGGAUUGAAUGACUUACUUGCUUCAACGCGAUCUCUUGCCUUUGACUGGAAGAGGCCGAUGGAGCCACGGGUUGAUCGGCCAGAGUUGUCGAUGGAACAACGUCAGCUGGAAAUUGAUAAAAGUCGUUAUGAGAUGAAAAGAUAGGUUCAUCGGCAUUAACUUUGUGAAUGUGUUAUCUUGAGGAAGGACGGUACUUGUCUGAACGGAGGAAACCACCGAUGCUAUAAUGGAACCUGCUGGAUCGAUGGUUGGUUCAUGAACAUCAGCCGAUGCGUCUUCUGGCUGAGGUACUUCUUGUUGGGGUUCUUCCAGUUGAGGCUCUUCCACCUGUGGUGCUUCUUGCGUUGGAGGGGGAGAUGAUGCUUGCUGAGUCUCUACGUCCGGAGGAGAAGGAGAAGAUUCCACCGGAAUGGGAGAUACCGGAGGAGGAGGAGGAGGAGGAGUUGCCACUUUCUGGCACUUUGUUUCUGCCCUGGUACUCUUGGCACCCUUUCUCUUCUGCUGGCUGGACUGGGGGGCAUCGGCGCCUUGGCUCUUGUUUUUUGUCGAUGCACUGGUUUGCUGUAACAAAAAAAAAGAGGAAUUUGUGAAUACAAAUGUAGCCGAUAUAAGAGUAAGGUCGGUGUAAAUGAAGAGGUUUAACAACUUCCUUAAAAGCUUACGCUAGAGUGGAAGCGGCUACCGAUGGUGGAGUCUGGGUUCUCCUGGUGGUAACUUUCCUGAGGCGUAUACCUCGAUGCACGAUGGCAGCCAGGGUAGGGGCGUUGUGGCCGAUUGAAGAGAUUGGGCGUGAUGCAAACAGAUCAAUCGGCUUACCACUUUUGCUGACCGAUGGAGGAGUAUCAUCAACCUGCAAAACAGUACAAAAGUAAAUCACCGAUGGAAACAGAAUUGAGAGAAUUGAAACAUCGGUUUGGAGACACUUACAGUAUCAUUGGGAACUUCGUACUCAGGGUCAAUCAUACCGCGGUACGUGAGGGCCGAUUUGCAGAACAGAUGCUCCUUCCAUUCUGCCCACCACUGCUUGUAUGCCUGAGUGAUAAAAGCAGCUGGAACCCACUCCGAUAAAUCUACAUCUGUAUCGGCACUCGAUGGCAGUUGGGCUACUCGAAUCCAUUCAAGAAGACUGGUGAUGGUUUCCCUGGGCUUUAUCACAUCGGCGUAACAGAGUGCAAUCGGCAGCUGGCCGAAAGCUAACUGACGGGCUAGUGCCGAUGGGUUGUAAAAUUCAUAAGUCUGGGGGGAGGUUUUCCCACUGCCAAAGAAAUUCACUGGUAUGGCUCUGGGAGUCACCAUUGCCAUCAUCACUUCAUUAUCCCUGUCAAGAGCUUCAUCGAAUGGGUUGAAAACCAGGGGAAGCAUACUGUCUGGGUCAUCAUAGGCCAACCAUGCUAGCUCAUCUCUGGCCAAGCCCUCAUAUAAAGUUUGGAAGAAUCGGCUAACCUGAUCUGGAUGAGCCCCUGAACCAGGUAGAACUAUGACAGCUUCGUCGAAGUUUAAGGGAGCACGUGUUGCCGAUUCCUCUUCACCCAACACAUGGUUUUCAGCUAUGUCCCUUGGGAAACGCUGUGUGAACAGGUUAAAUUCGAGGCGCUUAUGCAGAUGCAGAUUGAGCCACAUAUUGAUAAACCACUAGGGGCCUCCCAAGUUGCCGAUAGACUGGCCAAGCAAGAGCUUCUUAGUUACUUGGUGGAGGAGGUGAUAGGCUGCUCCAAGCAGGUAUCGGCCGAGGGGAAAUCGGCCACCAUUGGCUAGAUUUUCCGCUGCUGCUAGAUGAACAGAAGUUGGUCCUGCCGAUCGACCACAAAACACGAAUUUGUCUAGCCACAUGUUCAGAAAGCAGGUCUGCUCCUUUAUGUCAACAGGGCCUAUUUUGCGGUAUUUUUGGAUAUACCCUGACCAGCCGCCGAUGGAGCGGGUUUCUACCUUAGCACUGGGUUUGGUAUCAAAAAAGUGGGUGCUAUCAGCAGAAGAAAUAUCUAAUCCGGUGAGCAUAGCCACAUCGGCAAGAGUGGGGGAAGCAGGGCCAUGGCCAAAGACAAAGGCAUUGAGCGUGUCUGACCAGAAGUAUGAUGCAGCUAUCAGCAGUGACUCGUUCCUAUGCAUAUCGGCAAUGGACAACCUAAUGCAUUGGGCUAGAUUUCUUUCACCCCAUUAGACUUCAUUUGAGUUGCUGACCCUCAAAAACCAAUCUGUCCACCCCACGGUAGGGCUGGGCCAGGAACGAAAAGUAUCCUUCCACAGAUCCAAAGAAAAGUUCUCUGCUCUAAAAGGGAUCCUGUUGGUUUCUGCGUUUAUAAAGUUGGUUGGAUCUGGAUCCCCUAACAGGCCAAGGCAUUGGAGAUGUGGUCGAUCAGUGGGGAUGACGAUUUUGUUAGCCGAUUCCUAAUGGUUUUUGAGAUAUAAAAAAAGAAAACAAAAAAAGAAGGGGGAAAAAUAUUCAGUACGGCGGAUUGCAGAUGAACAAGGGUGCGAGAAAAGUACAAGAGAUGGUGCGAAGGACUGACCUCAGGGAUGAUGAAGUUGACGGCCAUUUUUGCCACGGAGGAGAUGCUUGAGAGUUUCGGAGUUGGUGAAGAAGGGGCUUCGUCGGAGAUCUUGGAGCUCUUGAACAGCGCCGCCGCCGGGAAAGUGAGGUUGGAGUUGUGGAAUGAUGUGAUGAAGAAGGAGUACCCGAGAAGGAACUAUUUAUAGGACGAAACGGGCAAGGGCAAAUCUAACUUAUCUCUUUGUCGCAUCCGUGAAAUCCGAGGGUGUUCAGGUAGAUAUGGUAACUGUUCGCACGGUAAUCAAGGGAUUGUGCAGGUGAUUUGACAGGAGGCAGUCAUUAUCCAGAGAUAUUGUACUGUGCGGGAUCUCCUGGUCGGUCCAUCGGCAGCACCUGGUAACGGUCAUAUUGCCGAUAGGAGAGAAAUGUGGAGAUAGCCGUUUGAAAAGAUAAGAUACGGGUGUCCUGGUCAGUACAUCGGCAAGUCCCUGUAACGGUAAUAUUGCCGAUACGCGACUAAGAUGGAAAUGUCCGUUUAGGGAAGUUGAGGAUUUCGAGGGAUCUGCGGGAGGAUAGGGUCAGAGUUGUUCAGAUUAAGGCUGUCGGUUGCCAGAUUAGGAGCAUUAAUUGCGGAAAAAGGCAUCAUUACUGCAGAGAAUUUUGGAGCAUUAAUGAUUCCAUACUCCGGAAUUGGGGGGCAUGUGUUGACACCGCUUUUGGGCACGUGUCCAUGAUCGGUAAAAGUAUAGAUCGGUAGAAUAAGGCAGUGGUGUUUGGUCUGCAGGGAGAGUUGCCGAUGAAGAUGGUUGCCGAUGGAGGAGGGGUUGGACGUGAUUAAGUCCAUAGAUGGUGAUGCGUCUGUGCCGGUGGCUACGGCAAGGGAAUCUGCUGAUAACCUCGACAAGGGAGUCUGCCGAUGAUACGGAGGGAGAGUCUGGAAGCUGCCGAUGGGUUUGUGAAGGUGUUCCAGCCUGUCACGGGGGGGAUAGUUUUAUGUUUUCCUUAGUUGUUUAAAUCGUUUUGUAUACGGAUUCUGUGUAAUUUGGAAUUCGAGUUCUAGUCGUGUCUGGUUGUAGCUCUUUGAGCAGGGUAUAAAUAUAGACCCUAGAGCCUUGUAAGGAUACAUCUAUCAAUCAAUCAAACACACAUUUUUACUCAUAUUCCAGCAUCUACUUUUUUGAUGACUUCGUCAUACUUUUUCCUUUUCAUUACGAGUUCUUAGGAAUUCGUCGACUUAAGCUCGGCGCGUUCUCAAGUUCCGCGUGAGUACCUCUUAGCCGUGACAUCCAGGCGGAUCGCUGUUGUCAGGACUAAAGUAUUCGAGUUACCACCUUUGCCGAUAGUAAGGUCAAAUCGGCUGGCACACCUUAACGUUUGAAUCGGGUACUAGCCCUUUAUGUUUGCAAACCAGCUUUUGCACCAACAGAAUCCAAAAUUUGCUAGAUUGAAACAUAUACACAGCAAAAGACAUAAGGAUAAGCACAUAUAUUACAUCCAUAUAUGUUAUCUUUAUCAUUCCACGGUCCAUGCAUGUCACAAACUAUGUUCAUAUUACAUCAAUAUACAUAAUGUUCAUAAAAAGCACAUCUAAAAUAAUGUUCACUCAAAAAUAUCUGGCAACCUAUAGUCGUUCAUAUCUAAGCCGCUGGUUCUACAGUUGUGUAGCUUCUCGAACCUCUCUAUCUGUCGCUAGCUCGCUCCCGAUAUAAAAUAACUGCCCGUCAACAUGACAACAUUGAUCCGUGACAAACUUACAAAUGUCAGCUACUGUUUGUGUGAUGUUCCUUCGAUCAAUUGUUUCUUUUUCCCACCAACUUUGGGAUUUCUGCAGCUGCCUCCAGCUAUUGUUGAAUUUCCCGCAAGCCCUGAGGUACUCACAAGCAUAGUACCCACACAUAACUGAGCCUUCAGGUUGCUUAGCGCACUGCAUGCAUGCAUGAUGAAGGUAACACAUGAGAAUUAUGACUGGUAGUAGUAUCCCUACAAGAGAACCAUGAAUAGUACUAGAACUAGAGGCAGGCAGAGUAAGUACCAGGAAGUCUCGCCUCACCACCAGUUUGUGGCCAUACUUUUGCUUGUCUUUCUCAGACCUCCGAUCAUAGCAGUUGGGGUCUUCCACGUACUUUCGGUAAGCACUGUAUGAAAACUAGUGUCAACAACAAAUUUCAUACGUACUUUGAGUGCAUGAGGUGUGUCGUCACUUACUAUCGCAGAAUACUUUCGAAAUGCUUGUAUCCUUCUUUGUUCGAGUGUCGCAAGGAGUCGAAUACGACAGCCUUUCCAUCCUGAGGAUAGAUCAUAAAUACAAUCCAAUGGCCCAUGACGCCCAAGCUGUACCAUUGAAAUAAUAUUCAUCUCAAAAUUUUAAAUAUAAUAAGUGACAAACCUAGUAGCUAUUGUAAGUAUCGUUUUGACUUACCCAAACUGGUGGGCGGCAAGAAUGCAGCCAUUUCCCCUGAUCUUCUUCAUGGCUUCUAAGACAUAUUGUCCCUUUCUAAAUUUGAUCUCUCCUUGCAUCAAGUUCCGAGCUAGCACUCGCUCCAUCCCCUUCAGCUUCACCAGCCUAGGAUCGAUGUCUGGUAUAUCAAAGCCAAUGAUGGCUCUUUGAGAAAUAUGCAUAGGAGAUAGGUAGAUAAUAUCUUUAUCUAGUUCCUUGCACACAUAUGAUUGCAUCCUGCAAACACAAGUUGUCGUACAAGCCUUUUAGCUUGAUCAUAAUGAAUUUGCAUACCUACAGCAAUGCAGGGUUAUAAAACUUACAGGGCAAAAAGAGUGACUUGGGCGACAUCUAGAUCCUUGCGUCACAGUAGCCUACACAUGUCGUGAAAGACAACAGGGCAAUAAGCAUCCUCAUCCAAGUGGAAGUACUCCUUGAGGACCCUCACAAUGAACUCCUUCAUGCCUAAUUUUGCCGCUUGCAUAUACCAGAGAUGGAACCUCCGAACCGCCCAUGGCUCCUCCUGAACGAGCUGGCCCAACGACAACAUGAACUUGCCAUUCUCAAAGUUAUCCAGGGAAUCUGGAGAAAGAGGCCAAAUUGACAGCGGGGUUUGCUCCCUAUAAUCGAGACAAGAAGUCUGUUAGCAUUAUCGAACGUCACAUAAUCUAUUGGCUAGAUUUAGUUGCCAUUAGCGCAUAUACCUUUGGAAUGUUGUUGUGUACUGAUAUUCUUGUGCUAUUCUGUACACCGCCCAUUCCAUCUCUUUUAGUUCACCGGGUUUGUCCCCCUCUUCUUCUACAGCCUUCUUUGGCGCACGUGGACAUUGUCGUUUGCCUUGGCUUGGAGGCGGUGUGUCGUUGCCCGGUGCACCCCCUGAGCAGUAAGAGGAGGGAGUAUUAAUAACACUUUAGCUGUUUAGACAAUUUGCUUUGAGAUGAUCCUUUUCUCCAUACCAGUGGCACCUAUGUUUCUGGAUAUAGAGAAAAGAUCAACAAAGGGCAGGAAAAGUAUAAAUGUAUGGAGCAACCAAAAAUACUUAACCAAUUACAUUUAUUGAGAGGUGACAUUCAUGUGCAGGUCGAAAGGGCAAUGAUACAGUUUAAAUAUCUUUGUAUUAAAGAAACAUUCAGUUAAUAGUUGAUUUUACUAAACGUUAGGCUUGCCACGUUCAUCUCGGCAUGAUCGAAGACAAAAGAAACUUUCUGGUUUAGUUCAUUAAUUUAUUGGGUUUUUUUGGUUUUUGGUUCAAAGUCUAUAUUUUGUUUGGUUAAACUAAAGUUGUAUUGUUUUGGUGAUAUUGACAGAGGCAAUGUUGAAGCUAGGGACAGUAGAGUAGUACAUAAGUGUAAAUUAACAAUUCAAUGGCAUCAUGGGCAGUGGCAUCUGCUCAGCGUAAAUUAACAAAUCAAUGGCAUCAUUGGCAGUGCAAAUUAUCAAAACAAUUGCAUCACAGGCAGCAUAAUAGGUAAAAUCAAACAGGGGAAUAGGGCAGUAGCUAGGGUUCACCUGUGUUGGCUCGAGAGACAAAGAGACGGCACAGGAUCUCCUCAGAGCUCGAGAAAGAGGCAGAGACGGAGAUGGAGCCGCCGGAGAAGGAGCCGGUGACGGAGACGGAGACGGAGCCGGGGACGGAGACGGAGACGGAGACAGAGCCGAACACGUAGACGGCACUAGAUCUCCUCAGAGCUCGAGAAAGAGGCGGAGAUGGAGCCGCCGGAGACGGAGACGGAGCCGGGGACGGAGACGGAGAUGGAGCCGGGGACGGAGAGCGCGCACCAGAAUGGGGAAGAAGAGCCGGGGACGGAGAGCGCGCACCCGAAACUUUGGCGGCGCUAGGGUUAGGGUGGAGCGUGCGCGGGAAAUUUUGGCAGCCCUUCGGGGUGGGAAAGCGCACAGCCGAAUGGGGAAGAAGAGCAGGCUGACCGCAGCCUUAUAUAGAUGUAUAUUAACCAAGGCGGGCAUGUUAGGCGCACCGCCACGGCUAAUGUUAACUGUGGCGGGCGGUUUAGUGCGCCCGCCACGGUUAAUGUAUUAACUGUGGCGGGCAGAUUAGAGUGCCCGCCACAGUUAUGAUUUUCCCUUUUUUGAUGACACUAUCAAAUACUCCCUCCAUCGCUUUCUUGAACUAGGAAAAUACCCCACGCGUUGCUGCGGGAAUUUCAAAUAAUUUAAUAAAAAAUUAGACUAUUUAUAUUUAUAGUUAUAUGAAUGAAAUUAUCUUAAAUUAAUUUUAUUGAAUGAUUUGACACAUCAAUAUGAACAGCUAAAUGCGACUUGAAGAAAGGUACUUGAAGAAACACGACUGCUUUUUAAUAGGAAUAGCAGGGGUAGGCUUUCCUUCUUCCUCCAUCGUACCCCGCUUCCUCUUCUUCGUUGUUAUGGUCUCACCUUGCUCAACUUUCUUCUUCUUUCCAAACUCAAAGUUUAUGCCCUUGACAAUGUCAAAAACCUUUUGCCCAUAACCCGUCUUUUUGGGCUCAACAGUUUCAGGUUCCGCCUGGUUAUCAAAGAAUUGAUUCAUUGAAGGGUGUCGGUACCUGUGCUUUUUGUCAAGGAAUCGCCUGUGCCUCAUGUACACCAACUUUUUUGAUGCACUAAGGUAAGUAUAACACGUACCGUCAAUGCAGACUACACAACCUGACUUACCUUUGAUCUGCCCCGAUAGUGAAAAGAGGCCAGGGUAAUCGGUGAUGGUGACAAAGAUGAUGGCUUUAAGAGUGAAGUACUCCUUUCGUGAUGCAUCCAUCAUAUUGACCCCCUUUUUCCCAUGGUAUCUUCAUGUCCUCCAUGAGCGGCUCCAGGAACAUAUCUAUAUCAUUGCCUGGCUGUCGUGGUCCAGAAAUAAUCAUGGUUAGUAAAAGAUACUUGCGCUUCUGACAUAGAUAUGGAGGUAGGUUGUAGAUGGUUAGGAUGACUGGCCAUGUGCUGUGGGAGCUACUGAGGUCACCAAACGGAUUCAUCCCAUCAGUACUUAGUGCGAACCUGACAUUCCUCGCCUCAUCACCGAACUCUUUCGGAAACUUGGCGUCAAACCGCUUCCACUUCUUGCCAUCAGAGGGGUGUCGCAACUUGCCAUCAUCCUUCAUUCGUUCUGCUGAUGCAUGCCACGAUAUCAGUUGGGCAUCCUCUGGGUUCCCGAAUAGCGCACGUAGGUGAUCGAUCACUGGUAGGUACCACACUGAGAGUGCAGGGCUUUUCCUCUGCAUGUAACCCCCUUCUUCCUCAUCCUCGGGAGAUGCGAUCUGUUUCUUGGCUGUCUGGAUCUUCGCUUUCUUGUUCCCUCUCUUUGUUGGUCCCUCAACAUCCGCGUCUACACGACAACCGGCAUUCCUCUUAUAUCGGCUCGCACCGCAGUGCGGACAGCUCUGCAAGUUCUCAUACUUACCGCGAUAUAGAAUACAGUGGUUAGGGCAUGCAUGAAACUUUUUAAGCGUCAUCGCCACUGAACGGAUCAUCUUCUUCACUCGGUAGGUAUUGGCAGGCACCUUGUUACCCUCUGGGUAUGAGUCAGCAAGCCUCUCUAACAGGUCAUUAAAGCUUGUGUCGGACCACCCAUGGUGAGCCUUCAGCAUGAGCAUCUGGAGGUUAAAACGCAACACCGUCAAAUGCUUUGGACAACCCUCAUACAGGGGAUCAAUUGCUGCCUGCUUCAUCUCUUUGAAAUUCUCCAACCACUUCGGAUUUCCAAACAGAACGUCAUCUUGAUCCAUACGGUUAGCAACAUUUAAAAAAAUCUCCACAUCUUCGGGCCCCAAGACAACAUCACCCUGCUCAUCAUCAUCACCGCCACCGUCUUCAAACAGAUCAUGGAGGCCCACCGAUGCAGAUGGUUGUCGUCUCCCAUCAUUCACCGUUGACGAGUUACCUCCACCAGAUGCACCUGUCACACUUGGAUCUGCUUCUUCACCGUGAUACUUCCAGAUGGUGUAGUCCUUGACGAAGCCAUGCCAGAUCAAGUGAGACUGCACCACAUUAUCUUCCCGUACAAGGUUGUUCUUACAACUAUUGCACGGACAAAUGAUGCGCUCUCGACCCAAAGACACACGGUGCUUUUUCGCAGCGGCAACAAACUUUCUCACAUGUCCUAGAAAAGCUAAAUCAUUACUGACCCUCGGUAUCUUAUACAUCCACUCUUCCCUAUCCAUAGCUGCGACCACCUAGCACACACAAAGGGAGAAAAACAAAUAAAGAUAUAUGAAAACAUGUGAGUAGCCCUAAAUCUAGUUUUAUUUCUCUCCUCCAAAUGAGAGUUAGAGAGUAAGAAAUCCACCUCUUGCAAUGCCCCCCUUCACCAAAUAAAAGGGCAAAAAUUUUUCCCCUCUAAGAUACUAAAUAUUAGGGUUUUGAGGUCAAAAUCCUAAUAAAUGAAGAAGGAGCCACGGGGAAGAAGAAGGGGGUCGGGGCUGUUGCUUUUAUAGGCACAGACUUAACUGUGGCGGGCAGUUUAAAGAAACUGCCACGGUUAAUGAACAAUUAACCGUGGCGGUCGCUGUAAAAGAAGCCGCCACGGUUGAAGCAUUAACCGUGACGGUUCGCUUAAGCGGCCCGCCAUGGUUAAACGAUUAACCGAGGUGGUUUAGUUACGACAACCGUCGCGGUUAACGUAAGAUUAACCGUGGCGGUUUGCUUACAGUGACCGCCAUGGUUAAACAAUUAUCCGUAACGGUCGCUCGGCUGGCAGCCCAGCCCAGGUUAACCGAGGCGGGCCGCCAGCCGGCCGCCUCGGUGGCCCAAAACAAAAUGUCUCCUAAAUUUUUUUUGUAGUAGUGUCACAUCCAUUUGAUAGAGCUUGAUGUUGUGGGCACAAGCAUAGGCUAAUAAUAUUCUAAUUGCCUCCAAUCUUGCAACCAGAGCAUAUGUUUCUCCAAAAUCAAGACCUUCAACUUGAGUGUAGCCUUGUGCUACUAAUCAUGCUUUCUUUCUUACGACUACACCAUCUUGAUCUUGCUUGUUUCUAAAGACCCACUUGGUACCAAUCACAUUGUAGUUCUUUGGCCUCUCAACAAGCUCCCACACUUGAUUUCUUGUGAAGUUGUUCAAUUCUUCAUGCAUGGCAUUUACCCAAUCGGAAUCUUUCAAUGCAUCUUCUAUCUUCUUUGGUUCCUCAAAUGAGACAAAUGAGUAGUGCUCACAAAAGGAUGCUAGCCUUGAUCUUUUUUGUACACCACUUUGAAUACCACCAAUGACUUGAUCCAAUGGAUGAUCCCUUGCUAUGCUUGUAGGUUGGAGUAUUGGGAGUUGAUUGCUUCCACUAGCUUGAUUUUGAUUUUGAUCAUCAUCAUGAGAGCCACUAGUACUUGCUUGAUUUGCAUCAAUUUGCACUUCUUGAUUGAUCAUGUGAAUGUCAUUAUCAUCAUCAACUUGCAAUGGCCUUAUGUCACCUACAUCCAUGUUCUUCAUUGCAUUUGCCAAUUGAUCUCCCCUCACAUCAUCAAGAUUUUGAGCUUCAUUUUGAGAUCCCUCGGUUUCAUCAAACUCAACAUCAUGAACUUCUUCUAAUGUGCCACUUGUCAAGUUCCAAACUCUAUAUGCCUUGCUUGUGGUGGAAUAACCAAGUAAGAACCCUUCAUCACAUUUCUUCUCAAACUUGCUCAACCUAGUGCCUUUCUUGAGAAUGUAGCAUUUGCAACCAAACACUCUAAAGUAUGCAAUGUUGGGCUUUCUUCCAUUUAAUAGCUCAUAUGGUGUCUUCCCAAGCUUCCCAUGGCAAUAGAGACGGUUGCUACAAUAGCAAGCCGUGUUGAUAGCUUCACUCCAAAAUGAAUGCCUAACAUUGUAUUCACUAAGCAUUGAUCUAGCCAUAUCAAUCAAGGUUCUAUUCUUCCAUUCAACUACACCAUUAGAUUGAGGAGUGUAUGUUGGACAGAAUUGAUGUCCAAUGCCAAGAUCAUCACAUAAUUCCUCAAUUCUUGUGUUCUUGAAUUCACUACCAUUGUCACUUCUAAUCUUCUUGAUAGUGGUUUCAAACUCAUUUUGCACCCUCUUGACAAAAGACUUGAAUAGAUCACAAACAUCACUCUUGUCAUAGAGAAAGAACACCCAAGUGUAUCUAGUGUAGUCAUCUACUAUCACAAAUCCAUACUUGUUGCCACCAAUGCUAGUGUAUGUUGUUGGCCCAAAUAAAUCUAUGUGCAAUAGCUCAAAUGCCUUUGAUGUGCUCAUUUCGCUUUUCUUGGGAUGUGCAUUUCCAACUUGCUUUCUGGCUUGACAAGCACUACAUGGUUUAUCCUUCUCAAAGGUGACAUCCUUCAAGCCUCUAACUAAGUCAUGCCUCAAUAGUUUAUUCAAUUGUUUCAUUCCAACAUGACCAAGCCUUCUAUGCCACAACCAACCCAAACUUGAUUUGCUAAUUAGGCAAGAUGUCAAUUGUGUUUCACUAUCAUUGAAAUCAACCAAGUAUAAGCUACCAUGCCUAAAUCCUUUGAAUAUCAAGUUUGAUCCAUCAACACUAACCACCUCAACAUCAUCACUACCAAAGAUGCACUUGAAACCAAGGUCACAAAGUUGUGCAAUUGACAAGAGAUUGAAAUCAAGGCUUUCAACUAGCAACACAUUUGAUAUGCUCAUGUCAUUUGAGAUAGCAAUUUUACCAAGCCCUUUGACCUUGCCUUUCUUGUUGUUACCAAAAGUGAUAGAAUCAAAGCCACCAUUUUGACUAGUAUCAAUUGACUUGAACAUACAAGACUCUCCAGUCAUAUGUUGAGUGCACCCACUAUCAAGCACCCAAUGCCUUCCUCCGGCUUUGUAAUUGACCUACAAGACAAGAUCAAUUCUUUUUAGGUACCCAAACUUGAUUGGGUCCUCCAAGGUUAGCAACUAAGCUCUUUGGUACCCAAAUGGCUUUCUUCUUUGAGCCCAUCCAUGGUGCACCAAUGAACUUAGCAUGAACACCUUUUGUAUCCUUGGUAAGCAUAUAGAAAGAAUUAAGCUUAAUUGAGGAUACAUAAGCUUUGGGUUUGUUAUUCAUGCAUUGUUGCUCUAGGUGAUCAACUUGCAUGCAAGCUUUGCAAUACCGGCCAUUGUUCUUCACAAAACUAGUCUUGUGAGGAGCAAAGGCGGCCUUGCCUUUCUUGGGGUUAUAGCCCAAUCCCUCUUUAUAGAGAGAAGCUCUUUGGCUACCCAAGCACAUAAGCAAGCGGUCCUCACCACCAUAAGCCUUGGCUAAGGUGUGAUUGAGCUCUUUCACCUCCUUCAUGAGAAUUUCAUUCUCAACUUUUAGUGUGGUGUCACAAGUGAAAUCAUCACUACUAGAUGAUGAUGAUGUAGAUGUGCUACAUGAAGGGUUAGUAGAAGCAAUAACAAUAGGCUUGCAUAAGAUAUCACAUGUUAGGCCUAUGUUGCAAGUUUUAGCUUUUUCAAUUUUAGUUGGCUCAUUUUCGCAUUUGUUGACUAGAGAGGAAUGAGCUUCUUCAAGCUUAGUGUGAGCCUUUUGAAGCUUCUUAUGGUCUUCCUUUAGACUCUCAUAAGAUGCUCUAAGCUCAUCAAGUUCUUGCUCAAGGGUUUUCUUAUCCUUAAGCAAGGCCUUGCACUCCUUUCUAGUUUCUUUAUAAUGAUGAGUGCAAUCUUCUAGCAUAGUGAUUAGUUCAUCUUUAGUUGGUUCAUCAUCAUCACUAUCACUAUCACUAGCACGGUCACUCUCAUCAUUGGAUGAUAGCUUAGUGGCCUUAGCCAUGAAGCAUGAUGGAGUGUCGAAGAUGGAGCUUUUUCCUUGAAUUGCAAUGCUAGCAUGCGCCUUCUUCUUGGUGCUCUCAUCAUCACUUGAGGAGUCAUCACUAUCCCAAGUUGCAACAUGGGCAUCACCCUUCUUCUUGUUUGAGCCUUCCUUCUUUUCUUACUUCUUCUUUUGCUUCUUUCUUUCCUUCUUGAUAGCAUCUUUAUCAUCACUAUCAUAAGGACACUUGGCGAUGAGAAGAUCCUUGCUAUGGCAUCUAAAGCACCUCAUGGAAUGAUCAUUCUUCUUAGAGGAGUUCUUCUUUCUUCUUGCCUGAUAGCCCUUCUUCUUCAUAAACUUGCCAAAUCUUUUGACAAGAAGAGCCAUCUCCUCAUCUUCAUCACUAUCACAAGAGCUUGCUUCUUCUUCACUUGAUGACUCUAUCUUGGCUUUGCCCUUGGAUGAGGAGGCCUUGAAUGCCACACUUUUCUUCUUCUCAUCAUCUUUCUUCUCACCAUCCUUCUUCUUCUUCUUGAUCAACUCAUCCUUCUCAUCAUCUUCCCUAUAAGCAUCAUCGGUCAUCACCUCUUGGGAGACUUGUUGGGGAGUUGAAUCACUAAGUGUUGUCUUGAUUAGCACGGUGAUCAAUGUGUCAAAUCUCUUGGGCAAGCUUCUCAAGAACUUCAUAGAGAAUUGACUAUCUGUAACUUCUUCCCCAAGUGCCUUGAGUUCAUUCACAAUGACUUGCAACCGGUGAAACAUCUCUGGCACACUCUCAUCUUCUUGCAUCUUGAAGCUUGAGAACUUCUCUUGGAGGAUGUAUGCCUUGGCGAUCUUGGUUCCCUUGGUGCCCUCAAAUGUUUCUUCUAAUUUUGCCCAUGCAUCAUGAGCAAUCACAAUGUUCUUGAUUUGCUCAAAGGUCUUGUCAUCAAGAGCUUCAUGAAGAGCACUAAUUGCAAUGUCAUUGCAUUGAAGCUUCUUCUCUUCGACCGGUGUUCGUGCAUUCUCAUUUGCAACCUCAAACUUUGUUUCAGUCACCUUCCAAACCUCUCUAAUGAUUGACUUAAGAUGAGCGGUCAUCUUGACCUUCCAAUAUGCAUAAUUGGUGCCAUCAAAGAAAGGUGCCUUCUUGUUGUUGUUGAUAUGCAAACUAAGAGUCAUUUCUUCACCGAAGGUUGUUAAGCCUCAAAUAAACGGUGCCUCGGCUCCGAUACCACUUGAAAGGUCCAAAUGGCUAGAGGGGGGUGAAUAGCCUAUUUAAACUUUCUACAAACUUCACUAAGCAAGUGAGUUAGUAAAACAAAUGGUGAAGCAAAUCUAGCACUAGCUCAACUAAGCUAUGCAAGCCACCUAUACAAAUUAGUACAAGGCUAAACACUAAAGCACAACAACAAGAGAAGGCUAGUUACACUCCUAAACAAGAAAGCUAAACUAAACAAGCUAAACAACUAGCAAGGUAUACAAGUAAGUAAGGAGUGGAGAGUUAUUGUUAUACCAACAUUGUAGAGAGAGAUAUAUCCAACCAAUCACUCACAAUCACAAGAGAAUCCUCGGCAAGAGAUGACACAAGAUUUUUUACCGAGGUUCAGUUGCUUCCCGGCAAGCUAGUCCUCGUUGUGGCGAUACACCCACUUGAUGGAUCACGAGCUAAUUGGCAAUCCAAAGCCAAACCCUCAGCGGGUGCCGCACAUCCACUCACAAGAUGGGGAUCCUCCAAGCCACGAGCAAUCCACUAGAGUAGCCAAUUGCGAUCUCCCGCGGGGAAGGCUCAAGAACCCCUCACAAGUCACUUGGUGAGGCUCGAAACAAUCUCCAAUCACGAGCUCAACACCACCGCUGCUCCAAGCCGUCUAGGGCGUUGGGAAACACCCAAGAGUAACAAGAAAUCCGCAGCAAACUCAAGAAUCAAGUGCCACUAAAUGCAACUCUCAAAGCAAUGCACUUGAAUCUCACUCAAUCUCACUAGGAUUAGCAAUCAAGCAAGGAGAUGAGUGGAAGGAGUGUUCUCUAGCUCAAUGUAUGCCUCAAGUAUUCAAAAGUGCAAGAGAGAACCUCCCAAAGCCGGCCACCAACUAUUUAUAAGCUCCCUCAAAGAACUAGCCGUUGGCCACUUUCACUGGGCUGAAAACGGCGGCACCGGACUCACUGCAGGGAGCCACUGGACGCUGGAAUAGUGCGCCUGGUGCUAUAGAAACAGUCACGUGUCCCCUACUUGAAACUUGCAUGUUGAUCUCUAACGGUCAUAUUUGAACCACCGGAUGCAGUCAAGUAGAAACCGGACGCGUCCGGUGUACACCGGUCACGUACGCAGAGAGUUUGUCAAAAAUGCAGGAUCACCGGACGUGACCAUCGGACGCACCAGGUCGGCACCGGACGCUUACUCAGAGAACACCGUAAACGCUCAGGGACACCGGAUGCACGAACAGCAUUCAGCCAGCGUCCGACGCUGAUCGUCCGGUGCACAGCUCUCACAAAAGCCAGCAACCGCACCGGACGCUCCGAGGCAGCGUCCGGUGCCGUCCGCUAUGAGUUUUCAGUCAGAAACUCUACCCGUGCACAGGAAACUUUCCACUGCCAAAUAAGAAACUUUCCACCAGUAUACAAGAAACUUUCUACUAGCGCACAGGAAAUUUUCCACCGGUAAACAAGAAACUUUCCACUAGUGCACAAGAAACUUUCCACCGGCACAAGGGAAACUUUUUACCUCCUUCUUAAGGUGUGCCAACACCACCAAGUGUACCAACCAGUGCAAGGGUGUUAGCAUUUUCACAGACAAUUUCACCAAAGGAGUUAAGUUAGCACUUUACUAGAUCCUAAUGCAUAUGCUCAAGAUAUGGACCUAGUAGCACUGGAUUCAAGAGAUGACCGUGAUUUCCCCUCUUGAUAGUCGGCUAUCUAUCCUAAACCCGGUCAAUCACUUCUCUACUCAUCUUAGACCGGCAAAAGUAAAACCCUAUGUUUAUACCUUUGCCUUGAUAACUUUGCUCCUCGUUUAUCACCAUGAUCUUCACUUCAUGCUUCAUCCCUUUGUGAUCAUGUGGCCACCUUUCCAUGCCACCAAGCACCUUCAUCACAAGUGUUGCUAUGCCUAUCUCAAAUCACUUAAACACAAGGCAUUAGCAACUUGGUGUCAUUAAUUACCAAAACCAAACUUGGGCUUUCAACGGGCCCGGGGGCAGGGCGCCCGCCCUCCCCCCUUGGGCGCCCGCCCAGGUGUUGUGGCCAAUCACGUUCAAUCUCGUGGAUUAUGCUCCACCGACCUAAAGGAUCAAGGAGAACCGUUCAAUCAACAUCGGUUUGAUCUGACGACCCAGAUUCACUUGAGGGGACUAUAUAAGCAGGCCCCCUGGCCCCUGGAGGAGGCAAUCCAAUUAUUUAUUAACAUAUUUUCCAGAGAGGAUUCGGAGAGAGAGGUUCCUUAGGGUUCCCACCUCAUAGGGCGUAGCAUCCAAUGUGAGAGUAGACUUAGUUCUACUAGAUUGAGAGAGAUAGAGUGGAGGUGUAGAUUCAAAUCUCCUAACCUGAGGCUUGCUCCUAGGAUAUUUCAGUAUUUCGACUUCUAAAUUCUAGUAAGUUCUUUGUUUUAUUGUUCUUUGGUUUAUGAGUUUACUUUGAUCUCUUCGCGUAGAGUUUAGAGUAAUCAUCUCUAGCGUAAACGUGGUGUUUGGGCUAGGAUACUCAUAGAUAUCCCCUGACUAGCUGGACUGUGGUAGUAGCGAGGAACGUGACAUUUCCGAGUUACCUUUGUAGCCCAUAUCCCGUUAGUAGGAUCGAUAGGGUUUAUAGGUGCGGGUCGAACAUCCUUUGUGGUGUCUAGAUUCCGUGAGCCUCUCCAAUAGAACAGUAGAUCAUCCUUACCAAGGUUAGAACGAGAGUGCGGUUGUAGUCUUCUCUAUACAUCGCUCACAUCGAGUCACAUUAUUUGUAGCCUAAAGGGUAGUAGCAAUAGAUUUGGUUAGUCAGAUGCACGCUUUCUCCGAGUGGUAAAAAAAUAAAUACGAUACUCUAGAUAACCUCCCAGGUGAAGUGCUCACCGAUAUCCGUGCGCUUGCGGAUCAAUUCCUCAUGGCGUUACCAAAUAUCAACAAGCAUUUCUGGCGCCGUUGCCGGGGAGAAAGACGGUUUGCUGAGAUAACUUUAAGUCUUACUAUUAUCUUGUAUUAUACUUUUAUUCUUUUAUCUUUUUAUUUUUUCCAUCUUUAUGGAUAACUCAAAUUCAACACCUAUUAUUGAAUUUUUUACACCUUCGGAGACCAGCCAUAGACCAUGGGAGUCAACAAGUCCUUUCUUUGCCCCUAAUUAUGAUUUGUGUCUGGAGUUGAUUGCAAUAGGUCAAAACCAACCCUUUUCUAUAGCUGAGGUCCUAUCUUUUAAUCAAGAAGAUAAUGAACUUUUAGCUACACCUAGGGAAUCUGUUAAUCUUUCUAUAAAUUCUGGUUUAAACCUAGCCCUACAAGACCAUGUUUUUCCUCGAUAUUUUUACAUUGGUCUUAAUCAUAUAACCUUUGGUAGAGGUUUUCUUUCUUUAUCCGUUAGUAAAGCAAGGUAUGUCUUCAUUCGUGGACAUCCUUCUUGCACUAGUCUUCAUAAAAAAUCCUAGAGAUAGAGAAGGAAUCAUCUCCCAAACGAGGAAAGGAAGUUUCAAUAGCCGAUUUCCAAACAUUUCAAUCCCAUGAUUCGGCUAUCCAACCCAAACUAGUAGUGCUCCAAAAUCAUCUAAGGGAAGAAGAAAUUCUACCUUUGGAAAUUCAUUUUGGGAUGAGCUUAAACUUCUUGCUUCAUAAGAGACUUUUGAGUGCAUACAGUCUGAACCUUCCUAAGAAGGGAUCUCUUAGAAAGUAUCUCAAAUCCAAUCCCUUUGAUGGACAUCUAGAAAGACUCAAGGAUGGCAUCUUUAGUGAUGCAAUAGAAGGAGAGCGAAGCCAUUUAGAAGACAAUCUCAUGUUCUCCUCUUCUACACCCACUUUUGAUGACUCAUUCGAACCUAUCUUUAAACCCAUCCUUGAGCUUAAUAAUUUCUACUAUGCUCUUUCUCUUGAACCUCCCGAUGAUCCUAUGAAUCUCUCUAGACAUCCCAUGCAUAAGAGUCACCAAGACCAUAAGGAGGAUCGAGAAGAGCAACAUCAAUGGCUAGAGGGCAUUAAAAAUCCAUGUGCUAUCACCAUUGAAUGGAUGGACAGGGAAGAAGCCUUAAUGGAUUCUGACUUUGGCUCAAUUUCAAAUGGUGAGUUCUUGACUCCCUUUGAAGAUGAGAUUCAUCCAACUACAGAAGAGGACAUAGGCGAGACCAAUCUAGGAGAAACUCUGAACAUUCAGAUUGGAGACGAAGAUAACAUUAAUGAGCAUGGAAUUUAUUUCAUAGCCACUUUGUUUACUCCAUGCUCAUAUGCAACAUCUUCCCAAACUAUUGGUCUCUCCAACAUCACCACAUUUGAGAUCUCCAACCCCCUCUUCCGUUCUAUUUAUAAAAACUUUAAAAGGGUGGUUGUCGAUGCAUAUGUCUAUAAUAAAUAUUGCAGAUCUUGUUGAGUUGAUCUUGAUAUAGGUUAGCGUUGGAGCAGAAACUGUAACAGAACCGUCCAAUUUAUAAGAAUUCAAGUGAAUUAGCAACCACGGAGGCAGUCAAGCCAAUGGACUUGAACCCAUAUAAAUCCGGUAGUCCGACGAAAUCUCAAAAGACCUCGAUUCAACCAACAUACAACCAAGAUCGUACAUGAUCAAGCAUCACCAUCACAGAUUACAAACAUUCAUCACAGAACAUAGUUUUACAUCACAUCAGAGUUUAGAAGUGGUUAUUACAAACCAAAGCAGUAGCGGAAACAAAGUAGUUUUGAAACAACACCAACUCAGUUUAUAUUACAUGCUAGUUCCAUGGUCAAGUCCCAACAAAAGCACAACUGAAGGUAGAGAAGUGGUCACGCCCAUGAUCUAUUCAUCAUCCGCAGCCGGGUGAUGGCAGUUAGCGCAAUAGCCAUUAUAAACGACAUCAUCUACAACAGGGGUAAAUAAAACCCUGAGUACGAGAAUGUACUCAGCUAGACUUACCCGUCAUAAACCAGAAAUAAAGUAACACCAAGGAGUAUGCAAGGCUGAUCUUUGUGGACUGGUUUGACUCACCUUUUUGCAUAAAAGCCUUUGUAGUAAGUAACCCAUUAUCAAUUUCAGCAGCAGGUUUAUUAGUUACCACUAUCCACUAGAUUAGCACCUGUUCUAAGCAUACACUUGAGUAUUUAAGCAUUACAAUAAUAACCAUAUCCGGAUUAUCACAUAGCUAUCAACAUUCUCAUCAUAACCAUUAAGUUCAUUUAGUGAAUUCUUCGUUGCCGCUGCCCAAGUCAAGUUCUCACUAUCCGGGAGAGACGGCGAUUCGAAUUCGAUUCCUAUCCAGCUGGAGGGGUAUUCCUAACACUCACCCAAGCAUACUUCAUGACGGCAGCUCGGAUCACCUUUAGCACAACUCCGGACCAAUUCGCGGGUCCGUCCAGCGCCGCACCCCUAGGGACCGCCAAUCUGCCAGUGCAGGACUCUAACCUGACACCUGGACUUACGCCAUUGACUCCCCGCACAUCCUUACUACCAACCGGGGUGCGCACUCAUACAUAACGGGGUAUUCGGCCUGAGUUGCACUCGUAGGCUUCGCGGUCGGAACGACUUAUCCGGCCAACUAAGUGAUAGGCAUGCGUUCAACAUGACACGGGGACGUACAGCGAUUCGGUCCUUAAACGACACAGACGGGGAUAGAUUCACACCCAAGACCUCCAUGUUGCUGCACUAUCAUCAUCCCGCCCGGUCUCAAGUUCAUUAUUAGCACCUGGUUAUUUCCACGAUAGCAAAUAUAGACAACCGUGAUCAUCAUCCACCUAACUCUCGCAGGUGACAGGAAAUCACCCGGCUUCUACCGAGCUAAGCAUGGCUAAGCAUCAAUUCGAUCCUGGACCUACUUAGGUGAGGUAUGAGGUGGACAAGGUAGUCAUUAUGCAGCAAGGGUGUCAUAUCAACGCCUACCACUUAAUGCAGCAAUAUAUAACCAUAGUCAUUUGAUAGCUGAACGUGAUAAUAAAAUAGUAGGUGGCUUAUAAUGCUCCGGGGCUUGCCUACGACGUAAGUAGAGGGGCGGUGACCGCGGCACUCCGACAAAUCCUCCUCCUCCUCAGCUCCUUGAGGUAGCUCCCCUUGCUGUCCUUCCGACUCCGGCAUCUCGAACUCCAACACCGUCACGCCCUUGGGUACACCUAUGUAUGCAUGACAAGGAGAUGAAUAUAAAGAAUGCACAUAUGAUGCAUGAUGUCAUGAUGAAGAGCCAAAGGGACAUAAAACAAGGUAUAACAUGAGCAUAAACUUCUAAGAGUAAGUGAAUCAUGGAAUAACAAGUAAGUGCAUACUUCUUCUCUGGUAGAGAGACUAAAUGGACAAGUUAAACAAAUCCUAGCUACUCCUACUCAGUCACUGGUUUAGUAGACAAACCAACCUGUCACAAGUUUCAGCCAUAACUUAAGCAUUAGUUAAACAAACUAAGAAAGUAAGUACUUUCUGGAAAUCUUAGAAAAUUGUCUACAAUUCACUUUUAAAUAUCCCAGCAUGAUUCCCAACCGAAAUAUGCUAAAAUAUAUAAAGUUGGCUGGCUGUCCUGGAAAAUCCAGAGAGCAAGCACUUUGCAGCAGCUACUUGAAAUAUUCAUAACUUUUAAACUACUCAACCAAAUGUCAUGAAACUUGGACACGAAGUAGAUCAGCAAGUUAGCUACAAGUUUGUUGUAGACAAGUUUCCCAGAAAAUAAAAUCUUUAAUUAGUUCUUAAGCAUUUGCUAUCAGCUACACAGAAAUGCUCUAGGAAAGGCAUAAAUAGCAAAAAUAAUAUUUUGCACAUAUUGAGAAUGUAUCAAAGGGACAAUCCAAUUGCACCAAUAGAUAGAACAUAGCUAAGAAACACCAGAAGACAUCAUGGCAAGGUCUAAACCCAUUUCUAUCAUCACCUUUUCCAUUUAUUUAAUUAUUAAGAUGAUUUAAUGAGCCUGCAUCCCAAGUGUUCCAAAAAUCCUAAGAAAAUUACAGCAAGCUACUUAUGCUAACCUAAGAUCACUAUAAAAUUUUCAGAACAUUUGCGCAUACAUAUUGGGAGAUACAAAAACAUCAAGCUAGUAAAGGCAUGCAAGGCAUAAAUGUGAAACCCUAUCAAAAAGUGUCAAACAACAGAUUUCAGAUUUUUCCUAGCCUUGUCUACAUAGGAGUACAACACUCAGCAAGUUUCACCACAAAAGGAGUAUAACUUAAUUAUUAAAAAUACCACAAGAAACUCCUAUUUAAGAAAGAAUUAUUUUUAACUUCACAACCAGGCUUCCAAAAAUCAUGAACAAUUUAUCAGAGCCUAAUCAUAUCAUAAGUAACAACACCCUAAAUUUGCAUGGCCAGCAGAUCAAUAGAUUUCAAGAUAUAAUUACCUCCCAAAAACCCAAGAAUAAAUUAUAUCUAUUUAUUUCUGCAAAAACAUGGCAUGUUUAAUAUUUUUAUUAAAAACUAGACUUAUGCUGAAAUCUAGCAAAAUUGGAACCAUGUCAUUUGGAUCUAUUCAACUCGAGAUAUGAAUUUUUCAAAAACAGCACAGGCUCUGUAAAACAGUGAACUAGGGGGAGUGAGAGGGGGAGGCUGACACCCGGGACCCGCGCGUCAGAGAGACAGAGACAGGGGAGAUGCUCGUCGCCGGCGAAGCUCAACGACGACGAGGUCUCGGCCGGAUCCAAGGGCAUCUACGUGUUCCUCUCAUCAAGGCGACUCUGUUGACCUACUUUACCCGCGCUCUACUGGACUCUAGGGUGUUCGCCGUCGGAAAUGGCGGAGCGGCGGCGCUGCGCGGCGUUACACCGGUGGAUCCAGGCAAUGGCGACACGGUAGAGGUUGCGGACGAGCAAGAGCGGCUCAAGGCGAAGCUAUAGGAAGAAGAAUCACGGCUAGAGGUGAACCAGAGAGGUCUGGCCACGUUGCCGGUGAUCUCUGUGAACUCCGGCGAGGUGGAGCUCGCGGCGGAGUUGGCAAUGCGACCUCACCGGUGCUCGGCUACGGGAAUGGAGUAGACGUCGAGGUAGAGGACGUCGAGGCGGAGCUCUGGGCGGGCUGGCUUGGCUGGAGGCGGCGAGGAGAGCUCGGGCGACGCUGCCGUUCCACGGCGGAGCUCGCCGAGGCGAAAUGGAGAAGGGAGAGAGCGCUGGAGAGGCGAAAUGAGGACGGCCGUGGCUCGGGGUGGCGUCGUGGCGUCCAAGUGAUGGCGCCGGGGCUGACAGGCGGGGUCGCCGUCGAUGUACGGCCGCCACGGGUCGUCCACACGUCGGCCGGCCGGUGACUGACGAAACUGAAUCGCGCGAUUCAGUCGUCGCCAACAGUGACUGAAACCCGAUCUUCAACAACGUUUUACUCUCAGCUCAAUCGAUGGUUUUGGCUAGGAUUUGAUCCUCUGGAUAGAGCUACACGAGUUGUACAAGUUUGAUUACAAGAUCGAAGCCUAACUCGGUCUAGAUUUCAAACUACAAGGCUCCAAACAACCCUACCUCGAAACUGUGUGAUUCAAGACUUAGCCAAAUUCGGCUAAGUGUGAAAUCAGCCCUGAUUUUUGGCUUGUGAGCAAUGUUUAGAGGUGUUCCAAGCUUUUUCAUAAAAAGUCAUCAACAUAGCUUUUGUAGCUUAUGAAAUUCUCUACAACUUUGUUUCAGGUGUCACAGACAUGAAAGGUCUCUAACAUUACUUUCAUAAAACAUAUUUGAUAGGAGGUUUAGGGGGUCAAAUAAGCCAUUCUAGGGUUAACCAUGACUUAGGGGCAUUUUUGGCCAAAACCUUCAACAUGAACUUUGUUCCAAAUGAUGUUCUAAACAUGAUUAAAGUAUUUUUGAAGACAAUAAACAUUUGUAAGCAUUAGUCACACACUAAGGUCACUCAAAACAAAUCACACAAGCAAUUUAAUCACAUAGUGCAUGUAGUAAAUGGCAUGUGAUCAUGGUAUGAUGCUCAUGAUGAUGCUUAUGUUGAUGCAAUGCUCAUGGUUAACAUGCAAGCUAACACUAGGAGUGUUACAGAAACCACUUCGCCGACAUAAAUUGAUGGUUUCCCAAGGACAAGCUUAGUGUCCUAAAACAAGCACUGAUCAGAUCGUAACAUGAGCUUUUAAUUAUUUGCAACAUUACCUUGUGUAUUGAUUAUAUAAGGAUAAUUGUAAAAAUAUUCCUUCAGGUAUUCUUGUCACUAACCUUUCUAGGAUUGGAGCAAGAAGAUCGGAUGAAUGACAAGCACAAGGUAUGUCCAACCAAUCAUCAUACAACAUUGAAUUAAAUUCAUCCAAACUUGAAUUUUGCAAAAUUCAAGCUUGGGGGAGUACUUUUCAUGUUGCUAUGUUGCUAUGUUGGUUGUCCCUACCUUUGAGAUAUGCUCAAUUUGUUAAAUACUAAUCACACUACGUCAUCUCCACUCGAGUAGAUCUCUAUGAAUGCACUCAUGCUACCUUUAUUUGCUUUAGUAUAUGUCUAGGUUUGGAGUAGUUUCAUUUAUCUCUUAAUUAAGCAUGGUGCUUAGUUUAGGAAUGAUGAUCUUACUUCCAAGGGAUUUUAAAUUAAGCAUGGUGCUUAGGUUAAAAUGCCCUCCUAAAAUCAAAUAAGACAUGGUGUCUAGGUUGAUUUUUGAGCCGAUAGUAUGCUAUAGUAGAUAUGGGAUAUUUUGUUGGACUAACCCCUACAGGAAAACUUUCAAUAUCAACCUGGGAAGUCCUGAGAUAAACUCACAUUGGAGACAAAGAAAGAGACACAUGAAGGUUAAAAAUUUACACAAGGAAGGCAUAGCUCACAAGAGAUGAUCCAUGGAAGGUGUCACAAACACGAUGCACAACAGCUAAGAAAGGAAAGCUUCCAAAAAGUGAUACUGUACCAUCACUCUUCAGUAACUGUUGACGGUCCUUAAUGCUUACAUUUAACCGUCAACUAAUCAUGGAAAAGGAUCUAAAUGGAACCAACACCUAGACUUAAGGUUUUAUCUAACAGAAUUCCACGAGUUUUGGUGUUUGUCUAUUUCUGCAGGGGGUAUCAGGAAAUACGGAAGAAAGGCCCACACGUCGGGAUUACAUAGAGAUAUUAACGUGCCGCGCAAUUUUCUAUCAUCUAGAAGACUCCAGAAGCCACGGGAACGAAGCGGAGGCCGAGAGGGCUCAGGCACAGGGCGCCCGCCCUAGUCCCUUGGGCGCCCGCCGACUUCCAGAGACCAAUUCGGACACGUUUCGCGGACAACGCUCCACCGACCUAAGGGAUCAAGGAAAACCGUGCGAUUAAUGUCGGUUUGAUCCAACGGCCCAGAAUCACUUGAAGGGACUAUAAAACCAGACCCCCUGGCCCCUAGAGAUCAUACCUCUUCUAUAGAAUCAAAGCUAGGGUUUCAAUUCUUCAUCCAAGUAGAGAGGAUCCCUCUAGUUCUUCUAGUUCUACCUCUAGUUCAUCUAGAUCUAGUUCUAGUUCAUCUAGUUCUAGUUCCUCUAGUUCUAGUUCUAGUUAGUUCUAGUUGUAAUCUAGAAAAUAGGGAGAGAGAAGAGGAGAGCGGAGGAGGAGCUGGAUCUGUCAGAUCUUCCUCAACAUUGUACUUUUACAGCAACUGGUUCGUUCUUCAUCGUUCUCCAGGUUCUUCAAUUCAUAAUUCCUGAGUUCUCUAAUUACUUUUAUUUAUAUUCAAGUUAUUUAUUGGAUUCCUGCUUGCAUCAAGUGCUUUAGUCUUUAUAACGCUAGAGUAGUAAUUAAUAGAUUAGACGUGGUGUUUAGUCUUGCAAUUACCUGGAAUUGCACCCAAUCCUGCGGAUUGUUGUGGUAGCCUUAGGGUAGUGACAGCCCUAACGGUCGACGUAUUCCACCUCGUUCGGAUCGGUGUUUGUAGGACCGUAGUCAGACCUUCCUAGCCCCCUUCUCAUCUCUUUCUGUGGUUAGUGCUCUGAUGUCUCGAAAUAGAUAAUCUUGAAGUAAUUCUUGAUUCUUAGAUCAACUAAAGAACUCUCAGGAAACUUCCUCUCUUCCCACCAAAAAUAAUUAUAUAGUUAUCCUUGGGUGAUCUUGGAUCUUAAUUAGUACACUCACGUUCCCUGUGGAAAAUCGAUACUCUGGAAUACUCCCGGGUGAAGGCUACAUCGGUAUCCGUGCGCUUGCGGAUUUUUCUGUUUGCGUUUAAAAUACCCAACAAGCUUUCUGGCGCCAUUGCCGGGGAACGGUAGCUGUGCUAGUUUCGAAUCAAGUCGUCCGUGUAUCCUUUUUCUUUUCCUUUUUUAUCACACUUACCUUACCAUUUUCACCACUCCACAUGGAUUUCACUCUAAGCAUCAAUGAGCAUGGAAUUUAUUUCAUAGCCACUUCAUUUACUCCAUGCUCAUAUGCAACAUCUUCCCAAUCUUUUGGUUUUUCCAACAUCACCACAUUCGAGAUCUCCAACCCCCUCAUCCUUUCUAUUUAUGAAAACUUUAAAAGGGCGGUUGCCGAUGCAUAUGUCUAUAAUAAAUAUUGCAAAUCUCGUUGAGUUUAUCUUGAUAUAGGUCAGCGUUGGAGGGGAAACCACUUCGCCGACAUAAAUCGAUGGUUUCCUAAGGACAAGCUUAGUGUCCUAAAAACAAGCACUAACAUGAGCUUUUAAUUAUUUACAACAUUACCUUGUAUUGAGCAUAUAAGGAUAAUUGUAAAAGAUUCCUUCGAGUAUUCUUGUCACUAACCUUUCCAGGAUUGGAGCAAGAAGAUCGGAUGAAUGACAAGCAUAAGGUAUGUCCAACCAAUCAUCAUACAACAUUGAAUUAAAUUCAUCCAAACUUGAAUUUUGCAAAAUUCAAGCUUGGGGGAGUACUUUACAUAAAAACAUCCUUUGCCAUGUUGCUAUGUUGGUUGUCCCUACCUUUGAGACAUGCUCAAUUUGUUAAAUACUAAUCACACUACUUCAUCUCCACUUGAGUAGAUCUCUAUAAAUGCUCUCAUGCUACCUUUAUUUGCUUUAGUAUAUGUCUAGGUUUGGAGUAGUUUCAUUUAUCUCUUAAUUAAGCAUGGUGCUUAGUUUAGGAAUGAUGAUCUUACUUCCAAGGGAUUUUAAAUUAAGCAUGAUGCUUAGGUUAAAAUGCCCUCCUAAAUCAAAUUAGACAUGGUGUCUAGGUUGAUCUUUGAGCCGAUAGUAUGCUAUAGUAGAUUUUGGAUAUUUUGUUGAACUAACCCCUGCAGGAAAACUUUCAAUAUCGACCUAGGAAGUCCUGAGAUAAACUCACAUUGGAGACAAAGAGAGAGACACGUGAAGGUUAACAAUUUACACAAGGAAUUCAUAGCUCACAAGAGAUGAUCCAUGGAGGGUGCCACAAACACGAUGCAUAACCGCUAAGAAAGGAAAGCUUCCACAAGGUAAUAUUUUACCAUCACUUUUCAAGUAAGGUAACAACUUAAGGUACUUGACUAUCACUUUUUAUAAGCUUCUCCUUGGUUCUGGCAUUCACAUGGAUAAAAGAGACAAACAUGUAUGAUUUAUAACUCUAAAUUAACCAACCCAAUUAAUUCAGCAUGUUUAGUCCUUUAAUCUUUGUUUAUAGUACUACCUUCGUGAUCCCACACUCCUAAUCAUAUAAGCUAAAAUGUUGCACGUUCAAUCUCUAGAAGAUAUAAACAAAACAUAAGUAUAGAUAGAUUAUCUUUCCAUUAGGUUGAGUGAUCUGAUCUGACAAAUGUUUUAAAUGCUAUACUCAUGAUCUUUUUAUCCAUCAACUUUGUCUUGCUCACUAUGCUUAAGGUUAGCGAGAACAAAUACACUUUUGGUUCUGUUGGUAUUUUCCACCAACAGGGCCCAUGCACUUGAUCUCUGCCUUGUCUCUAUGAGCAGGUACACUUCGAGCAAAAUAUGAAGGACUUUUACAACUCCUAGACUCCACCAAGUGAAGAACCUAGAUCUACGAGCACAAACACACUGGAGAUACUGGACACUCAGGCAAUCACUACCCUGAGAUGCUUGAGGACGUAACUACUGGAGUAACCCCGUAGUGAAAGUAAUUACUGACCUUCUGCCAGUCAAGAGAGACAAUCUAGGAUGCCCCGUCAUCCCGAUCUCCAUCGGCAUGGUGGACUUCCUAGAAGCACUCUACGACUUUGGCUCCAGUGUCAACAUUAUGCCCAGGGUACUCUAUGAAAAAUUCUUUACACAUCCUUUAUUAGAAACUGCCAUGUGUUUGCAGCUUGCAGAUCGUACGCUAAGUUUUCCCAAAGAGAAUAUUGAAGAACCUCUAUAUCCGAGUUAGUACCUUAUACUCUCCAGCAGACUUUGUGGUGAUAGAGACUGAUACUGAUGAGAGGGCACCCAUCAUCCUAGGGAGGCCAUUCCUGAACACCUCGGGAGCUAUCAUCUACGCUAGUGCUGCCAAGAUCAGUUUCUACAUCAAGGGGAGAAAGGAGACGUUUUCCUUCAAGAACAAGACUACAUAAAUCUCAGAGCAUUCCCGACAUGAACCAAGGAAGAGGACCAACAGGAGGAAUAGGAACAAGCAAAUGUGGACCGAGUCAACUAAGAUGAUCACUACAGCUCAAGGAGGUCAAGAUCGUCGACUCAAGUCGCCUUUCUUGAUCAAGAAGGACGACCCUGGUGUUCCAAGCAUCGAGUGCACAAUCAACGGACAUUCUUUUCAGAAGACACUCUACGACACCAGAUCUAACAUCAACAUAAUGGCCGCAGUCACUUAUCAGCUCCUAUUCGGAACCAUGCCCCUAAAACCGACAUACAUUCAGCUCCAGAUGGCAGAUCAGACAUUCCGAAAGGUUGAAGACAAGUACGAUCCACCCAUCAUUCAUAGGAGACCGUUUCUCAGCACCGUUAAAGCAAUCAUAUACUUUGGAACCAGAGAAGUCCACAUGCACUUCCCCUCUGAGAAGGUACGUCACUAUUUUACUGACCCUAACUAUAUAGUUGAAGACUCUAAGCAGGUCAGGACAAGAAGAAGACGACGCAACCGCCACCAGAGAAGGCAAAUCAUCAAGGACGGAUGGGCAGACUACGAAGGAGAAGUGGUAAGGUCUGAAGACAUACAACUUGAAUAGAACUGUCCUGAGGAGACCGUAGCACCGAGUCAGGUGUGGAGAGAGAAGAUAGUUAUACACGAAGAGCAGGCGCCGCCAAAACCAUUGACUACGCCAUCCAGCGAAUCCCAGGACGACUGAGAAAAUGGAGAGUCCCGUUCGGAGGACUUAAAAAACACCGAACGCCUUGCCAAGAGAAUUCAAGGAUCAAAGAAGACUAGCAGACGGAGGACAUCCUAAUCACUGUCAGAGUGCUGCCGACAUUCAAAUACACCUCCGCUACCUGCUAGCUACAUCAGGAGAAACUACGUCAAAAUCCAGCUUGGGGGAGAGCACCCCCAUUUAUCCAGCUAAGUGUUCCACUCACAUUUAUACUUUACUCUAAUAAUAAAAAGAUGCAUAAUCAUAAAAACCCAAAUAAAGAUUUUGUGCUUAUAUAUAUCUUUGCUUAGUUUGCUAAAUAAAUAAAUAAAUAAAGUUUGCUAUGAACCCUCAUGAUAAGCUUUCAUAUGGAAAUGAUGAAUAGUUGCUCUAUCAUGACUAGUUCUUAAAAUUAAAAUCUCUCUCAAGUUUAGGCAUGACUGUUAUUAAUUAAGAUUUGCUCUAAACCUAAACUUAUGGGAAGAGUACUUGAUCUAAAGUCUAAGUCGUUAACGGGUAUGAUAUGGGAAGGUUCAGCUACUGUUUAUGUGUUCCUAGAGAUGCUAGAAUUCUGGAGAAUUUUAUCUAUGAAAAUCUUUAAAAUGUUGCAUGAUGAGUUCCUGUAUGAUGAGAGUUUAAAUUCCUACCACAGCCAUAUAUACAUGCUUGCUAGACUAUGAGCCACACAUUUACUUUUUACUAUUUAUGAGCAUUGAGUGUGGUCAAGCUGUGUAGACCCUUAGGAGCUUGUCAUGCGGUUAAAUCAAGAUUCACUUGCACGUUCACUCAUACAUGCUACUUCUACUUCAGAAGUGCGCAUCCACAUAUAUCCACCCAUUUCCAUCUCCAGAACCACCCAAAAAUAUUCUACUCCUAAUCCGGGAGAGAAUAGCCAAAAAUAUUUCUAUUUUUCCCCUAUGAAAUAAAUGCUCAAGUUAUCUUGUUACUACCACUUGCUAUAUUAUCUCAUGAGAUGAGUGCUCUAAAAAAAGAAAUAAAAAAAAGAAAAAAAAGUAUAUGAGGAAAUAAAAAGGGGCAAGUGCCCGGAACCUCGAAAGAAAAGAAAAAGUGAGGUUAUCAGGAAAUACGGAAGAAAGGCCCACACGUCGGGUUUACAUAGAGAUAUUAACGUGCCGCGCAAUUUUCUAUCAUCUAGAAGACUCCAGAAGCCACGGGAACGAAGCGGAGGCCGAGAGGGCUCAGGCACAGGGCGCCCGCCCUAGUCCCUUGGGCGCCCGCCGACUUCCAGAGACCAAUUCGGACACGUUUCGCGAACAACGCUCCGCCGACCUAAGGGAUCAAGGAAAACCGUGCGAUUAAUGUCGGUUUGAUCCAACGGCCCAGAUUCACUUGAAGGGACUAUAAAACCAGACCCCCUGGCCCCUAGAGAUCAUACCUCUUCUACAGAAUCAAAGCUAGGGUUUCAAUUCUUCAUCCAAGUAGAGAGGAUCCCUCUAGUUCUUCUAGUUCUACCUCUAGUUCAUCUAGAUCUAGUUCUAGCUCAUCUAGUUCUAGUUCCUCUAGUUCUAGUUCUAGUUCUAGUUAGUUCUAGUUGUAAUCUAGAAAAUAGGGAGAGAGAAGAGGAGAGCGGAGGAGGAGCCGGAUCUGUCAGAUCUUCCUCAACAUUGUACUUUUGCAGCAACUGGUUCGUUCUUCAUCGUUCUCCAGGUUCUUCAAUUCAUAAUUCCUGAGUUCUCUAAUUACUUUUAUUUACAUUCAAGAUAUUUAUUGGAUUCCUGCUUGCAUCAAGUGCUUUAGUCUUUAUAACGCUAGAGUAGUAAUUAAUAGAUUAGACGUGGUGUUUAGUCUUGCAAUUACCUGGAAUUGCACCCAAUCCUGCGGAUUGUUGUGGUAGCCUUAGGGUUGUGACAGCCCUAACGGUCGAUGUAUUCCACCUCGUUCGGAUUGGUGUUUGUAGGACCGUAGUCAGACCUUCCUAGCCCCCUUCUCAUCUCUUUCUGUGGUUAGUGCUCUGAUGUCCCGAAAUAGAUAAUCUUGAAGUAAUUCUUGAUUCUUAGAUCAACUAGAGAACUCUCAGGAAACUUCCUCUCUUCCCACUAAAAAUAAUUAUAUAGUUAUCCUUGGGUGAUCUUGGAUCUUAAUUAGUACACUCACAUUCCCUGUGGAAAAUCGAUACUCUGGAAUACUCCCGGGUGAAGGCUACAUCGGUAUCCGUGCGCUUGCGGAUUUUUCUAUUUGCGUUUAAAAUACCCAACAGUAACAUCUUAAGGUACUUGACUAUCGCUUUUAUAAGCUUCUCCUUGGUUCUGAAAAUAAAGAGACAAACAUAUAUGAUUUGUAAGUCCAAAUUAACCAACCCAAUUAAUUCAACCUGUUUAGUUCUUUAAUCUUUGUUCUUAGUACUACCUUCCUGAUCGCACACUCCUAAUCAUAUAAGCUAAAAUAUUGCACAUUCAAUCUUUGGAAGAUAUAAACAAACCAUAAAUAUAGAUAGAUUAUCUUUCCAUUAGGUCGAGCGAUCUGAUCUGACAAAUGUUUUAAAUGCUACAUUCAUGAUCUUAUUAUCCGUCAACUUUGUCUUGCUCACUAUGCCUAAGGUUAGAGAAGAACAAAUACACUUUUGGUUCUGUUGGUGUUUUCCAGCAACAGGACCCAUGCACUUGAUCUCUGCCUUGUCUCUAUGAGCAGGUACACUUCGAGCAAAACCUGAAGGAGUUUCACAACUCCCAGAUUCCUCCAAGUGAAGGACUUGGAUCUACAAGCACAAACACACUGAGCAGGAUACUGCCAAUGCCGCACCUCGAACUACUGAACAAACGAAGAAAAUGGGUGACACCGUAUCAAGAAGUGCAGAUGUCAAGGCCCACACCUAAUCAAAUGAUGCACCUAAAGGGAUGAACACGGUGAGAAGCCUUGUCCAGAAGACUUAAAACAUUGGAUCCUUGCUGGAAGAGGUCAAAAUCGUCGAUUCAAGUCGCCUUUCCUGAUCAAAAAGGACGACCCUAGUGUUCCAAGCAUCGAGUGCAUAAUCAACAGAUACUCUUUUCAGAAGACACUCUAUGACACCAAAUUUGACGUCAACAUAAUGGCUGCAGUCACUUAUCAGCUCCUGCAUGGAACCAUGCCCUCACAACCAACAUACAUUCAGUUCUAGAUGAUUUUCAGUUUAUUGACAUGGGAGAAGACGAGUACGAUCCACCCAUCAUCCUUGAAAGACCGUUCCUCAACACUAUCAAAGCUAUCAUCUAUAUUGGAACCGGAGAAGUCCACAUGCACUUCCCCUCUGAGAAGAUCAGGAUCAGAAGAAGGCGACACAAGCGAAACUAGAGGAGGCAAAUCAUCAAGGACGGAUGGGCAGACUAUAAAGGAGAUGUAAUAAGGUCCAAAGAUAUACAUCUUGAACAGGAUUGUCCAAAGGAGACCGUAGCACCAAAUCAGGUGUGGAUAAAGAAGAGAGUUGUACUAGAAGAGGAGGCGCCGCCGGAAUCCUAGGACGACUGAAAACACAAGGAGUCUCGUUCGGAGGACUUAAAAACACCGAACGUCGUGCCAAGAGUUCCACAAAGCUUUGUUGUCUAUUUGAGCUCCACAGAAUUCAAGGAUCAAAGAAGACUAGCAGAUGGAGGACAUCCUAAUCGCUGUCAGGGUGCUGCCAACAUUCAAAUACACCUCCAUCACCUGCUAGCUACAUCAGAAGAAAUUACGUCAAAAUCCAGCUUGGGGGAGAGCACCCUCAUUUAUCCAGCUAAGUGUUUCUACUCGCGUUCAUACUUUACUCAAAUAAUAAAAAGAUGCAUAAUCAUGCAAACCCAAAUAAAAAUCUUGUGCUUAUAUAUAUCUUUGCUUAGUUUGCUAAAUAAAUAAAUAAAGUGUCUAGGCCAAACUGAACUUAAAUAAUAAACUCUUACAUGGAUAUGAUAAAUAGUUGCUCUGCCAUGUACCUAGUUUUCAAGCUUGAGUUUUCUCUCAAGUUUAGGCAUAACUGUUAUAAUUUAAACCUGCUCUAAACCUGAACUUGUGGGAAGAGUACUUGAUCUAAAGUCUAAGUCGUUAACGGAUACGAUAUGGGAAGGUAGAGCUGUUGUUUAUCUGUUCCUAGAGAUGCUAGAAUUCUGGAGAAUUUUAUCUUUGAAAAUCUUUACAAUGUUGCAUGAUGAGUUCUUGUAUGAUGAGAGUUUAAAAUCCUACCACAGCCAUAUAUACAUGCUUGUUAGACAAUGAACCAUAUAUUUACUUUUUACUACUUGUGAUAAGCAUUGAGUGUGGUCAAGCUGUGUAGACCCUUAGGAGCUUGUCAUGCGGUUAAAAUCAAGAUUCACUUGCACGUUCACUCAUACGUGCUGCUUCUACUCUAGAAGUACGCAGCCACAUACAUCCACUCAUUUCCAUCUCCAGAUUCACCUAAAAUUAUUCUACUCCUAUCCAGGAGAGAAUAGCCAAAAACAUUAUCCUGUCCCUGUUAUUCCUUGUGAAAUAAAUGCUCCAGUUAUUUUGGUUACUACCACUUGCUACAUUAUUCUAGGAGGGUGAGUGCUCUGAAAAAAUAAGAAGAAAAAAAUACGAGGAAAUAAAAAGGGGCAAGUGCCCGGAACCUCGACGAAAAGAAAAAGUGAGGCGAGAGUUAAAAAUGGAAAAGUGUCUGACAUUAGAAUUAGGGGUAUAAGAUACCCACUUGAGUGAAAAGAAAAAAGAAAAUAGAGAGCAUCUCAUUCUCCGCAAAAAGCUUCAAAGUGCACGAAAGGUAUGUAUCUCCUUAAAAGAGCAAAAGUAGAAUUAGACUUUCACCAUUGUUAUCACCAUUCAUUCGCCACACAUGCACAUCUUAAUUUGACUUAUUGACUUGUUUCUCUGGAUCCAUGGUUUGACUAUGCAAUAAAUGUCUUGUAAGUAUGUAUUAUCUGUUUCCCACCUAUGAGCUCCAGAUAUCAAAACCUUAUUAGAGUAGGGUGAGAGAGAAGGCAAUAUCACUAUGCCUGAUACCGAAAAUAUCACAUACUUUGAGAGAAGGCAUAUACCAUUACUGCCUUGCAAAGGAUCCAGAAAUACCACAAAAGAGAGAUUUGAGAGAGUCAUACAAGGAAUCUCUGAGUUUUAUUUGAAAAUCUGCAAAAACUCCAGAGCUA